rnacentral:lncRNA from 1 species
AGGAACUUGGGCAGCGCCUCCAGCUCCUUACCAGAUCGCCUGUCGAUCUUGGUCACCAGCUCAGCAAACUUGACAGCAAUGUGGGAGGUGUGGCAGUCCAGCACUGGGGCGUAGCCAUUGCCGAUCUGACCAGGGUGGUUCAUGAUGAUGACCUGGGAGGUGAAGUUGGCCGCCUCCUUGGCAGGGUCAUCCUUGGAGUUGGAUGCAACAAACCCACGCUUCAGAUCCUUCACAGCAACGUUCUUGACGUUGAAGCCAACGUUGUCACCAGGAAGCGCCUCCAGGAGAGACUCAUGGUGCAUCUCAACAGACUUAACCUCAGUUGUCAGACCAGUGGGACCAAAGGUAACAACCAUACCAGGCUUGAUGACACCAGUCUCAACACGGCCAACAGGCACAGUUCCAAUGCCACCAAUCUUGUAAACAUCCUGAAGGGGAAGACGCAGGGGCUUGUCUGAGGGCCUCUUGGGCUCAUUGAUCUGGUCAAGAGCCUCAAGAAGGGUAGGGCCCUUGUACCAGUCAAGGUUGGUGGACCUCUCAAUCAUGUUGUCACCCUCAAACCCAGAGAUGGGAACGAAGGGAACCUUGUCAGGGUUGUAGCCGACCUUCUUCAGGUACGAAGAGACUUCCUUGACAAUUUCCUCAUAACGGGCCUUUGAGUACUUGGGAGUGGUGGCGUCCAUCUGUAACAGAUGACCAGAGCAAUCCCAUCAGAUAAACAAAAUUAUUGAAAAGUACUAGUAUAUAAACAAAUAGGAAAAAAAAAGCAAAAACAUAUAGCACUCAUGUGAUGGAAGUUGCAGGAAUAAGAGAUAAUGAGCAAACAAGCAGUUUAUAACUUAUAAAUUAAGAUACAAUUAGAACUAGUCAGUGAAGUUAUGCUAUUAAAUCAUCCAAGAUUUGUCAACAUGACAAAAAUUAAUCAAUACAAUGCAAUUCAGCAGUACUACUGAAGCUGGCAUUUACUAAGUAACUCUGAGCAUUCAACACAUUCAACAUAUAUAGUUAAUCAAUUACAAUGCAACUCAGCAGUACUACUGAAGCUAGGCACUUACUCAGUAACUCUCAUAUAGAACAAUACUACAUAUCUAAAUUAGAUAAGACAAGGCAAUCAACAUAUAUAUUAUAGAUUAACCAAUCGGUGUUACAUGAAAAUCAGAAUUAGACAAACGUCAAAUCAGUUUACAGGAUGUUUAGGCACUCAAGAAACAGCAUUGGAAGUUGAAUGGCAAGUAUACCUUGUUGCAGCAGCAGAUCAUCUGCUUCACUCCAAGGGUGAAAGCAAGGAGGGCGUGCUCACGGGUCUGGCCAUCCUUGGAGAUACCAGCCUCAAAACCACCAGUGGUGGAGUCAAUGAUGAGCACAGCACAGUCAGCCUGGGAGGUACCAGUAAUCAUGUUCUUGAUGAAGUCACGGUGACCAGGGGCAUCAAUGACGGUGCAGUAGUACUUGGUGGUCUCGAACUUCCACAGGGCAAUAUCAAUGGUGAUACCCCUCUCACGCUCGGCCUUCAGCUUGUCAAGCACCCAGGCGUACUUGAAAGACCUCUUGUUCAUCUCAGCGGCUUCCUUCUCAAACCUCUCGAUCACACGCUUGUCAAUACCUCCAAGCUUGUAGAUCAGAUGGCCAGUGGUUGUCGACUUGCCAGAGUCGACAUGGCCAAUGACCACGAUGUUGAUGUGAGUCUUCUCCUUACCCAUGGCUGGAGCUAGCAAACAGAAACAUCAAGGCAAGCAGGUGUUAGAAACAAGAGAUCCAGGUGAACAAGUGUCAACAAAGUAAUAUCCUGUCUAUUUGUGAGGUCAACAGACAUGUAGAAGAUGCAUUUAACGAGAUGGAAUUACAAUUCAAGCAAUCAGACUGCAGGUACUUGUUAGAUCUACAAAUUACUGCGGUAAUAACGCUAACAAAAUUCACCAUACAAGUACAUGAUGAAGUUCAUGCUGUAAACUCUCAUAGAUAACUCUCACAGAGAACUCACAGAUCCUACAGAACCGGAAGUACUACACGAAUCCAUCCAACAAUACAUGCAACCAAGCACGGAGAUGAUUCAGGAACAUCUCGCGAUACCAAAUCGGUAACAGAAACAGCAAAACCCUAUAGAUCAAGGCUACGGCAUGAGCUUCCAGGUAGUCGUCAAAAUUAAAGACGAAAAAAGACAUGCAUCCGCGCAUAGAUGAACCUGCAGCUAGAUCUACUCGCAGAUUUAACGCUACCAAGCAGAGGCACCGGCGCGAAGGCGAACCAAGGACACGGCUUCGAGAAAAUCCGUCAAACCACGGACGAAAUCGACGCGCAUCACCGCAAAAAGAACCUAAAACUCGAUCUACCCGCACGCUACAUCUACCGCACGGAAACAUGGCCGGAGAUCUGAAGCUAUUCGAGACCACGGACGACGAAUCGAGGCGGAGAUGGGGGGCGGAUCGGGAUGCUCACCUCCGAGGAAGGAGAAGGAACCGAGAGGAGGCGGCGGCGGGGAUGGGGGCACUGAGAGGAGGGGUUCGGGCGAGAGGAAUGGCCCUAUAUAUGGACAGCGAUGGGCGCUAGGGUUUCUUCUCGGCCGUCGGAUCCGGGUCCGAUGGAUGCCGACUUUGGGGAGGCGGCUGUGGGCGAUUUGCUUUUUCUUUUUCUCGCUAUAAGUAACGUGUAAUGCACUCAAGCUCUCCCACUACUUCUCUACUCCACUUACUCAUAUCCCUAGCUACACUCUGCAAGCCACUUCUGACAUUUCUACCCCCUUCCACACUGCUCUUAUCCCACGCAUUCCGUAUGAUCUCUUCGCACCCCUCCUCCCGCAACCAACGAGCUUCAAAUCUGAAACUGCAAUCACUCCUCUUCCAACUUCGGUCCUUGCCAUCUAGGUGCACGACCACAGGUCUGUGAUCCGAGUGUCUUGGUUCACCGUUCACAACUAUAUGGUUUGGAAAAGCACCACACCAUUCAUUGUUUGCAGUGGCCCGAUCCAGCCUCUCACAGAUAUAUGUCCGCAAUUCCCUGCUGUGAUUUCUCCAGGUAUACAUAUCGCCUUCAAACCCUAUAUCCCUCAGCUCACAGGCGUCCAGUGCUUGCCGAAAAUCAUCCAGAUAGUGUUGCGGACGAUCAGCACCUCCUAGCUUCUCACUGCUUGUGAGGACUUCAUUGAAGUCACCAAGACAUAGCCACGGCCGACCAUUUUGGUGUUGUUGUUUCAAGAUGCGCAUUAACUUCCACGUCUCCUUCUUCCUCUCCAUCGCCGACUCUCCAUAAACCCCCGUCAGACGCCAAAUCAUACCAUCCUCCCGUACUAUAUCCACAUCCACAUGCCUCCGUCCAUACGACCUCAGAGAAACAUCCAAACCCCUUCUCCAAAACAAAGCUACACCCCUCCCACUACUUUCAUCCUUCCAAGCUACCAUGUUGGCGAGCCCCAACGACCACCUGAACCGCCCCAACUUCUUUUCUGUCAAUCGUGUUUCACACAGGAACAAAACAUCGGGAACCUCCACUCUUCCUAGCUCAAGAAGAGAACGAACUGCCGGGCCAUUCCCGAGUCCCCGGCAGUUCCAACUUAUGAUUUUCAUUGUUCCCGGCGGGGCUGCUUCGACAGCCCGGCCGAUAUGUUUGAGUUUGUGUGCACCACCGUUGUAGCAUUGUUUGCCGCCUUCAUGUUUUGUGCCAUCGUCUGCCCCUCCUCCCCCUCCCCACGUCCCUUCUUUGCAAUGUAUCCUCCAUCAACAUCCAUCUCCUCACCUCCUCUCUUCCCCAGACUGACCUCCAGCCUCUCUUGUGUACCAAAGUUCUCUGGGCGGUUCAUGAAAGCGCCAGUCUCUGAAGCAAAAAUCAUGGAGGAGGCAAGGCUGAGAGGAGAACUAGAGGAGUUGAAAGAGAAAAAAUACACGCAAUUAAAGCAAAGGGCACAUAUGUGGUGGCUGCGAGGUGGGAACAAAAAUAUCAAGUAUCUGCAGUCUGUAGUAACAACAAGGAAGCGGUCUAACAAACUUAAGGAGAUUCGGAGGGAUGGUGGAACGGUGGUGGAGGAAGGGGAGGCCCUAACUAACUACGUUUGUUCCUUUUUUCAGGACCUGUUUACAUCAUCCAACCCUCAGCGCCUCAAUGAACUAAUGGACAAGGUGCAACCUCGCGUCUCAAAUGCUAUGAACGUAGUCCUUGAGGCCGAUUACACCAGGGAGGAGGUGAAAGCUGCACUUGAUCACAUAGGCGAUCUCAAAGCACCCGGUCCAGAUGGGAUGCCGGCGAUUGUUUUUAAGCGUCAUUGGCAUUUUAUGGGAGAUCAAGUUGUGGAGGAAGUCCUAAAGGUACUGAAUGGUGGAGAGAUCCCCGAGGGGUGGAGUGAUACUAUGGUUGUGCUUAUCCCCAAGGUCAAAAACCCAAAAAGAAUCAAGGACCUCCACCCCAUCAGUUUGUGCAAUGUCGUAUACAAGCUAGUAUCAAAGGUGAUUGCCAAUAGACUUAAAUUGAUCCUGCCCGAGGUGAUCUCAUAGCAUCAGAGUGCGUUUGUGUCGGGGAGACUAAUUACGGACAAUGUUCUCACAGCCUAUGAGGUCUCUCACUAUCUGAUGAACAAAAGGAAAGGGAGGAGUGGAGUGGCGGCCAUUAAAGCAGAUAUGAGUAAGGCGUAUGACCGGGUGGAGUGGAGGUUCUUGGAGGCCAUGCUUCACAAAUUGGGGUUCAGUUCGAGAUGGACUGAGCUGGUCAUGAAAUGUGUCCGGACUGUACGAUACCAAAUCAAGGUUAAUGGCUAACUAACACAACAAUUCAGCCCCGAGCGAGGACUUCGACAAGGGGAUCCCAUCUCCCCCUACCUAUUUGUCAUAUGUGCGGAAGGCUUGUCGGCGUUGCUGUUAGAUGCACAAGAGCGAGGCAUCACACAUGGCGUGAAAGUAUGCCCGAGGGCACCAUCUGUAUCACAUCUAUUAUUCGCGGAUGACUCCAUGUUGCUGAUCAGGGCUGAACAGCAAGAAGCAACAACGCUAAAUGAUGUGCUACAACUGUAUGAAACUUGCUCCGGGCAAUGCAUAAACACGGAGAAGUCGGCAAUUAUGUUUAGCCCCAACACAUGUGAUGAUGACAGGACAGCAGUGAAAACUGCACUGGGAAUACACAAUGAGGAUUGGAAUGAGAAAUACCUCGGGCUUCCCGUCCAUGUGGGACGGUCCAGGAAGAAAGCUUUCAGUUACAUCAAACGAAACAUGUGUGGGCGUGUGUAUGGAUGGCAGGAAAGACUUCUAGCAAAAGAGAGUAAGGAGACCCUAGUAAAGGCUGUGGGACAAGCCAUUCCCACUUUUGCGAUGUCUUGCUUUGACUUGACUAAAACCUUUUGUGCAGAGCUGAAUACACUCCUUGGUAACUUUUGGUGGAGCCAACAAGACAAACAAAAUUCCAUGCAUUGGCUCAGUUGGGAGAAGCUUGCACAGUCUAAGGCCAUGGGAGGGCUAGGGUUCCGAGACAUGCACACUUUCAACCUAGCAAUGCUCUCGAGACAGGGCUGGAGAAUUUCCCUAACAGUACGGCGUUGGAGGCUAUCGAACAUGAUGGUAUUUCAUACUCUUGGCGUAGCAUUCUCCAAAGACUGAAGGUGGUGAAGCAGGGCUAUAUCUGGCGGGUGGGGGACGGGACAAGGAUCAACAUUUGGACGGACCCAUGGAUUCUUAGGCCCUGGUCCAGGCAGGUGAUCACGCCGAGGGGUGCCAACUUGCUGAACUCUGUGAAUGAACUGAUAGACCCGAUCACAGGUGGAUGGGAUGAGCGCCUAAUCACGGACACCUUCUGUGCGGAGGACGCCCGUCAUAUUCUGCAGAUUCCACUAAGGGACGGGACCGCGGAUUUCCUCGCGUGGCAUUUCGAUCCCAAGGGCAAGCACUCGGUCAGAAACGCCUAUAAACUGCUGGUGGAGCUGAACAAGCAGAGCAGGACCGAUGCACCUAGCACGAGCGCACGAGGUUUAGGCCAAUUGGACAGAUGCUCGGAUCCGAGCUGGAAGCGGAUAUGGAAGCUGCCUUGCCCAGCAAAAUUGCAAAUGUUUGUGUGGCGCAUUCGACAUGAGUCCUUAGCCCUAUGCACCAACCUGUCGAGGCGCGGAAUGAAGCUUGACUCGGAAAAAUGCUUCCUGUGUAGGAGAGUGGAUGAAGAUGGUGGGCAUCUGUUCAUAAAGUGCAAGUUGGCAAAGGAGGGCCGGAGGCAGCUGGGGUUGGAACUGGAGCGGAACCGCCUCGAAGGGAUUGGGAGCGUGCAUGCAAUGCUCGACUCUUUAUGGGGACUAGAGGAGAAGAAAAGAGUGCUCAUCAUUUGCUUUUGGUGGCACUGGUGGAACAACCGCAAUAAGAUUAGAGAGGGAGCGCUUCCAUUGCAUGUCACAGAAAUCGUGCGACGGUCUCGCUGCGAUGCACUCGAAUACGAGCAGCUCUUCCUACCGGGUGCGCCAAAACGCCCUCCCGGAAAGUGGCAACCACCGGCGGACGACACCAUAAAGUUUAACCUGGACGGCGCCUUCACACCGGGAAACUCCUUCUGUGGAUGGGGCGUGGUGGCUCGUGACAGCUCCGGAGCUGUCCUCACUGCAUGAGCAGGACGACAUGAACAGGUUUUUGAUGCCUUCGGAUCGGAAGUCAAUGCUUUGGCGGCGGCGGUGACCACAACGGCUGAUAUGGGGGUUGUCCGGGUCACCUUUGAGACGGACUCCGAGUUGCUGGCCGAGGCAAUGGAUGCCCAUCGCGUAGAUUCUUCGCCUUAUGCAGCAAUUAUUGAAGAUACAAAGUUUCAGCUAAAGUUGUGGUUUUCCAAAUGGAGUGUUAGUGCGUGUAGACGUACCAUAAAUUCUGUUGCUCAUGAGUUAGCACAGAUUGGUUGUAAUUGCCCACCGAAUAUGUGUGUGGAGUGGGACACUAUUGUACCGCCCAGAGUGGCUGCUUGCGUGUCGGGUGAUAUGGCCGAACGUUGUUGAUCUAUAAAGCUUUGCUUUCCCUAAAAAAACGUGUAAUGCACGUUUUCUUCUCAAAAUAGUAUAUCAAAAGUUGUGGCGAACCAACAUGUUUUUUUAGGGGUGUGGCGAACCAACAUGUGGUUGUAUAGUUAGAUGGACUGUGGUAUCCCCAACCCACCGGGUCCAAAUCCUGGUGCUCGCAUUUAUUUCUGGAUUUUCGGGGAUGCGCAUUCAGUGGGAGGAGACGUUCCCGUCGAUAACGAGGUGCCUACGGUAACUUCGUAAAUUUCAAGAUGAUAUGCCGGCUCAGUCUUUCGGAGAUGCUCAUAGGGGUAGAGUGUGCGUGUGUGCGUUCAUAGGGGUCAGUGUAUGCGCGUGUAUAUGAGCGCUUGUGUCUGUACCGAUGUUAAAAAAAAAUUGUGGUCGAACAAACGAUUUGUGGUAAUAUUUGCACCGGAUAAAAGAGAACAUAGGGACAAUUUCAUCCAAUGUAAUCCUUUUUUUGUUACGGGUCCAUGUAUUUCUAAACAUAAUUGAUAUCCAUCUGUAUAGACUAUAAUACAGUACGAUUUAUAUCACUGUUGAGGUAGGAGUACAUCCCUAUCUCUAUCUUUGUCCAUGAUAAAAUUCGCAAGAUUAAUGAGUCCAAAGAAAUCUUGGAAAAUGAUAACUAGGGAAUGUUUCCUGGUUAGGAGGUUCCAGGAACGCCCACACAGCUAGCUAUUGGAUCUGGAUCACGUGGACGGAAAGGAAAACAUUGCAUUUUUUUGCGCUACACCCUACUCCGCUCGAUCAUCCUCAAGCCUUCAAAAUCUGAUAUGAAAAAGAUGUAGGUUAUUUGGCAAACCAGCUGAUACAGCUUUUUUAGAUUUUGGCCCGCAGCGGAAUCAGAUUUUGGUAAGCACGUCCUGGGCUGCUUCCGCUUUUGGUUCAGAUUUUGGCAGCAGAUUUCUGGAAUCGGAUUCUGCUGGGUUUGCCCUUUGGUUCGGAUUCUGCUGCGCGGCAGCGGAAUCCGUCGAUAAAAGCUGAACCAAACAGGGCCAAUGUCACGUGAUCAUCCUUUGUAAUCCCUAUUUUUGUUACGGGUCCAUGUGUUUUCAAACAUAAUUGAUUCGUACCAAUAUCCAAUUCAGCUCCCGAGCUCAUUUACACCAUGUGAAAAGUAAAUUCAAAUAAAAUACUAGAAACAUUCAAAAAAAUGGUGAAAGAUGCUUGAGUGCGUGAAUAACCAUGCCAAAUUUCAGCUCAUUCGGACAUCUGAGUAGUUCUCAGGAAAAAAUCAGCUCCAACGAUGCAAAACAAUAAACUUUUUCACAGACCUUAAAUUUAUCUUUUUUUGCUGAGAGCUCAUCAGAUAUUCAAAUACGCUGAAUUUAUACACGGACAUCACGAACUCACGCAUCUUUCACCACAAGAAAAAUUGGAAUUUUUUGAAUUUUUAUAGUACUUUUUUUAUGUUAUUGUUCAUUCCCGGGCUCAUCUGAGCUCGGGAGCCAAAACGCCCCGUCCCAAUUUAUAUCAUCACUAUCGAGGUACUCCCCCGUCCCAUAAUAUAAGAGCGUUUCUGACACUAGUGUAGUGUCAGAAACACUUAUAUUAUGGGACGGAGGGAGUAGCACAUCUCUAUAUCUAUCUUUGUCCCCAUCACUAAUGAUAGAAUCGCAAGAUUAAUGAGUCCAGCAAAUCUUGAAAAAUGAUAACUAGGGAUUGUUCCCUAGUUAGAAGGGAUGAGGGAAUGCCCACAUAGCUAUUGGAUCCAGAUCACACGGGCGAAAAGAAAAACGCUGCAUUUUUUGCGCUACCCACUACUACAUUCGAUCGCUAUCAAGCCUCCAAAAUCACACACGAUGGCGAAAAAAUGUGAGCGGAAGAUGCAUCAUAUACGCAUGGAUGCAUUGUUUUCUACAUGACGAGGUCUUCGUAUUUCGUACACUAUAAUUAUGUACUGCAUAUGUCCAUAAAUCAGUGGAAUUUAGCUAGCAUUUGUUCAAUUGCAUAUUGUGGCAAUUUUGAUGAAUGUUAUUCAUGCGGACACUAUUUAUUCAAUUGCAUAUUGUGUCGAAUUUGCUUUUUGUAUGGCGAUUCAGAUGUGAUAUUUGGUUUAACCUGGCCAUUGAAGCACACACGGUUCAACUAAAUGAGCGUGUGGAUUCCAAAACGAAAAGCACACGUCACUCAUAGCGCAACUGUCGGUGAUACACAACAAAUCGCGGAUAAUUUGCAGCACUUCUAUAUGUGCGUAGGGGCUCCUCAACCAUUUGUGAUACCAAAUUAUCGCACACGAGAGCUUAGAGGAAACCAUGCCCAAUGUAAAAUACAAUAUCACUCGUAAAUUAUUCAGAAAAUGUGUGUGAUGAUGUCAUGCAUGGCAGACAGUUGCCAUAGAAUACUCGUGUGCAAUGGGUUGCAUAUCGCACACAGUUUAUAUGAUGGUCCAUGUUGCUUAGAUACUUUUGCAAACAGUCAAAUGUCAAACCCCGUUUGGUUUCCCUGUGCAAUUAGAAAUGUUUGACUCAUGAGAGACGUGGGCGAUUGAUCUCCAAUUCCACACAUGUGCCAGAAUAUAGUGUGUGCACUAUGUUUCUGCAUCGCAUAUGAUUACGUUUGGCAACGCGUCUGCAUCAUCGCGGCUUAUCGCCGAUGGUUUCUAGGUCGUGUGGGAAGGACCUCCCCUAUCGCACACACAGGCAAGGCAACAGUUUAGAACUCUGUCGUGGGAAGGGGUUAAAAACCCUUUGUAUACCACAUCGCUGCACCAGUGAAGAGCUUAUCAUGAAGCUCGUGAGGUUUCUCUUUUUUCAAACACAAAGAAGUGCAUAUCACUCAUAGUUGAAGUGUGGAGGUACCAAUCUUUGACAACAAUAUUCUAUCACAUAGUUCCAUUAUGGAUCCUAUAUGGAAGUAAGGUUCCUUUAUGCCGUUAGACAAGCCCUUCCUUAUCAACAUGCAUGUGAAAUCAUUGAGUUGAUCAUCAUAGGCUUCAUGAGGAGUUAGAGGUUGUUGUGAUUAACAAGAUUGAAGCCAUUGACCACAAUCUUCCAUAUCUCAUCAGUUUUGCCUAUGUGGCAUGUCCAUGUGUCAAUUUUUGCCCUAGGUUGUGAAGCAACCUACAUUUAUGUCAUUCCCAAAAUUCCCAAAAAAAUCUCAUAAAUUCUUUGGAUCAUACAUUCCUCAAAUAUGUCAAAACCCUUCCUUUUCUAGUUCAAAAAUAAUUCAAGAAUAUUCAUUUUCCUAUUCUGUCUAGAAUAUCACUUUGUGAAGGAAGUGCUAUUUAUAUUUUUCUUGAUUGCCCUCAAAAAUUUUGGACACUCUUUCCUAUCCAAAUCAUUGCCUCAUGAAAAAAUUCAACUCCAUUGGCCUAGUAAAUAUUUCUCAGAAAAUUUCUAAAGUUUAUGUUCAGCUAGAAGCUUUGUGAAGGAAGUACUAGCUAGGAAUAUCCUAAUGAGUUGAAUUUUUGCCACAUCUUCUAUAUGCCAAAAUCAUAGCUCUCCAUAAACUUUUAGCCCCAUCUAACAAUCCAUGUGACCUCACCAUCCAAUCUUUGUUGCUGGUAAUAUUUUCAGUUUGUGAAGCAACUAUAUUUUAUAUUACUUUAUAAUUGCUGAAAAUUUACCAGGAGAUGAACCUUCCCAUAGAACCUUCCUCACCAAAUUUUAGCUCAUUUAAUUUAGCCAAUUUUCCUCAAUAUUUUUCCCAAUUUUUUGUUCACUAGAGAGCAUUGUGAAGGAAAUACCAUUUUUCUUUAUCCAAAUGGUAUAAAUUUUUUGAAGUGCCUUCAUAUGCUCCAAUUAUCACCCCCUACAAAUUGCAGCUCAAUCCAAUCAUCUAUGUGAGCCAGCUUCAAUUUCUAUUUUCUGUCCAGAUUGGCACAUUGCAAAGCAAGUGCUAUCUAUACCCCUCCUAUUGCCCUCAAACUUUUUGGUUUAUCUUCCAUAUCCAAAUCAUUGCCACAUGCCAAUAUUCAGCUCCAUUUGCCUAGUAAAUCUUCCUCAAAAAAAUUCCAAAGUUUCUGUUCAGCUAUAAGCUUUGUGAAGGAAGUACUAGAUAGGAAUAUCCUAAUGAGUUGAAUUUUUGCCACAUAUUCUAUAUGCCCAAAUCAUAGCUCUACACAAAAUUUUAGCCCCAUCUAACUGUCCAAGUGACCUCACCAUCCAAUCUUUGUUUGUGGUAAUAUUUUUAGUUUGUUAAGCAACUACAUUUUAUAUUGCUUUAUAAUUGCUGAAAUUUUACCAGGACAUCACCCUGAUCGUAGAAACUCCCUCCACCAAAUUGUAGCUCAUUUAAUUAAACCAAUUUCCCUUAAUAUUUUCCCCAAUUUCCGGUUCAGUGGAGAGCAUUUUGAAGGAAGUACCAUUUUUUAUCCAAAUGGUACGAAAUUUUGCAGUUCCUUCAGAUGCCCAACUUAUCAUCCUCCUCCAAAUUGCAGCUCAAUCCAAUCGUCUAUGUAAGCCCAUCUUCAAUUUCUAUUUUUUGUCCAGAGAAGAGCAAUGUGAAGGAAGUGCCACUUUGGCAUGUCCAAAUGGUCUCAAAUUUUUACAGUGCUUUCCUAUGCCGAAAUGACCAUACUCCACCAAAUUUCAGCUCAAUCCAUUCAUUCAUUCAUUUGAGCCCAGCUUCAACAUCCAUAUUUCUGCCCGAUGUGGUACUUUGCAAAGCAAGUGCCACCUAGGCUCCUCCAUUUGAGCUGAAAAUUUGCCAAGACAGUCUCCUUAGUAGAUGAUCAUCCUUAGCCAAAACUCACGCACAUUGGCCAUGUGCUUUCCCCCACCGCCAAUGAAACACUUGUCUGCUAAUUCAUCUUUGAGCUUAGUUCAGUCUCCUCGUGAGAUUCUUCUGUUGUAUUCUUCUUCCUAACACCUACUGAGGGAGUGUCCAACCCACCAGACAUGCCUAGGCCGCCCAGAACGCGUUGCAACGCCACGGUCACGCGAUGACCACAUGGGUGGCAUGCUAGUUUACGCACUCUGGAGUUGGGGCCCUCGGCCACCGUCCAAACCUCGAUGUCUCGCCACCAAACCAUAUAUUUCUGAUUAAAUGGAUACUUAUGUACCUAGAAAUGAUUUUUGGAAAAAAAUAAAUAAAGAGCAAACUAUAAGGCAGUUGUUGCUCAAAUUUGACCCGCUUCCUACUAAAUCAGCGGAAAUUUGUCUUUUUCACGAGAGGUGGAUCAAAACUUUUGACACCCAAUCAUUUGGUCAAUUGUGCAUUAAAUAUGGCCUAAUAUUUUAGAAAAAUGAUUUGGUCCAAUUUUGCAACAUACACAUAGUAGGUCCUUCACAAAAAAACUCAUUUUGGGCACUCGAAAAAUGGAAAAUGGUUUUUUUGUCAAAAGAAAAUGAAAACUUCCUUAGCCAACAUUGUUUGCCAUUCCAAGAUGCACCCUUGUGCACACUAUGAGGUCAUUUGAACAAACUAUGUCAUGAAUGCUACCAGAACAUUGAUCAUUUGGCUUGAAAGACAUUGAUCUUCACACAUGAUAGCUCGUUUCUGAGAACACUUUUUUUAAAAUAAUUACCAUAUUACAAGUUUAUUAUUUUUACUGGUAACUUGGCCACAUAUAAUGACACAAUGCGAAGGUUUUCCAAUUUUUAUUUUUUUUUGAAUUUUUCAUGCCCAUUUCAAAAUGCGGUCAAAAUGACGGGCAUGACCGUUUCUCGCUAGUAGUUGAAUCUUGGAAAACUCUUGGUGUUUCUCUGAUUAAAUAGAUACUUGUGUACCUAGAAAUGAUUUUUCUAAAAAAUAAAGAGCAAACUAUAAGGCAGCUGCAGUUCAAAUUUGACCCACUUCCUACUAAAUCGGCGGAAACUUGUCUUUUUCAUGAGAGGUGGAUCAAAGCUUUUAACACCCAACCAUUUGGUCAAUUGUGCAUUAAAUAUGGCCUAAUAUUUUAGAAAAUGAUUUGGUCCAAUUUUGCAACAAACACAUGGUAGGUCCCUCACAAAAAAACUCAUUUUGGGCACUCGAAAAAUGGAAAAUGGUUUUUUUGUCAAAAGAGAAUGAAAACUUCCUUACCCAACAUUGUUUGCCAUUCCAAGAUGCACCCUUGUGCACACUAUGAGGUCAUUUGAACAAACUAUGUCAUGAAUGCUACCAGAACAUUGAUCAUUUGGCUUGAAAGACAUUGAUCUUCACACAUGAUAGCUCGUUUCUGAGAACACUUUUUUUAAAAUAAUUACCGUAUUACAAGUUUAUUAUUUUUACUGGUAACUUGGCCACAUAUAAUGACACAAUGCAAAGGUUUUCCAAUUUUAUGAUUUUUUUGAAUUUUUCAUGCCCAUUUCAAAAUGCUGUCAAAACGGGGGGCAUGACCGUUCCUCGCUAGUGGUUGAAUCUUCGAAAACUUUUGGUGUUUCUCUUAUUAAAUAGAUACUUAUGUACCUAUAAAUGAUUUUUGGAAAAAUAAAGAGCAAACUAUAAGGCAGCUGCAGUUCAAAUUUGAACCGCUUCCUACUGAAUCGGCGGAAAUUUGUCUUUUUCACGAGAGGUGGAUCAAAGCUUUUAACACCCAACCAUUUGGUCCAUUGUGCAUUAAAUAUGGCCUAAUAUUUUAGAAAAAAUAUUUGGUCCAAUUUUGCGACAAAUACAUGGUAGGUAGGACUGGGCAUUCGGUUUAACCGAACCGUUCGGUUCGGUUCUUCGGCUUUUGAAAAAGUUUGGUUUUCAGAUAAUCAUGACCGAUCGGUCAUUUGAAAAAAUACUAACCGAAGAUUCGGUGGACUGAUAUUUCGGUUCGGUGCUCGGUUGACCCCUAAUUGACCGAUAGAUUAGAGAAAUGAAAUGAAAGGAAGAUACACUUCUGCAAUAGAUCUGCAAAAGAACCUUCUGUACGCUCAAGAAGUAAGAUCCUGUAAGUAAAAAUUGGAACCUAGUAGCAAUAUGAUGACGUGAAAUCAUCAACACCUCACGAAGUUAUCAAGAAAUCCCCAUCGUAGAAAGAGAAAAUGCCAACGGUAUGCAAUCAAAGAGAAACACUACAAAAAAAUACACUUCCGUGAUGAUACGUGUUUGUCACAGUAGGUCACGUUUUCUGUCAUGCAUGUACAUCCAUGACAAUUUUAUGACAGAAUCAAGAUAGUCAUACCUGUGCUGUCGUAGAAGUGUUCCAUGACAUUACCAAAAUUAUCAUCACGGAAGUGUCCACUUCCAUGACGAUAAAUCACGCGUCAUAGAAGUGCUUUCGUCAAGGGUGACCGACACGUGGCAUCCACCGUAACGGAACGCCCUUAAGCUAUCGGGUCCGGUUUUGGAUCCGAUAACCCGUUAACAGCCCCGACCAAUGGGGAUUUUCCACGUGUAAAAUCAUCAUUGGCUGGAGGGAACACGUGUCGGCUCGCCGUUGGGACAGAUGUCAUCCGCUCAUUGGACCCAAAACGCCUAUGAUACGUCGACACGUGGCACGGCCCAACAGAGGCCCAUUCCUGUGAAAAGGCCGGCCCAUUUGACUUGGUCAAAAGGUGGCGGGCCGGCCCACGGCAAGCCUGUUAACGGCCUGUUCGCAUAUAGCCCAUUUACAGCCCGCUAACCCAGGGCCCGUUUACGACCUAUCCGAAUUAGGCCCAGUAGCAUCAUCUGGGCCAUCCAAUAUAAUUCCAGCCCGUUUUAACUUUCGGCCCAUGUAUGGCCCAUGAUGUCUUUCGGCCCAUAUGAGGCCCUUAGUAACCCUCGGCCCAUUAAUGGCCCGUGGUAAAAAUGGCCCGUAAUGAACAGUGUAUCACUUUAUACCCAUUAACGGCCCAUUAUUCUGUUGGGCCGUUUCCAGCCCAUGUUAUCUUUCGGCCUUCUCAGGGCCCAUUUAUUCUUGGGCUCAUUUCCGGCAUUCGUUUACUUUCGGCCCGUUACUGUCAUUUUCUGCUUGUGGGCCAAAUUCAGCCCGUUGUUACAGUCGGCCCGUUUGUGGCCCGUUAAUACGUUGGGCCGUUUUCAUAGCGUCAUCAAAUACGGCCGAUUAACGAUGACCCGUUAUGGUCCGCCCAUGAACGGACGAUUUCAACUCUAGCCCAUUUACGGCCAUAAUGUGGUCUAUUAUUGGCCCAUGUUUGGCCAACCGAUCAUACGGCCCGUAGAAGGCCCAUUGAUGAUACGGCCCGUAGAAGGCCCAUUGUGUCUACGGCCCGUAUAAGGCCCAUUGUUUCUACGCCCCGUAGAAGGCCCAUUGUUUCUACGGCCCUUAGAAGGCCCAUUGUUUCUACGGCCCGUAGGAGGCCCAUGUUAACUAAAGUAAAUAUGUAGCGCAUGGUUAAUGUGGCCUAGUUUUAAAAAAUAGGUUAUUGCGGCCACUAGCAAACCGCGGAAAAAGAACUGCACUGACUACAAGAAAACAAAUAAACAAGACAAUAAGGAAAUAAAUAGGCAAGCAACUUACGCUAGGCUAUCACGACUAUUACACAUAUUACAUCCACUGGGCAUCAAAGUUCGCCACCAGUGCAAAUAUAGGGAACAAAGCAGCAUAUAAACGCCGCAGCAAAACAAGUCCAGAACUGAAACCACUUUAGAAGAGCUCAAGAAACAAUAUCCUGGGUACCCAUAAUGCUGGCAAGAUGCUUAGCAAGCUUAUUAACUUUCUCUUGUUUGGCGCUUAAAUCCUCCAGCACUUGCUAUUGCACUAGAAAGUAUGCAUCUGAAUUCUGCAGGGACUUCCUCAGUCCUUCGGCUUCCUGUCGCAUAACAUCUAAUCGAUGUCUUUCAACUUGAAGUUGAGACUCAAGAAGCCGAACUGAUUCAGGCAGCGAGUUCGAAGAGCUGGUGCCAGCAGUAGUAGCCAGUAACUCGAACACUACAUCAAGACAGGACUUUGGGGUUGUCUCAGUGUCUUCAAUAUAGUUUUUAUCAGCUUUCUUGGAGACCAACAAGGAUGUCUCACUAUCUUGAAACUUAUCUGCAUUACUUCCUGUACCAUUGCAUAACGGGGUACUCUUCUCCAAUAUUUUAUCCGCAUUCUUAAAGAGAAACAAACAAACAUAUCACAGGUUUACAAUGUAGUAUAUGAAACUCAUUUUGUUAAACCAGUUCAGUAGUAAGGUGGACAGGAUAACAACAUGAAACAAACUUAUAUCUAUGUAGUAUGGUCACUGUAUGGUCUAUAUCAUUCUAGUUUAUGUUGCCAAAUCAAGAUAGAUACAGUUCGAAUCAUAUCUAUUGAAGACAAAGCAGCUUAGAUAGAAUAUAAGUGUGGGAAACUACACAGCAAUAACAACACUUGUAAGGUGCAUGGCAUGAGAAUAUAACUGUUUAUUCAAUUGAAACUGAAAUCAACAUAGAGCAAGUUACAACAACAAACACGUUAAAGAAACAGGUUUAAAACAUACCUGUUGCGCCAUUGGAGUUUCAAUUGCAUCUUUCAAAUUUGAAAUUAGUUGGUAUGAGUAAAUACAGUGAUGCAAGAGCAAAGUAGUAUGAACCAUAGCUAUGGAACCUGACCUGAGAACAAUUCUUCUUCUGCUUUAAGCGUUGACUUGGGGUUCGGAGUGGUGGUCCUCGUGCUUUGGGCACUGCAGUUGCCUUACUAACUGCUCGUGUUUGGGUGCUGUGUGGUGGAGAUGGUGCUGUGUCAACAGGAACUGGGUUACUAUCUGCUGGGGUUGGGGUUAGAAGGGGUGUAGCUGGUUCUCUGUCCAACUGGGUAGGGGUACAAUCCUGCGUGAGUCUGGAUUAUGUGUGGUGGGGUUGGUGUUGGGGAACGUAGCAGAAAUUCAAAAUUUUCUACGCAUCACCAAGAUCAAUCUAUGGAGUAAUCUAGCACCGAGGGGAAGGGGAGUGCAUCUACAUACCAUUGUAGAUCGCGAUGCGGAAGCGUUGCAAGAACGCGGAUGAAGGAGUCGUACUCGUAGCGAUUCAGAUCGCGGUUGAUUCUGAUCUAAGCGCCGAACCACGGCGCCUCCGUGUUCAACACACGUGCAGCCCGGUGACGUCUCCCACGCCUUGAUCCAGCAAGGAGAGAGGGAGAGGUUGGGGAAGACUCCGUGUGGCACUCCAGCAGGGCUUCGCCAAGCACUGCGAGAGAUGAGGAGGGAGAGGGGUAGGGCUGCGCCAAAGAGAGAGAAAGUCUCAUGUCUAUGGCAGCCCCAAAACCCCCACUAUAUAUAGGGGAGGGCGAGGGGAUGUGACCCCAUCUAGGGUAUCCCCCCAGGGUGCGGCCAGCCCUAGAUCCAUCUAGGGGGGCGGCCAGAAGGGGGACAGAGGGGGGCGCACCACUAGGUGGGCCUUAGGCCCAUCUGAGCCUAGGGUUUCCCCCCUUCUCCCUUCCCUGCGCCCUGGGCCCCUUGUGGGAGGCGCACCAGCCCACCUAGGGGCUGGUCCCUUCCCACACUUAGCCCACGCAGCCCUCUGGGGCCGGUGGCCCCACUUGGUGGACCCCCGGGACCCUCCCGGUGGUCCCGGUACGUUACCGAUUGCACCCGAAACUUUUUCGGUGACCAAAACAGGACUUCCCAUAUAUAAAUCUUUACCUCCGGACCAUUCCGGAACUCCUCGUGACGUCCGGGAUCUCAUUCGGGACUCCGAACAACAUUCGGUAACCACGUAUAUCUAUUCCCUAUAACCCUAGCGUCAUCGAACCUUAAGUGUGUAGACCCUACGGGCUCGGGAACCAUGCAGACAUGACCGAGACGUUCUCCGGUCAAUAACCAACAGCGGGAUCUGGAUACCCAUGUUGGCCCCCACAUGUUCCACGAUGAUCUCAUCGGAUGAACCACGAUGUCGGGGAUUCAAUCAAUCCCGUAUACAAUUCCCUUUGUCAAUCGGUAUGUUACUUGCCCGAGAUUCGAUCGUCGGUAUCCCGAUACCUUGUUCAAUCUCGUUACCGGCAAGUCUCUUUACUCGUUCCGUAACACAUCAUCCCGUGAUCAACUCCUUGGUCACAUUGUGCACAUUAUGAUGAUGUCCUACCGAGUGGGCCCAGAGAUACCUCUCCGUUUACACGGAGUGACAAAUCCCAGUCUCGAUUCGUGCCAACCCAACAGACACUUUCGGAGAUACCUGUAGUGCACCUUUAUAGCCACCCAGUGACGUUGUGACGUUUGGUACACCCAAAGCAUUCCUACGGUAUCCGGGAGUUGCACAAUCUCAUGGUCUAAGGAAAUGAUACUUGACAUUAGAAAAGCUCUUAGCAAACGAACUACACGAUCUUGUGCUAGGCUUAGGUUUGGGUCUUGUCCAUCACAUCAUUCUCCUAAUGAUGUGAUCCCGUUAUCAACGACAUCCAAUGUCCAUGGUCAGGAAACCGUAACCAUCUAUUGAUCAACGAGCUAGUCAACUAGAGGCUUACUAGGGACAUGGUGUUGUCUAUGUAUCCACACAUGUAUCUGAGUUUCCUAUAAAUACAAUUCUAGCAUGGAUAAUAAACGAUUAUCAUGAACAAGGAAAUAUAAUAAUAACCAAUUUAUUAUUGCCUCUAGGGCAUAUUUCCAACAGUCUCCCACUUGCACUAUUGUCAAUAAUCUAGUUCACAUCACCAUGUGAUUAACACUCACAGGUCACAUCACCAUGUGACCAACAUCCAAAGAGUUUACUAGAGUCAACAAUCUAGUUCACAUCACUAUGUGAUUAACACUCAAUGAGUUCUGGUUUGAUCAUGUUAUGCUUGUGAGAGAGGUUAUUAGUCAACGGGUCUGAACCUUUCAGAUCUGUGUGUGCUUUACGAAUAUCUAUGUCAUCUUGUGGAUGCUACCAUGCGCUACUUGGAGCCAUUUCAAAUAACUGAUCUACUAUACGAAUCCGGUUUACUACUCAGAGUCAUCCGGAUUAGUGUCAAAGUUCGCAUCGACGUAACCCUUUACGACGAACUCCUUUUCACCUCCAUAAUCGAGAAAAUUCCUUAGUCCACUAGAUACUAAGGAUAAGUUCGACCGCUGUCAUGUGAUCCAUUCCCGGAUCACUAUUGUACCCCUUGACCAACUCAUGGCAAGGCACACUUCAUGUGCGGUACACAGCAUAGCAUACUAUCGAGCCUACGUCUAAAGCAUAGGGGACGACCUUCGUCCUUUCUCUCUCUUCUGCUGUGGUCAGGUCUUGAGUCUUACUCAAUAAUCACACCUUGUAACACAGCCAAGAACUCCUUCUUUGCUGAUCUAUUUUGAACUCUUUCAAAAUCAUGUCAAGGUGUGCGUUCUUUGAAAGCAUCAUCAGGCGUCUUGAUCUAUCUCUAUAGAUCUUGAUGCCCAAUAUGUAAGCAGCUUUAUCCAGGUCUUCCUUUGAAAAACUCCUUUCAAACACCCUUUAUGCUUUCCAGAAAUUUUACAUCAUUUCGGAUCAACAAUAUGUCAUUCACAUAUACUUAUCAGAAAUGUUGUAGCGCUCCCACUCACUUUAUUGUAAAUACAAGUUUCUAACAAAAUUUGUAUAAACCCAAAAACUUUGAUAACUCCAUCAAAGCAUAUAUUCUGACUCCGAGAUGCUUGCUCUAAUCCAUGGAAGGAUCGCUGGAGCUAGCAUACCUUUUAGCAUCCUUAGGAUGGACAAAACCUUUCUGAUUGUAUCACAUACAACCUGUCCUUACGAAAAACUGGUAAGGAAACUUGUUUUGACAUCCAUCUGCCAGAUUUCAUAAAUGCAGCUAAUGCUAACAUGAUUCCAACGGACUUAAGCAUCGCUACGGAUGAGAAAAUCUCAUCAUAGUCAACUCCUUGAACUUGUGAAAAUACUCUUUGCCACAAGUCGAGCUUCAUAGACGGUAACAUUACCGUCCAUGUCCGUCUUCUUCUUAAAGAUCCAUUUAUCUCAAUGGCUUGCCGAUCAUCGGGCAAGUUCACCAAAGUCCAUGCUUUGUUCUGAUACAUGGAUCCUAUCUCGGAUUUCAUGGCUUCUAACCAUUUGUCAGAAUAUGGGCCCACCAUCGCUUCUCCAUAGCUCGUAGGUUCAGUAUUGUCUAACAACAUGAUAUCUAAGACAGGAUCACGUACCACUCUGAAGUAGCACGCAUCCUCGUCGUCCUACGAGGUUUGGUAGUGACUUGAUCCGAAGUUUCAUGAUCAAUAUCAUAAGCUUCCACUUCAAUUGGUGUAGGUGCCACAGGAACAACUUCCUGUGCCCUGCUACACACUAGUUGAAGUGACGGUUCAAUAACUUUAUCAAGUCUCCACCAUCCUCCCACUCAAUUCUUUCGAGAGAAACUUUUCCUCGAGAAAGGACUUGUUUCUAGAAGCAAUUACUUUUGCUUCCAGAUCUGAAAUAGGAGGUAUACCCAACUGUUUUGGGUAUUCUAUGAAGAUGCAUUUAUCCGCUUUGGGUUCGAGCUUAUCAGCCUGAAACUUUUUCACAUAAGCAUCGCAGCCCCAAACUUUUAAGAAAUGACAACUUAGGUUUCUCUAAACGGCGUCGUCUCAACGGAAUUGUGUGGUGCCCCUUUUAAAGUGAAUGCGGUUAUCUCUAAUGCCUAACCCAUAAACGAUAGUGGUAAUUCGAUAAGAGACAUCAUGGUAUGCACCAUACCCAAUAGGGAGCAGUUAUGAUGUUCGGACACACCAUCACAUUGUGGUGUUCCAGGCGGUAUUAAUUGUGAAACAAUUUCCACAAUGUCUUAAUUGUGUGCCAAACUCGUAACUCAGACAUCUCUAUGAUCAUAUCAUAGACAUUUUAUCCUCUUGUCACGACGAUCUUCAACUUCACUCUGAUAUUACUUGAACCUUUCAAUAAUUCAGACUUGUGUUUCAUCAAGUAAAUACACUCAGCAUCUACUCAAAUCAUCUGUGAAGUAAGAACAUAACGAUAUCCACUGCAUGCCUCAGCACUCAUUGGACUGCACACAUCAAAAUAUUACUUCCAACAAGUUGCUCUCUUGUUCCAUCUUACUGAAAACGAGGCCUUUCAGUCAUCUUGCCCAUGUGGUAUGAUUUGCAUGUCUCAAGUGAUUCAAAAUCAAGUGAGUCCAAACGAUCCAUCUGCAUAGAGUUUCUUCACGCAUAUAUACCAAUAGACAUGGUUCGCAUGUCUCAAUCUUUUCAAAAACGAGUGAGUCCAAAGAUCCAUCUACAUGGAGCUUCUUCAUGCGUUCUAUACCAAUAUGACUCAAAUGGCAGUGCCACAAGUAUGUGGUACUAUCAUUACUAUUUUAUUUCUUUUGGCACGAACAUGUGUAUCACUGCGAUCGAGAUUCAUUUUUGGUGCAAGACCAUUGAAGGUAUUAUUCAAAUAAACAGAGUAACCAUUAUUCUCCUUAAAUGAAUAACCGUAUUGCGAUAAACAUAAUCCAAUCAUGUUUAUGCUCAACGCAAACACCAAAUAACAAUUAUUUAGGUUUAACACCAAUCUCGAUGAUAGAGGGAGCAUGCGAUGCUUGAUCACAUCAACCUUGGAAACACUUCCAACACAUAUCGUCAUCUCACCUUUAGCUAGUCUCCGUUUAUUCCGCAGCUUUUAUUUCGAGUUACUAACACUUAGCAACCGAACCGGUAUCUAAUACCCUGGUGCUGCUAGGAGUAAUAGUAAAGUACACAUUCAUAUAAUGUACAUCCAAUAUACUUCUGUCGACCUUGUCUGCCUUCUCAUCUACCAAGUAUCUAGGGUAGUUCUGCUUCAGUGACCGUUCCCCUCAUUACAGAAGCACUUAGUCUCGGGUUUGGGUUCAACCUUGGGAUUCUUCACUAGAGCAGCAAAUGAUUUGUUGUUUCAUGAAGUAUCCCUUUUGCCCUUGCCCUUCUAGAAACUAGUGGUUUUACUAACCAUCAACAAUUGAUGCUCCUAUUUGAUUUCUACUUUCGCGGUGUCAAACAUCGCGAAUAGCUCAAGGAUCAUCAUAUCUAUCCCUGAUAUGUUAUAGUUCAUCACGAAGCUCUAAUAGCUUGGUGGCAGUGACUAUGGAGAACCAUCACUAUCUCAUCUGGAAGAUUAACUCCCACUCGAUUCAAGCGAUUGUGGCACUCAGACAAUCUGAGCACAUGCUCAACGAUUGAGCUUUUCUCCCUUAGUCUGCAGGCUUAAGAAACUUGUCAGAGGUCUCAUACCUCUUGACGUGGGCACUAGUCUGAAAUCCCAAUUUCAGUCUUCGGAACAUCUCACAUGUUCUGCGACGUUUCAAAACGUCUUUGGUGCCACAAUUCUAAACCGUUUUAGCAUUACGCACUGAACUAUCACGUAGUCAUCAAAACGUGUAUGUCAGAUGUUUCGCAACAUCUACAGACGACGCUGAGGUUCAGCACACCGAGCGGUGCAUUAAGGACAUAAGCCUUCUGUGCAGCAAUGAGGACAAUCCUCAGUUUACGGACCCCGUCCGCAUAAUUGCUACUACCAACUUUCAACUAAAUUUUCUCUAGGAACAUAUCUUAAACAGUAGAACUAAAGCGUAAGCUAUGACAUAAUUUGCAAAGACCUUUUGACUAUGUUCAUGAUAAUUAAGUUCAUCUGAUUAUUUAAUGAACUCCCACUCAGAUAGACAUCCCUCUAGUCAUCUAAGUGAUACAUGAUCCGAGUCAAACUAGGCCGUGUCCAAUCAUCACGUGAGACGGACUAGUCAUCAUCGGUGAACAUCUCCAUGUUGAUCGUAUCUACUAUACGACUCAUGUUCGACCUUUCGGUCUCUUGUGUUCCGAGGCCAUGUCUGUACAUGCUAGGCUCGUCAAGUCAACCUAAGUGUUUCGCAUGUGUUCCGAGGCCAUGUCUGUACAUGCUAGGCUCGUCAACACCCGUUGUAUUCGAACGUUAGAAUCUAUCACACCCGAUCAUCACGUGGUGCUUCGAAACAACGAACCUUCGCAACGGUGCACAGUUAGGGGGAACACGUCUCUUGAAAUUUUAGUGAGGGAUCAUCUUAUUUAUGCUACCGUCGUUCUAAGCAAAUAAGAUGUAAACAUGAUAAACAUCACAUGCAAAUCAUAAAGUGACGUGAUAUGGCCAAUAUCAUCUUGCGCCUUUUGAUCUCCAUCUUCGAGGCGUGGCAUGAUCACCUUCGUCACCGGCAUGACACCAUGAUCUCCAUCAUCAUGAUCUCCAUCAUUGUGUCUUCAUGAAGUUGUCUCGCCAACUAUUACUUCUACUACUAUGGCUAACGGUUAGCAAUAAAGUAAAGUAAUUACAUGGCGUUUUCAUUGACACGCAGGUCAUACAAUAAAUUAAGACAACUCCUAUGGCUCCUGCCGGUUGUCAUACAUCGACAUGCAAGUCGUGAUUCCUAUUACAAGAACAUGAUCAAUCUCAUACAUCACAUAUAUCAUUCAUCACAUCCUUUUGGCCAUAUCACAUCACAUAGCAUACCCUGCAAAAACAAGUUAGACGUCCUCUAAUUGUUGUUGCAUGUUUUACGUGGCUGCUAUGGGAUUCUAGCAAGAACGUUUCUUACCUACGUAAAAGCCACAACGUGAUAUGCCAAUUUCUAUUUACCCUUCAUAAGGACCCUUUUCAUCGAAUCCGAUCCGACUAAAGUGGGAGAGACAGACACCCGCUAGCCACCUUAUGCAACUAGUGCAUGUCAGUCGGUGGAACCUGUCUCACGUAAGUGUACGUGUAAGGUCGGUCCGGGCCGCUUCAUCCCACGAUGCCGCCGAAUCAAGAUAAGACUAGUAACGCAAGUAAAUUGACAAAAUCGACGCCCACAACUACUUUGUGUUCUACUCGUGCAUAGAAACUACGCAUAGACCUAGCUCAUGAUGCCACUGUUGGGGAACGUAGCAGAAAUUCAAAAUUUUCUACGCAUCACCAAGAUCAAUCUAUGGAGUAAUCUAGCACCGAGGGGAAGGGGAGUGCAUCUACAUACCAUUGUAGAUCGCGAUGCGGAAGCAUUGCAAGAACGCGGAUGAAGGAGUCGUACUCGUAGCGAUUCAGAUCGCGGUUGAUUCCAAGCUAAGCGCCGAACCACGGCGCCUCCGCGUUCAACACAUGUGCAGCCCGGUGACGUCUCCCACGCCUUGAUCCAGCAAGGAGAGAGGGAGAGGUUGGGGAAGACUCCGUCCAGUAGCAGCACAACGGCAUGGUGGUGAUGGAGGAGCGUGGCACUCCAGCAGGGCUUCGCCAAGCACUGCGAGAGACGAGGAGGGAGAGGGGUAGGGCUACGCCAAAGAGAGAGAAAGUCUCAUGUCUAUGGCAGCCCCAAAACCCCCACUAUAUAUAGGGGAGGGGGAGGGGCUGUGACCCCAUCUAGGGUUUCCCCCCAAGGGGUGCGGCCAGCCCUAGAUCCAUCUAGGGGGCGGCCAGAAGGGGGAGAGAGGGGGGCGCACCACUAGGUGGGCCUUAGGCCCAUCUGAGCCUAGGGUUUCCCCCCUUCUCCCUUCCCUGCGCCCUGGGCUCCUUGUGGGAGGCGCACCAGCCCACCUAGGGGCUGGUCCCUUCCCACACUUAGCCCACGCAGCCCUCUGGGGCCGGUGGCCCCACUUGGUGGACCCCCGGGACCCUCCCGGUGGUCCCGGUACGUUACCGAUAGCACCCGAAACUUUUCCGGUGACCAAAACAGGACUUCCCAUAUAUAAAUCUUUACCUCCGGACCAUUCCGGAACUCCUCGUGAUGUCCGGGAUCUCAUCCGGGACUCCGAACAACAUUCGGUAACCACGUAUAUCUAUUCCCUAUAACCCUAGCGUCAUCGAACCUUAAGUGUGUAGACCCUACGGGCUCGGGAACCAUGCAGACAUGACCGAGACGUUCUCCGGUCAAUAACCAAGAGCGGGAUCUGGAUACCCAUGUUGGCCCCCACAUGUUCCACGAUGAUCUCAUCGGAUGAACCACGAUGUCGGGGAUUCAAUCAAUCCCGUAUACAAUUCCCUUUGUCAAUCGGUAUGUUACUUGCCCGAGAUUCGAUCGUCGGUAUCCCGAUACCUUGUUCAAUCUCGUUACCGGCAAGUCUCUUUACUCGUUCCGUAAGACAUCAUCCCGUGAUCAACUCCUUGGUCACAUUGUGCACAUUAUGAUGAUGUCCUACCGAGUGGGCCCAGAGAUACCUCUCCGUUUACACAGAGUGAAAAAUCCCAGUCUCGAUUCGUGCCAACCCAACAGACACUUUCGGAGAUACCUGUAGUGCACCUUUAUAGCCACCCAGUUACGUUGUGACGUUUGGUACACCCAAAGCAUUCCUACGGUAUCCGGGAGUCUCACAAUCUCAUGGUCUAAGGAAAUGAUACUUGACAUUAGAAAAGCUCUUAGCAAACGAACUACACGAUCUUGUGCUAGGCUUAGGUUUGGGUCUUGUCCAUCACAUCAUUCUCCUAAUGAUGUGAUCCCGUUAUCAACGACAUCCAAUGUCCAUGGUCAGGAAACCGUAACCAUCUAUUGAUCAACGAGCUAGUCAACUAGAGGCUUACUAGGGACAUGGUGUUGUCUAUGUAUCCACACAUGUAUCUGAGUUUCCUAUCAAUACAAUUCUAGCAUGGAUAAUAAAUGAUUAUCAUGAACAAGGAAAUAUAAUAAUAACCAAUUUAUUAUUGCCUCUAGGGCAUAUUUCCAACAGUUGGUUCUUGGGCAAGUACAACCGUGGUUCUAUCUCCAUCGACAGGUAGCACGAUCUUUUCUGAAGACUGUGUUUUUACUCCCACAGAUACUGCCAUCACCCCCUCCAAUUGAAAUGGCUAAUAAACAAGAAAAGUAAUUGAAUGUACAGACAUUGUAAGAUAGACAGGUGCAAUGGAUAGUAGGGAAGAAAACAGGGCAUGAAAUAAUUCACAUUUAUGUUGUCUAACCAAACAGAAUAGCAGGACAUAAUUUCACAUAUAUGAUGGCUAAUUAAACAGGAUAGCAUGACACAAUUUCACAUGUAUGAUGGCUAACUAAACAGGAUAGAAUGACAUACUUCAAAAUAUGAUGACUAUGUAAACAGGAUGACAUGAUAUAACUAUACGAUGUGUCUAUUAAAGUGGUUGGCAUGCCAUAAAUCACAAACAUGCCGUCGAUGGAAACAUGAUGGCAUGAUAUAAUUCACGGAUAGAAUGAAACAAUUCAAAAUAUAUGAUGACUAUGUGAACAGGAUGAGAUGAUAUAACUAUAUUAUGUCUUUAGAAAAUGGGUUGGCAUGCCAUAAUUCAGAUACAUGCUGCCUAUCUAAACAUCAUGGCAUGAUAUAAUUCAAAUAUAUGAUUUAUAUACUAAGGAAGUGAGCAGAGGGCAAUCACAUAUAUGAUGUGUCAACUAAGGAGAUGGCAUUCAAUAUCGUGUAUAUGAUGUAAAAACUAAGCAUUGCAAUACAACACAUGCAUGAUAUGAGUAAUAUAACCCUGCCAAGUUUGAGCAUACACCUCAGGGGGAUAAUAGGACUGGUCAUCUGCCUCUGAAUCCUCAUCUGAAGAGCUAUCUGUAACCAGCAAGAUAUCUGCUUCACCAGGUAGCAUUGUCUGCUCUGAAGACCUUGUUUUCACUCCAGAUUUCUCCAUCACCAAUUCAAAUGGCUGAUGCAUAGGAAGAGCAGUUGAAUAUACAAACAUUGUCGACAAAAGCAAUGACAAAUACAAAAAAAGGAUGGCAUGAUAUAAUUCACAUAUAUGACGCUUGGCUAAACAUCAUGGCAUUGCAUAAUUCACAUAUAUAAUGCCUUGCAACAAGAUAGCAUUGCAUAAUUCACAUAUAUAAUGUCUUGCAACAAGAUGGCAUUGCAUAAUUCACAUAUAUGGUAAUUAGACACUAAACAGGUGGCAUUCACACAAAGCAUGUCUAAACUAAGCAAAUGACAUAGCAAUGCAAGAUACCAUACNNNNNNNNNNNNNNNNNNNNNNNNNNNNNNNNNNNNNNNNNNNNNNNNNNNNNNNNNNNNNNNNNNNNNNNNNNNNNNNNNNNNNNNNNNNNNNNNNNNNNNNNNNNNNNNNNNNNNNNNNNNNNNNNNNNNNNNNNNNNNNNNNNNNNNNNNNNNNNNNNNNNNNNNNNNNNNNNNNNNNNNNNNNNNNNNNNNNNNNNNNNNNNNNNNNNNNNNNNNNNNNNNNNNNNNNNNNNNNNNNNNNNNNNNNNNNNNNNNNNNNNNNNNNNNNNNNNNNNNNNNNNNNNNNNNNNNNNNNNNGGUCAUCUAUCUCUGAAUCCUCCUCUGAGGAGCUAUCUGUAACCAGCAAGACAUGCGCUUCAUCAGAUAGCAUUGUCUGCUCUGAAGACCUUGUUUCCACUCAGAUUUUUCCAUGACCGUGCCGGAUGGCUGAUGCACAGGAAGAGUAAUUGAAUGUACUAAAAUUGUUGAAAAUUUUAACACGUAAUAAAAAAAUGAUGUCAUGAUAUAAUUCACAUAUAAGAUGACUAGCUAACCAGGGUGGCAUUGCAAAAUUCACAUAUAUGAUGCCUGGCUAAACAAGAUGGCAUUGCAUGAUUCACAUAUACGAUAAAGAAACUAAACAGAUGGCAUUGACACAAAGCAUGUCUAAACUAAGCAGAUGACAUCUUUGAUGUAUACAGUAAGCAAUGCAAGGCACCAUAUGCAUGAUAUUACCAACAUCAGCAUGCCAAGUUAGAGCGAAGAUCUCAUGGGGUAAAUAGGAGUGGUAUUCUGCUUCUGAAUCCCCCUCAGAACAGUUAUCUUCCUCUUGAUUACGAUUCGAAAUGGGUGGAGAGGGGGCUGCCUUUGCGCCCACCAUGGAGCGACAUCUGCAUGAAAUUUUAUUGCCACGCAAAGCUCGUCUCUUUUGCUCUACAUGUUCAGUUCCAUUGUGUACAAUAACUGACAUGCAUAGGAAUAAAACAUUGUGAGAUUAUGUAAGGAGUGCAUGCACAAAUCCAGAGUGAUGGUAGCAAACUGUGGAUAGACCCAAAACAAAUGAUAGCAGGCAGGUAAUAGCUUUAGUUAAAAAGUACAGAUAAUAGCACCUUUAAUAUUUGUUUGCACCCAACAUGAAACUCAUAGUAGACACCCGAGAUUAACUAGAUAGUAGACAUAUAGUACUGAUUGCUGCCCCAAUAUGUACCCCACAACCAUUUAAAACCUCAAGUUUCAGCAUAAGUUUGGACCUGAGUCGGAGUCUAAUAGGUGAACACGACGAUAAAGUAGCAUGUCAUCAUAUUAAGCGAUGCAUAACGUAAGCAGACACGGAAGAGUGUGACCUCUCUUGCGGACCCGUGUAGUCCUCAAGGUCAUCUGCUCAGUUGAUGAUGGUAAUGCAGUUGUCGUGGCUGCCGGCGGCGGGGAAGAAGAUCUGAGGCGACGAAAGACAGUCUGGAGAGCAGAUCCCUGCUGUGGUGAACCCUUCCAUCGUUGGAGCAGCUGAGCUGGGGUGGAACACAGCACCGCAGGAGCAGGACAAACCACACAAGGUUUUCUUUGACACAUAUCUGUAACAGAAGUAAUUGUGUAAGGGCUUGUUUGAAUUUGAGGAUUCUAACAAUGCAGGGAUAGGAAAUAGACAGGAAUAGGAUACGAAUGCACGUGCAAGACAGAGAAUUUAAAAACACAAGAUUUCUGCCAAUCUGGGUGUUUGGUUCACAAGAAUUGGAAGAUCACAUGAUGCAAAGAAGCAUGGUGAGAUUAAGUCAAACCACAAGAAGUGUACAACCUCUUUGGCGAAGCCAUGUCGAUCUCAGCGUGAUUGGGUUGGCCGGUGAGGAUGCUCCGGCUGACUUGGCUGUCGAAGGAGGGGAAGAAGAUCUUAGGCGUCUGGAGAUGGAGCCUGAGGUACUGCCCUGCUGUGAUGGAGGGUUUUGUCGUUGGACCAGCUCCGGUGAGUUGUACGACGCCGAGGCUGAAGCAGGACAAGAGAGACAACGUUAACCUGAGUGGAAUUCUAAUAGCAUCUCCAAUAGAUGACUUAAAAUACAUAACCACAAAGUGCUAGAUGUAUACAUCAGCCGCUCAUCUCUGAACUUAACUGUCGAAACUGAAUUUAACUAUCGAAACUGAACUUAACUGUCGAAACUGAAUUUUGCUGUCAAAACUGAAUUUUACUAUCGAAACUGAACGCACUAGAGGUGACGCUACACGUCAGUCGACUGACUUUUUCAUCUCUGGUCAGUCGAUUUUGCAGCUGUUGGAUACGAAAUCAAGGGCCUGCAGUUCAUCUUCAACCUCCAGCCCCCUGAGCCGCCAGCCACCACCGGCCAAACAGCCGCCUCCCGCCACCCGCCCCGAAAACACUCCCCACCGCCGGUCCGCCACCGCCCCGGCCAUCCCUCUAGGCCCCCCCGUGCCGAGCUUUUUCUCCGGCGAUCCCCACGCCACCGCCCCGCCACCGCCGGCGACCACCGCUCCCACCCUGAACCCUAAGAUAGAUAGUGGGGUACCUCUCCGACGAGCCCCCCUCCCUGCUGCGGCUGGUUCUUCCUUAACUCCGGCGAGNNNNNNNNNNNNNNNNNNNNNNNNNNNNNNNNNNNNNNNNNNNNNNNNNNNNNNNNNNNNNNNNNNNNNNNNNNNNNNNNNNNNNNNNNNNNNNNNNNNNNNNNNNNNNNNNNNNNNNNNNNNNNNNNNNNNNNNNNNNNNNNNNNNNNNNNNNNNNNNNNNNNNNNNNNNNNNNNNNNNNNNNNNNNNNNNNNNNNNNNNNNNNNNNNNNNNNNNNNNNNNNNNNNNNNUGAAAAUCGAUUGACCCAAAAGUCGAUUCAGUCGACUGAAGUGUAGCUAAAUCAGAGCAGCAUCGCAAGCAAGAGCAAGAGCGAGAGCAACAGCGCGAGCAAGAGCAGACCAGGCAGGGGACCGAGAGCAAGAGCAGAGCAGCAGCGAGAGCGAGAGCUAAAGUAGUAGCAGCUCCUACUGAUGUGGACGUCGCCGCUGAGGGAGCGACGCCGUGGAGGAAGUGGCUGGCGGCGCCGCCGUGGAUGGAGCCGCGCCAUGUCGGCUCGGGACCGAGCACCGGCAGCACCGUGAGAUCGAAUCAAGAAGAAAAUGCGGCGAUUAGUGUACAACCUCUUUGGUGGCGCCGAUUAGGCCGCAGCUUCAUCCGAGGAAACGGUGAUGAUGAUGCUCUUCCGGUGGUGCAGGUGAAGACGACGGUGUGGAAAUGGAGGUGGCGCGAAAGACGAGGGGAACGUCGGGGCAGCUCCUUGGAGGUGGAGGAUGGGGUGGCUGAACCGGCGGGACGACCAGAUCGAUGAUGGAUCCUCAUCCGGUACGGUGGAUGAGGGACGUCGAGGUUUUGCUGUGGACGACGUCGUCGGGGAAGAGGCUCAGGCUGGGUGGCGGACGGAGGAGGGUGUGGGGCUUCGCGGGUUUUCCCGGCCUCGGUGUAUGAAUGGGUGGGCAGAUGGGAUGGGAGUGGGGAACCAUGGCUUAGGGACGCGCUUGUCCGAAAUGUGGGGUAAGUUACGAAAGUACCCCUACCGAUUUGAGGUGGUUCUUUCGGUUUAGGGGUAUCACGGGCAUUUCGCGUGUCGGGAUUUCACAGGAGGUGGGAGUUUUCGCGCGCGUUGUAAUUUUGGAAUAGCAAGGCGCGGGUUGAGAUGGAGGGAGUUGUCGGAGCACAACGAGACAAAGAUUUAUCUUAAAUAUUUCAGGGUAACAAGGCGCGGGUUGAAGAGGCGGGAGUUUCGCAGCACGACAGACAGAGACGCUAGCUUGAAAUUUCGGCAUAACAAGGCGCGACUUACACAGACACCAUUUAGACUAGUAAGGUACACGUGCAUUGCACGCAUGAGAUUUGGCAACCAAAUUAUGAAUAAAUACCACAUUAUAUCAUGUAAGCUUUGAGUCAUAUAUACAUAUUGUAGAUGUUCGUUUAAUUCUUAUAGUUCAUUUCAUUCAAAAUCAUCUAGUUUUUAUAAGAAAGUUAAUCUAUUUUAAGAUUCAUGGAAUUGUGCAUUGUAAGGCAUAAAGUAAAAACAAAUCAUGUAGAAAAACAUUUGGGUAAUUCUGAUACGAAAGAUUCUAGAACAAAGAAGAAGUGCUUGUGCUUUGAGGUUUGUGCAUUAUGCUUAAGUUCAACCAUAGAGUCUUCUAGAUUGUACAUGUGGCAAAAUCUGGUGGAAUCUAGAUGAUAUCCAACGGCCAGUAGUGCUCAAAUUUGCCAGCUCUACACCAUCGGAUUGGCCUCAUCCAACGACCAUCUUUCAAAGUUAAAGUUAUCCGCACACUAUAUAAAAAAUAUAAAAUAUAAUAUAUAUAGGGGUAUAGAUAUAUAUAUAUAUAUGUGAUGCGAAAGCCACCCAUCAUCUCCAAUUAGAAUAGUGUGUCCAUGCACGGACGCAAUGUGGCCAAACGAUGUCUGCCAUCGGUAUCUCAAAUUCAAACCAGUCUGACCUUGUUCAACGUGUAUACAUUACAACAUGCUCGUUUCCAAACCACACCGCGCAGAUAUCCGUUAUAUUCAUGCAUGCAUGGGUUUCAAGCAUCAUGAUCUCUUAUUCAAAUAUUUGAAUUCAACUUUACAUUGAUUAUGACCUCAACUAGUCUUUUACACCCACACAUUGGUCUUCUCUUUAUAAUUGUACUACUAACUUUCUCUCAUGCAUGCAUGCACAUACACUACCAGUCGGCAUUAUCCAUCGCACACAUGCAAUCUUUUUCUUCAGGUCGGUCUCCCAUGAAGGCACACACACACACACAUCCCCCUCUCCAUCAUAUUGGGCAUUCUUUAUCUCUCAUGUGCAUGCGCAACGAUCGAUGUUCCUCUAUGUGUGUGUGUAUAUAGCUAGGUCUUUCAUAGUUUUCCACAUAGAUCGAUCAAUCUAUAUAUCUAGUGAGGUCUCACCCUCUUUCCCACGUCCACAUCGAUCAAUCUAUACCUCUCUAUAUAGGAUUACAUAUAUAGCUAAUACACCCACAUUAAUUAUAUAUCCAACGCCCCCCUCUCAUCAUCCAUGCCUUCCGCUUCAUCUCUCAGACGUGCGCACAAUGGCGAAGACAGGGGCAGCAAGGGCCCUGCCCCCCCUAACAUCACUAUAUAUCGAGGCUAAUAUGAAUGUGAUCAUUAGACAAUUGAUGGUAAAAAUUGUUGAAGUUGAUGAAUUGGCCCUCCUCGUAAAGGAUUAGCAAUGCUUGGCCCCCUAGCUCAUGGGACAUUUUUCAUGGCUCCGGCACUGCGCGCAACAGCGCACGUUCUCGCCCCCUCUCUCUAAAUAUCGAUCUCGCAGUUGUGCACUCCUUCAUAGUCUCCCUCCACUCGGCCCCUCGCACCAUCUUCUAGCCCCCCACCGGAUUUUGCCACAUGUACAAUCUAGCAGACUCCAUGGUUGAAAUUAAGCAUAAUGCACAAAUCUCAAAACAACAGUGGUUCUCCUUUGUUCUAGAAUCUUUCGUAUCAUAACUGCCUAAACUUUUUUUCUAGUUGAAUUGCCAUUAUUUGUUUUUACUUUAUGCUUUACAACGCACAAUUCCAUGAAUCAUAAAAUAGAUUAAGGGCUUCUUUGAUUCAAAGGAUUCUCGAAGGAAUUUUGGAGGAUUCUAAUCCUUAGGAAUUUUUCCUAUCUUGGUUGUUUGAUUCGUAGGAUUGUAAACCAUAGGAAUUUUUUCAUAUGAUUCAUUUGCACUAGAUUUCAUAGGAAACAUCCCAUCCACUCAAACCUCUUUGAAAGAAUUCUGCGUUUUUUCUAUGCACAAUCAAACACUCGUACCAUCCUGUAGGAUUCAAGACGACAUUCCACUCUAAUCCUGUUCUUCCUAUUCCCGCGUUUUGGAAAUCCUACGAAUCAAAGAGGCCCUACGUUUUUUAUAAAAACUAAUUGAUUUUGAAUGAGAUGAACUAUAAGAAUUAAACGAAGGUCUACAUCAGGCAUAUAUGACUGAGAGCUUACAUGCUACAGUGUGGUAUUUAUUCAUAAUUUGGUUGCAAAAUCUGACGCGUGCAAUGCACGUGUACCUUACUAGUACUUCGAGUAUGUGCAAAACACAAUGGCACGCUACACAGUGUCUCUCUUACAGUUCAUGAAGCCACGUGGCACAUGUGGAGGCGUUGUCGCGACAUCCUUGUGUGGAUUGAUCACAAUGAUGUGCUGCUGGUUCCAGAAGAAUGUACCCGUCCUCCCUGAGCCGCACUGGCGGUACAUGCAUGAAGCGAAGAUGUGCACGCAUGCCACGCAUGCACUCAUUCCCUCGCACGCACACACGGGUACACGGGCGGACGCAAUUUUGUACCAAGAUCCACCCCAUGUGAUAAUUUGACACGUGUAAAGUCCUUCACUUCAUUGAUGGUCAAUUAAUACAGCGCAUGCAAAUUGAGUGGACGUGAGGGCGGAAGAAAGACAUUACUACUCCACUGCGCGCAUGCGAGUAGUUAAAUCAUGGGUUGCUAGUAGUACUUCCACUGGUCUCCUUCGUAUUUUGUGCCAAUUUUUGACAGUAACAUAAUAUUUACGCAUCUGAGCAGUGUAGUCUACUUGAAAUUUAUGUACCACUAAACUCAUCGGGAGCCGUUUCGGGCCUCGAAACCAAAAACCAUCAAUUAAUCUUUACCUUGUUCCCAUCACAUUCGAAAGUACUAGUCUACAAUUAAGUGCAAGCUUGCUCACACCUACCAGUACGUACCAAACCUGAACGUGUUCCCACCAUGCAGGUUUUAGUACUAGUGCUAGUACUUAGGUUAUAAAAAGGGGAACUACCUAACCGAAAAUUACUCUACCUUCCUCCUCAUAAGUCCUCCUUCUUCGUCCGUCCUUGCCAUGGCCGGUGUGCAGAGCUCUAGGUCGAGAACUACUCGUAACAAGGGAGCGGCAACCAAGGCUGCGGAAAAAAAGAGGGCUCAUCACCAUGCAGAGACCUUGAAAGAUCUCUCACGGGCAGGCAAUGGCUCCCAGGAGCGGCCUAGACGCGGAGGCGAACAUGCCGAGCUGGCGACGCUGGAGUCAUUAUCCCUCGACGGCAUGCCCGAUCAGGUCAAUAAGCACCUCAAUAAGCAGAAGGAGUUCAUCCAUGGCUUGGUGGAGCUGCUGAAGGAGAGCCUCGACGACAUGCCCGCUGAGCUCAAUGAGCAGGGGGAGUUGACCGCCGGCCUGGUGAUGCUGCUGAAGAAGAGCAUUGCCUCGGAGAAGAAGGCGAUCGACGAAAUCCUGCAACUUCAGGAGGACAAGGCGAAGCUCUGCCACGAGCUGGACCUGCUGAAGGACGAGAACACCGGCUGGAAGAAGCUGCAUGAGAAUAGUAGUUCCUCGCUGAAGAUGUUGCAGGCUCUCAUCAUGGAACGGAAGGAGGAGUUGGCGAAGCUCCGCAUCGAGCACCCGGCCGCUGUCAAGGUACGUAAUGCGGCCGUGGAACAGAUGAUGAAGGCUCGCGUCGAGAAAUCCCGCGUCAUGGACACAAUGAUGAAGAUGGCGGAGGAGACGCGCAAGGAGAUGGAGGUCAUGGAGGCGAUGAAGAAGCAGUUAUGACUCCGCGGUCAGCAACCCUUCAUGUAGUGAGAGCAGCGCCCUAGACUUGUGUGUGCGUCUUCCUUCUUUUUUUGGGGUGAUAAUCCUCCUUCUUCUUUUGCUCCUGUGUUUCUUAUUUUGCUUCGGGUGUUUAGCCGCACGUGUCACCUUCUCUGCGAGGCAUGAAUAGAACAAUGCUAAAAAUGAGAUGACUAGCAAAUUAGAUCAUUCUUUAUCGCCAAUAGAACAAUGCCUCUUGCUAGUAAUAUAUAAUAAGAGUAGAGAGUAGAGGAUAUGGCACUGGGCUGCCGUGUUUCAUGCUCCUCCGUCGUACUCCAGUGGAAAACUUGAGUAUACCGCACGGUUCUUUGCUCCUCCUCAGGUCGUCGGCACAUUUAUACGAGCAGUCAAAUCACAAGGCCCCGCCUUCCAGCAGUAUGAGCCAUCAAAUCACAAAGGCCCUCGCCUCUCGUGAAAAGGACCAAGCUAGACUGCCCCGCCCUCUAGCCUUUUAAAAAAUGUAUACGUUUGUACAGUAGUAGUAUCAAUGGAUUGCUCCAUGGAGCAAAACUAACAAGAUGUAAUUAAAGAAAAAAAAGGUGGUACAUAUAGAGAGCGCUCGUCGCCAAAUUAUGCAUAUACUAUAUGACACUACCCACUAUGAAGGUACUAGUAACAUAGACUAGUAACUAGUCUAUGCUACUCUCCACUAUGACCAGCCAAAGUCGAGGCGCGGAUACCAACGAGGGCCUGGUUGUGUCUAUACUUGGACAACUCACCCGACUGCAUGCGCACCAGGCAGACGAAGCUCGUGUCGUGUUGGUGCCGUGUGCGGCCCGUACAUGAACCAAAACCUCGCGCCUCCAUCUUAGCCUCCGCAUUUUAAACUUCUCAAUCUCAAGGCCAAGGAGCAACAUGAAACCUAUGAUAGAGCCAAUCGGAUGGUUGAGAACACUACAAUUCAUAGCUACAGAUGCGUGUGUGAGAGAGGACGAGUGUGUGCGUGCACCUCUUCUUAGAGUACAACUGUAUGUGGGUGGCAUCGACCUAGGGAGCAGUGAUGGUGCGUGUGAGAAGUCCCGAGAGAUAGGUGUAAUGCGUCUGAAAAAAAGACUAGUCUAUAGCUCGCCAUGAGGCUAUUCCUGUCGAACGCCAAGUGUAAGAUAUGUAUCCGAUGGUGCCAGUUUUUGCACGUACACAGCAGUAGAAAAAGACUAGUACCAUGGCAUAUGCUACACCACGGCCGAGAAAACGUGCCGACGUUACGCCAUCCGGGAAUAGUGCCGCACUUCAAAACUAGAACCGUCAAUAAAUUUGAGCGCGUCUCGUCACAUUCCAAAUUACUACUACUACCACGCUAUAUUUAAUUGCAAACCUGUUCACACCGAUCACAACCUAAACGGUUUCCCACUUAGGAGCGUAUUAGUAGUACUCGGUUAUAAAUACUACUAUGCUAAGAUGACUGCACAUUCCUCCUCAACUCCUCAUCCACAAAAAACAAUCAAGUCAAUCAAGCCAUAGCCAGCGUGAGUUCUGGGUCGAGAGAUUACCACCAGGGAGAGGUGAGCAUGGAAGAGGAAGCACGAGAGAUGUCCCGCCUCACCGCGAAAGCAGCCGACAUGUCCAACCGCGCAGCAGUAGCAGCACAGAUGUCCCGCCGCGCCGCCUAAGCAGCACGGAGAUCCCGCCGCGCCGUCGAUGUAGCAGACUGGUCCGGCCACGCCGUGGAAGCAGUAGAGAUGUCCCACCGUGCCGCCGAAGCAGCUGGGAGGUCCCGCCGCGCCGCGGCGGCCUUGGAAAAUUUCUCGCGGGCAGGCGAGGACUCUUACAGGCGCAUGCAUGCGAUAGUCCAUAGCCAGAUGGGUCAGAUCACCGGCUGGGCGAGGAUGCAGGACGAGGCUACCGGCAUCAGCCGGCAACUAGGGGAGGGCAAUGCGAAGCUCCGAGGCGAGCGCGACCUGCUGAGGGCGAAGAUCGCCGGAAGGGCAAAGCAGGAGGAGGAGGCCGCUGCCUUGUUGCAGAGGACGGGCGUCAUCAUCAAGAAACUUAUGGACGAGAAUGCCAUGCUCCGCAUCGAGUGCAACAGGCUGGUGGAGGAAUCCAUGGAUGCUGCCAAGCAGCGUAUUAAGGACAUGAAACUGAUGAAAGAGAUCAUCGCCCGCCGCGAGAACUAGUCUCCGCGACCUGCAGCGCAUAAAGAAAGUAGAGAUCAGCGAGCCAGAUUGUUGUAUGCGUCUUCCUUCUUCUUUUGCCCUUGUGUAUUUCGGGCGUAGCCGCAUGUUGCUUUUUUAAUUAUCUUCCUUAUUAUGUAAGACAAUUAUUAUCCACUCUCGUCGUCCUUAUAUAUAUUCAUCAGUCUUGCUAUAAGUCGCAGUAGAUGCUAUAUAGGUCCGUCGGAUCUUACAUCAAGAUCCGUGCAAAAUUUUAUUUUCAGAUUUUCUUUCUUCUCUCUUAAAUCUCAGUCGAGUGAGACAUUGCCACGCCAUUAAAUAGAGGCUCGGGCGCCAUUAAUGGAGACCUUGGGAGAGAGGUGGACGGCAGAUGGAGGUCAAAGGGCUCUCCUCCCGAUAAGCACGCGCAGGGGUCUGAUCGCACGCCUCCCAUACUCAAAUAGCUACCCUGCACGGCGCCUCCUAGCUAAUAAAAAAGGGGACGCGUGGCGGCACGUAAAUGGUAAAUAGAACGCCCACGGUUUUAAUAAUACUUGCGUUUCCGAUUGUAAUGUGACAACACUUGUUCCAAAAUGACUUUGUUGAUUGUUAAUGUGUGUGCCUUCACAAAUCGGACAGCAAAAUUACCACAGCAUGUUGGUGCCAAUGCAUGACACCAAGCCAAGUUUCAUGAUUUUCAUGCGUGUUUCAGAUUUAAUGGAAAUUAAAAAACCAAGUUUCUCAAUGUUUCCAGCUGAGCCAUGACGCCCAGAUGUCUGAAUUUCAUUCCCAUUUCUGGCAUGGGACCUAGAAAUUUACCCGAGGACACACAUGUGAUUUUUCAACCAGCUUUGGUGCACUGGAGCAUGUGCUUGUAUUUAAAAUUUGAAUUAUGCACACAAAGGUGACACGUUCCCUCUCAGAACCAUGAGCCUUCUUGAGAGAAGCUCCGGUUUGCAAGAAACUUAUACCAAAACUUGUUCCUAUUCUGCAAUUUUUUUACCACAGCAUGGUAGUACCAUGACAUGACACCAUGCCAAGUUUCAUGAUUUUCAGGUGUGUUUUGGAUUUACAAGAAUUUUAAAACCAAGCUUCUCAAUGUUCUCGGCCGAACCACGAUGCCAGAUGUUUGAAUUUCAUUACCAUUUCUUGCAUGGGACCUAGAAAUUCACCCGAGGACACACAUGUGAUUUUUCAGUCAACUUUGGUGCACGGGAGCAUGUGCUUGUAGUUCAAAUUUGAAUUAUGCACAUUAAAUGACCAGAAACUCAAUUAAUGUACAAAAAAGGCCAAACGAACCCGGAAUAAUUCCAAAAUUUAACAGGGCACUCAUAUAGUUCUAUGUUGCCUCUGUAAAGAAAAUCUGGGGGAGACAGCGUAUAUUGUUUCGCACACAAAGGUAUAAAGAAAUAAAGAAAUAAAGAAAUUAGCAUACCUAUUUAAUUCUUGGAUUCUUAUUAUUUAUGCCACUAGUUGUGUAUCACUACUCAGUUUUGCCAUUAGAAGUUACAACUACUCAAAAAAUGCCAUCGAUCCAUGAGAUGCCUGCUCAAAAAUGCAAUUAGAUAUCUAAAAAAUGCCAUUGUUAAGUUAGAUGUUUGCUCAGAAAUGCCAUUAGACAUUGUUAUUUUCACGUCAAACCCGUUGACCAUGUUACAUGAGAAAAAUAAGCCGAUUCUCACAAUGAUAAGUUAAUGGUGUCCAGCACAACACACCCCUCAAAUAAAACUAAGCACCCUGGAAUUCUUUGACAAAACUAAGCACCCUGAAAUUCUUUGACAACUAAACUGCUGGCUAUAUGAUGUUGGCCAUAUAUAUUGUACGUAUAUAAUGUCAAGAAACGAGUGGUAGUACUAUACCAACUAAAAGAUGAAAUGUACGAAAAUAACAAGAAGAAACAUAACAUAGUUCUGCUGGGGGCUCAGCACAACACACCCCUCAAAUAAAACUAAGCACACCAGAAAUUAAACUAAGCAACUAAUCCGGUAGACACUGCAUUAGAGCCACCAUGAGCAACGACACUGCCACCUUACUCGGAGUCCUCGUCCACGUCCUCGACUUUGUCCUUGUCCCUCUUCCUCUUGGGCGAUACUUCUUUGCUUAAACCGCACACUUGGCUCUUGCUCUUCAUCCAACCCUUGUAGAUAUUGAAACAAAGGUAGCCAUCCAUUGCAGCGUAGUGGAUGUGGUCUAUAUCUAGUACAGUCCACUGCCAUGCACGAUGAAACGUGUGCGGAGGUUUCUUCAGUUCACCGUACGAAGGAUGAACCAUGGCUCCUGCCAGGGUCAGCAUUGAAGGCUGAUCAAGGGAGGGCACCAGCCCUUCCUUCUAGAGGUCGAAGGGGUCGCCUACAGUGAGGCCUAUCCGACCCAGGAUUUCCUUGUCGUUCCUAAAGUCUAUAGUAACAAAUUUGACUCGGCCGCCCUUGAGGAACUUCUUAAAUUCCUCGCACUCAAUGUCGGCAUGGCAUAUGUGGUAGACCAAGCAUAAGUCAUGCACGCAAACCUGGAUCACGGCGGGCUUCUUCUUCUCUGCCUCCUUUAGUUUCUUCUCGCUUCCCAGGACUGUGGUGUACUCAACAUCUAGCCCAGCUACCCACUCAUCAUUUGAGUUUUUGAACAUGCGUUUGAAGCAAGCAAGGCAUUCUUUCACCAUUGCGGAAGAACGGGUGUAGAUGACGUCGAACUCAUCGCCGGUGAUGGUUCUAACCUUGUACUCACCACCGAUCAUGAAGAUUUGGGACCCCAUGCAUUUGGGAGGAGGNNNNNNNNNNNNNNNNNNNNNNNNNNNNNNNNNNNNNNNNNNNNNNNNNNNNNNNNNNNNNNNNNNNNNNNNNNNNNNNNNNNNNNNNNNNNNNNNNNNNNNNNNNNNNNNNNNNNNNNNNNNNNNNNNNNNNNNNNNNNNNNNNNNNNNNNNNNNNNNNNNNNNNNNNNNNNNNNNNNNNNNNNNNNNNNNNNNNNNNNNNNNNNNNNNNNNNNNNNNNNNNNNNNNNNNNNNNNNNNNNNNNNNNNNNNNNNNNNNNNNNNNNNNNNNNNNNNNNNNNNNNNNNNNNNNNNNNNNNNNNNNNNNNNNNNNNNNNNNNNNNNNNNNNNNNNNNNNNNNNNNNNNNNNNNNNNNNNNNNNNNNNNNNNCGAUGUCAUGUCAAGCGUCGGGAAAAUUACAGGUGAUAGGAAGCUUUCCAUUCUCCCAUGAUACGGGCUUCCGAGAGCCCUUGGAUCUGAGAUCGAACGGUUGCAUGGCGUGAUUCAAGACCUAUGGGUGAAUAUCCUAUCCUGAAGGGUUAUUCUGCAAAUUUUCAGCAACUUAGCAUGUGACCGUUCGAUCUCAGAUCCAAGGGCUGCCAGCAGCCCGUAUCAUGGUUGCGCCUACCACGACCGUCGCCUCGCUCGCGCGGUCGCGCCCUUGGAGAUUUAACAUGGUGUGUUAGGCUAUCUGAUGUUGGCAUGUCAUACAUAGUCAUCACUUAGUCACUCAUACAACAAGGUUAGCUAUAAGGUUGGCUAUAAGAGUAUUUUUUGUUUACUUCUCUCUAUCUCUUUCUUCGUAGUAUUUAUUGCAUUUGCCAAGGAGUGACCUCUUCCAAUGAAAUGGUGCUUAGAUGAGGUGCUAUGGGCAUUAAAUGGCUUAGCAACUCAAGUCCCCAAUGCAUAGGUGCUUAGUGUUUUGUUGCUAAGUUUGCUUCAUCUAGGUACACGCGGUUAUCACCAUUUCUUCCUGGGGUCACCAAACUAGUCUCUCUUUUCUUAAUUAACUUGCCACAUCAGACUUUAUGCCUAUGUGGCAGGCUUAGCACCUGUAGGAUCAAGUACAAUAGUGGGCUAUAAGCCCGCUUUACAUGGCAUUUUUGCAUAUGUGGGGGAAAGAGGCAAGGAGAAAGUGGAGGAGUGGGCUCUCAAGCAAGAGCCAGCCUCUACAUGGUGGAGCAUCGGGAGAGGCACCUGUAUGGAGGUGGUCAGGAAUCGGGAGACUCAAGUCGGUCGUAGCGCCGCAGUUAAAAUGAUAAUGACAAGUCAAAUCACCGAGCCCCACCUGUCCAGCAGUAACUCACUGUCAAAUCACACAGCCCUACGUUUGCAGCAGCCUACUCCCUCAUCUUCUCGCGUCUCUGUCGAACCGACUAGGCGGAACUGCCCCGCCUACCGCGCGGGAAAAGCCCCGCCCUCGACUUUUAAAUAGUAUAGUAUACUAAUUUUGUAUCCAUGGAUUGCGCCAUGGAGCAAAGCCUCAAGAAAACGGCGGUACACAUGUACGGAGUAUACAGCACACCCGUCGCGUUCGCGUCGCACCCCAGAUGGUCGGUCGGUCUAGCACGCCGCUCUCCGAAUGGAACGUGCGUCAUAUUGCGUUUGCACACACAUGUGGGACCGCAAUUGAGAACCGACCAUAGGCACACUCCCCGACCCCGCAAGUCAAGUGAGUUAAUAGAAGUACAUACGUUGGUACCUGGACGAUCCCUGCAAGACACGGAAGAUCAGUUCGUCCAUGCAUGUGACCAGACUCCAGCAGACACGCCUGGAUUGGCUAUCGUCUACAUAUCGUGCAGGCUGUGUUGUACAGGGCUAUAGUUCUGGUGAGAAAUCUAAAAAAAGGUUUCUUGUCAUCUCGCAAAAUUAGGUGUCAUGUGCUUCGGAUCACUGCGAGGGUUAAACAGCGACAACUGAGUUGGGCUAGUCAUUGGGGGCACAUGCACGAAGACUACUCGGCUGGCUGCCAUCUAGGUCAAGCCGGCUAUGUUAAUUAGGACAUCUAUCGACGGACCCCUUUUCUACGAGUUUAUCUUUAAUUUGAGCUUUGAUCCUCGUCUAGUUUGUCUGUCAGGAUUCAUCUUGUCUCCUUUGGGCAGUGAGGUUAUGAUUUCUUGUCAUGUGGCAUUUUUUCGUGUUAUAUGUUAUAAUCCGGUGCUUCAGAUCAAAAUGACGACAACUGCGCCUCCGGGGCACGUGCAUGAAGACUUCUCGAUAGUCAUUGCCGAGGUCAAGCCGGCUCCGGCCGGUAGACAAAAGAAAACUAGUACUCCACUAUAUAGGCAGGCACUACUAGGGAAAAAGGCUACUAGCAACGCGGGUAAAAUGGCUACUAGUAGCGCGGGUACUCGCGCUACAGCUGAAAGUUAGUAGUAGCGUGGGUCGAACCUGCGCUACUGCUAUUAUGAACCGCGCUGCUACUAAUGAAAUAGUAGUAGCGUGUGUGUAGUCCCAAUGCUACUAGUAUCCUAAAUACUAGUAGCGCGCCAUUUUAUCCCCACGCCACUACUAACUUAUUAGGAAUUAAAAAAAAAAUCAACCAAAUUCAUUCUAUCACACAGUUGUCGUAUCUUCUCUAGUUCCUCAUUGUAGCAGCAACUCAUGUAUAAUUUCAUUCUAUCGCACAGUUACAUAAGCAACUACGUUCCUCCUUGUAGCAGCAACUCAUGUAUAAUUCCAUUCUAUCGCACAGUUACAUAAGCAACUACCUAAGUAAGUUGUUAUGGCCCGAUCUGAAAAUUGGACCACUCGUCAAUGUGCGGCGCCUGCCCGGCCUGAUCUCGCGGCCUACAGCUGCGACGAGACACAUUGGAUAGCCUCGAAGAGCCACACCUGACUGACGGCAGCCGCCGCCUUGAGUUGCGACGCAGUCACGUCCCUCGCUCUGGCCCUCAGCUCCAACUGGACCGGUCGAUGUCGUCCUUGUGCCUCGCCACCAGCGGACGGAGGAAGCCAUCGUACAUGUGCCCCGCUCCCCGCACUCUGAAACCCAAACAUCAUUAAGAUUCAGAUUCAGAAUUGGCCACAUAUCGAAUCAAGUAUAUCUGAAUGUUGAUCAUCUCUCGGGCUCGGGGUGUCUGGUCGACUGCUUACCCGUGUGCUGGGGUGACAGAGGUAGAGAACGAGCAGCAGCUUCGCUUCUCUGUACAUCGGCAGCCACGGCACCGUCCAGUCCACGAACCUCUCGACGACCGUCAUCGUCGCUACCAGAACCCUGCAACAUUACAAACAAAGGUUCAGAAACUUCAGAUCUUCAGAAGAAUGGCACGAAAAAACAAUGCGGUACAUGUAGAUGCCAAUGUGCAACAUUUUUUCCAGAGAUUCUUAUUUAACCCGUAGAAGGGGAGCCUUGGCGCAGUGGUAAAGCUGCUGCCUUGUGACCAUGAGGUCACGGGUUCAAGUCCUGGAAACAGCCUCUUACAGAAAUGUAGGGAAAGGCUGCGUACUAUAGACCCAAAGUGGUCGGACCCUUCCCCGGACCCUGCACAAGCGGGAGCUACAUGCACCGGGCUGCCCCCCCAUUCUUAUUUAAGCCGUAAUGCACAAUUGAAGCUAUAAGCUAUUUCCUAGUAGUAAAAAGUGCAGAGAAUAGUUAUAUAAGAACGCAUAUAGAUUUGACAAGUGCAUAGAAAAACAUAAAGCCCAAAAGAAACACAGAAUCAGGCAAAUCAUGCAACCACAUAAUCAGGUUAACUUCUAUUUACUCACAAAUCAAAUGACAUCAAAAUCAACAUACUGGCAUUGGUCCUCGACACAAUGGGUGCGGAAGAGGCUGACUGAGAUCAUAAAAAAAUAAUAUAAGAAGGACCAAGACACUCAUAUUUCAGUACAGACAUAUACGAGGACAUAUCAUAAGGCACAUACAAAGUAGCAAUGAAUAGAUAAGACAUGCUGGAUCGGUUUUCCUCAGUUAAAUAUAGUAACUGUUAUGGAAGCAGUCAUAGUGUACAUUUUACACUAAAGCAAUCAUUUCUUUCAGCUUGAAACAGAGACACCAAAAAAGGAGGAAGUAUCAGGCACACAUUUACCUUGUCAGAAAUCAGAUACUCGGCAUGCAAGCAAUCUGAACAAUUUCCUUAUCAAUGCCAAGUUCCUGCCCACCAAACUGGUUGCAUGGGAAAGCAAAGAUCUCAAAACCUGUAGUCCCAUAAAAUUGUUAGCAUAACAUAUCGUAACUCAAAAUCAAGGACUAAUCAUACGCAGAUAGAUCAUCCCCUGGUCCUUGUACUUCUCGUAAAUUCCAUGUAACAAAAUGCAAUUGGUUAGAAUCGAACCAAAACCACGCGUGCUGCACGAUGGCAUCGAAAGCUCACUUAAUGGACCACCAAAUGUGAAAUCCCUAUAGACUUGGCUGUAAAUCUAAUCAUUUCUAAUUACCUAUUUCUAAAGUGCAAGACACAGGACAUCCAUUAUGAAUUCAGAAACUAUAACAUCAGUUUUUUUUUCUUCUGAAGUGCACAUCUUUCACUUAUUUGCAUGUAGCAGCUGCCAUGUAUCCAUUGUGAAUUCAGAAACUAUAACAUCAGUUUGGUUGUUUUUUUGCCAUGACGAAAAUAUUAAAUAAGAUACAAUACACAGCGAAGUGAUGAAGUGCCAAUUUCUCUCUCCUUCCCCUUCUGCAUUUUUAUUCUUUUAGAUGAUGUGAUGUACAAAUUAUCAUCAGCCUAUAUGUACUUACAUCUUUAUAAAUAAAUUGUUCUGUUUAUGAGUGCAAGCAUAUUUGAUUAUUAUUGAACUAUUAUUGCAUCUAUGCUUAAUUGGGAGCAUACAACUGUUUAAGUUCUUGCAUACUAUUCUUAAUUGUGGGGUCAUAUUGUUCUGAACCUUUUAUUAUGUCCAUUUGCUUAUGGUGCCUAAAUUAUUCUCCAUAUGUCGUAGCAGCAGCAAACAUGAUUAAGUCAGUGCUGUAAAACAAUUACACAUGGUGCUAAGUAAGAUACCCCAGCUCCAAACCUCUAAAAUAGUCAUUUCUUCUGUUUGGCACCUAGCAACAUAGCUAAUGGCUACAUUUAGUUUGUCUUCCGCAGGUUUCCACACGCAUCCGUAUUUUCUCAAGCCAAGUAUGCAUGUAUGUUGGUUAAUUAAUUGUGUUGUUGCAGUAAACAAGUACUAGCGCCUUUGCUUGUCAAUUGUACAUACAGAAAUCGACCUAACCCUGGCAACCUCGCACAGAAUAGCAUACGCUGCGUCCAUUUCCAUGCGAUUAGCGGGGCAGGGUGGGUUGUACUGCCCCCAUUCAAGCCUGAAACAGAUGCCAAACAACUAUACGGAGUUGGCGAUACACGACCAACCCAGCCUGCGACGAGGCAGGAGCUAGUGAUGGCCAUAUGUCGCCAGCAAUUCUACCGCGUGGAGACCCACGAGGCCAGCCGCCCCGAUCUGGACGGAGCCCAGGUCUCCAGAGACAACUAACCCUAGCACCCUUUCCCCCACCCCAAAUUCCAACUAAAGCGCGGGCGCGAAAUCUCUAACCAGACGGGCGCGAUUCGAGCCACGGGGGCACAGAAUUGGAACCGGAAUCGGAGCGCGGGGCAGACGAUUGAAUUGAAUUUACCUGGGCUUGAGGGAGGUGUGGGCGGCGAGGUCGCGGGAGGAGCACUUCCCGGAGGGCCCGAAGAUGCGCGUGCCGCCCUGCUCGUUCCCGCCCUUCGCCGGCACCCACGUCGGCCGCGCCGCCGUCGUCAUCUCUCUCUCUCCGGCCGGCGGGAGGCAGAACCCUAGCUAGCUAGCCUCUCUUCCUCUUCCUCCUUCAAAGUCCUCGGCCUCCACGGCCUUCUCCAGCUGGAAGCGCAGCACGAGACGCGUAGCUCUCGGCCUGGUCCACCUCCGCGAAGUGCCGGCUCCAGCUGGUCCAGUCCCACGCGCAACGCUGAUGCCGCGGGGGAGGAGGCCGCGGUGCAGCGGCAUGCCGUAGCGGAGGAGGAGCUGGCGCCGCGGUGGGCGGGCACGUGCGCGGCGGAGGGGGGACCGGGGCGGGCAGCGGCGCGAGNNNNNNNNNNNNNNNNNNNNNNNNNNNNNNNNNNNNNNNNNNNNNNNNNNNNNNNNNNNNNNNNNNNNNNNNNNNNNNNNNNNNNNNNNNNNNNNNNNNNNNNNNNNNNNNNNNNNNNNNNNNNNNNNNNNNNNNNNNNNNNNNNNNNNNNNNNNNNNNNNNNNNNNNNNNNNNNNNNNNNNNNNNNNNNNNNNNNNNNNNNNNNNNNNNNNNNNNNNNNNNNNNNNNNNNNNNNNNNNNNNNNNNNNNNNNNNNNNNNNNNNNNNNNNNNNNNNNNNNNNNNNNNNNNNNNNNNNNNNNNNNNNNNNNNNNNNNNNNNNNNNNNNNNNNNNNNNNNNNNNNNNNNNNNNNNNNNNNNNNNNNNNNNNNNNNNNNNNNNNNNNNNNNNNNNNNNNNNNNNNNNNNNNNNNNNNNNNNNNNGGACGGAGGAGAGGAGGUGGAAGGGAGGCCGGCGGCGAGUGGGUUGGGAGAGGAGAGGAGGUUGGGGAUCUGGAUCGGGCUGCGUGGUUUUUUUUUUUGAGACAGACGGGGGGUGGGUGGUGUGGGACGGUUGGUGGGGUGGGAGUGUGGAUCCGGCCGGGGUGGACACACUUAGUAGUAGCGUGGGGGUCUUACCUGCGCUACUACUACUUACUAGUACUUAGUAGUCGCGCCGGUUUUAUACCCCUCGCUAUUACUAUGGCCUAUCCCGGGGGCAUUGUUGGAGACCAUUUAGUAGCAGCGCGGGUUUAUACCCCUCGCUACUACUAUCAACUUAGUAGUAGCGCGGUUUUUAUACCCCUCGCUACUACUAAUUAGCAAUAGCGCCCAUUUUUAAACCGCGCUACUGAUAAACUUCUGUGUAUAAGGUUUUCCCUAGUAGUGAGGAGCCUUCGCGCUUGCUUGCUAGUGUUGCUCUCUUCACACUGUCUCGUCCUCUCCAGAUCUAAUCACGACAAUGGUGGCCACACUCUCUCACUCUACUCACCGCUGGUCACAGAUCCAGCCAGAUCCUCUCCGCCGGGGAAGGGGAGAAGGUGCAACGUUCACGCGGUCGUCCUCGGCGACGGCUCUUACCCACUGCCGGCGCGUCCCGAUCAGCGUGCCUUGCCGUUCUCUCCCAAGCAUCGCUGGCGAGGGAGGGCCUCCCAUCCCUUCUUCCUCGCUGCCGUAGUGUGGGCAGAUCCGGCCUCCCGCCGCCCACCUAGCGACAUCCCGGCGACCCUCAGGUAUAACUUCCUUCGAAACCAGCCUUGCUCUACUUCCCGAGCUCCUGACGUCGCUGCAUUUGUAUCUUUUACUAUUUCUCAGGCCCCCUCGUGUAGAUAGGAUCGAUCGGCUGUUCGAAAACCACCUAAUUUUUUACUGUUAAGAGGUAAAACUAGUUCAUGCACUCGAAUCUAGUAGUACUUGGNNNNNNNNNNNNNNNNNNNNNNNNNNNNNNNNNNNNNNNNNNNNNNNNNNNNNNNNNNNNNNNNNNNNNNNNNNNNNNNNNNNNNNNNNNNNNNNNNNNNNNNNNNNNNNNNNNNNNNNNNNNNNNNNNNNNNNNNNNNNNNNNNNNNNNNNNNNNNNNNNNNNNNNNNNNNNNNNNNNNNNNNNNNNNNNNNNNNNNNNNNNNNNNNNNNNNNNNNNNNNNNNNNNNNNNNNNNNNNNNNNNNNNNNNNNNNNNNNNNNNNNNNNNNNNNNNNNNNNNNNNNNNNNNNNNNNNNNNNNNNNNNNNNNNNNNNNNNNNNNNNNNNNNNNNNNNNNNNNNNNNNNNNNNNNNNNNNNNNNNNNNNNNNNNNNNNNNNNNNNNNNNNNNNNNNNNNNNNNNNNNNNNNNNNGGCCUUGCUCUACUUCCCGAGCUCCUGACGUCGCUGCAUUUGUAUCUUUUACUAUUUCUCAGGCCCCCUCGUGUAGAUAGGAUCGAUCGGCUGUUCGAAAACCACCUAAUUUUUUACUGUUAAGAGGUAAAACUAGUUCAUGCACUCGAAUCUAGUAGUACUUGGUUCAAACAAGGAAGAAAGGGGGUGGGGGGUGGGGGAAGAUUUGUUACCUGAAUCUAGGACUUGGUCGAAAGAGGAAAUAAUGGGGGCGAAAAGUAGCAGAGACUGGCUAUCGAACUGGUCUCUAGGUCUAAUAGGGAAAUAAAGGGAACGCAGUACAAACUCAAUAUAAACCCGAUCUAUUGGUUGAAAAAGGAAAGAAAGUGGGGACUGGGGGACAAGUCAACAGAGUAAGUCCAGCACUAGAUUUGCUAGCCUCACACAGUAUAAGGUGGCUAUAUACCGAACAAAAAUGGGACCAACCCAGAUAUCCUCUUCUGAUGUUUGUUGCCCCGAGCCGCUCUUAUGUAAUGCCACUGGUAAAAUGUAGCAGUCGCACUGUUAAAAGUAAGGACACGUUAAACCAAUGUUGUUUUCCAUGUAAUGCCUCCAGUAAUAUGAAUCAAUGGCACUUUUUUUCAUGUCCUGCUAAAUUUCCCAUUAAGAUAAGUUGCUUCUUUUCGUUAGAGAUGCAACUGUCCUGGUCCGCCUACUCUCCAGGAGCCUCACGACCAACCUUGAUGUUGCUCAAUUUUAUUGCAACUAAUGAAGAAGAAGCUCUGUGGGUUUCAUUUUCUGAUGGAAAUGCAACCGGGGCUGGAGCCCUUUUCUUAAAAAAAAGAAGAAGCUGCUAGCUCAUGGGACAUUGCUUCAUUUUAGGUGAACUGCACCAAAAGGUCCCAUGAAUUGAAUCAUCCAUGUUGGUGACUGGUGUCAUCCCUUCUACGAUGGCGUUGACUGCAGAUAUGGUUCCCAUCAUGAGGUAUGUUCCUUUUUGGUCUGACCGUUUGCCAAAGAUCCUGCAUGUUGACCCUGCUCUUGUGCUACUGUUUUGGCACUGCCAUGAUAAAGCAGUAAUGUUAUUAUUUUGCACCUUAAUCUAGUGGCACUAUUAAUUUGAGGCUAUGUUUUGGCACCGCUAGUGCCACUAUUUUUUUAUAUAUCGAAAGAGGGGGUUCCCUCCGAUUUCAUUAAAGAAACCCAACCAUAGAGAACCAUUAUCCGACAACAUCUCAGUGUAAACGAUAAGUUAUGCAACUACUACUAGAACGUACUGAGUACUAGCAGGAGACAAGUUUGCCACAUAAGCUAGGCAGGUAAGGGGACGCAGCACCAGCUCGACCAAGUUUGGAUUACAACCCAAAUGCUACCACAGAAAAAUCAAGGGGAAGAUAGGGACUGAAAGAGCCAGCUUCAGCAUCCCAGCCUAAGCAUCCCCGGCCUUCAUCCUUGCGACGCACGGUACACCUCGUUUGCCACCUGCUCGACCCUAGUGUCACUGAUAAAAUGAAGUAAUAAUACAGUUAAAACAGAGCGAGUGUCCUCUCUAUCAUUUCAUUUCCAAUGUAGAUAAAGAAAGUGCUUCUCUUUGUUAAUGUAUGUUUCAUCAACUAGUCCCAUUGUUAAUGUUUAAGCGUUUCUGCAAACUGGGGUGCUUAAUUUUAGUUGAUCUGCACAAAAAUAGAGAUUUGAAUGUCUCAAGGCCCCUCCUUGUACUACCGCUGUACACUGAUGUUCAUCACUGGCAGAAGGUGUAUCGGGGAGACUUGGGACGAUUUCCAGUAUGAGGCGUGGUGUACCGUAUGAGGCGUCACAGGGCCCAUCUCGCCCUCGCAGCAUGGCAUACUAUGAUACUAUCGCAAUAUUUUCUUCUAUUUAUUUUGCGUGUUUCAUCAACUAGUGCCACUAUAAUGUAAUCACGCUUUUUCAUUAUCUGUGCAAACAGGGUUAUUCAGCUGCAUUUUGGUGGAACUGCACAAAUGUAUGGAUGGAACCGGCAUAUAUGCAGAGUGCGAGGUGUGCCAAGUAAAAAUUACCGACACCAACCAUGCUCCAUGCACGCAUUGGCAUCCACCACCACCAGUGGGAUGUGUGGCGCUCUCUGUGGACGGAUCUUUCUCGGCAGCAAAUCCUCUAACCAAAUACUAGUAGCUUAUAUUGGCAGUUUUCUAGGGAGUACUCUUUUCUAAAAGAAGCACCAAUCUAUUUUUCUUUAUUUGUACACAGUGUCACAACUUUGACCCAAAGGUCCAGAGCUAUUUAAGGGUGAUUGGCGUAGUACUCGAAGAUUGAUUGUAACCAUGAUUUUCAUUAGCUGUCACACUGAUUGUAAGCAUGAGCAGGUGGAAGAUUAGGUUAGUGUGAAGCUUACCUUAAACCCUACCGUCCUCGAAAUCUCCCACUCAUUGUCAAACCAAGUAAGGAUCUCCUUCAACCUGGCUAACUUUGCCUGGUCGCCGCCGGCGAUCUGCCUGAUUCGGUGCUAGCUUUGGAAGAUGGGAGGAGAGACGGUGGUCUUGCAAUAGAGAAGAGGGAGAGGCGAGAUGGUGGCUUUGGAAUGGAAAUGAUGGAGAGGAGAGGAGGUGGUUUUGCAAUGGAGAAGAGGGAGAGGCGACACGGUGGUUUUGGAAUGGAGAUGAUGGAGAGGAGAGGAGGUGGUUUUGCAAUGGAGAAGAGGGAGAGGAGCGUGCGGCAGCGAUUUAGGAUUGGACGAGAGGGUCGGCGCGCUGUGACUGGAUCAAAAUCAAAAUCAAUUUACCCUUCAAUUAAGAAAGCGACCCCACAUUAACUAGUCUCCCUUUUAUUCUGGGUCAUAAUUGACCAUGAUUUUUGCAAAUAAAAUAUAUGUUAUACGUUGCAAAAAUAAUAUAAUUUGAAAGUACAUUCAGAUAGGAACCAAACGAUACAAUUUUUGGUGACAUGCAUUCACAUUUUGCUUGUCAAAUACAGUACGUGGUCAAACUUUGACCCAAAAUAUGCAAAACAAAAAAAUACUUCCAAGACCAGCGCCGCUCUUCUCCUCUUAAACCACCGCCGCUCCUCUCCUGUUCCAAUCUAAAUCCAGCGCCGCUCCUCUCCUCUUCCAUUUCAAAACCACCGCCCCUCCUCUCCUGUUCCAACCCAAAACCAGCGUCGCUCCUCUCCCGUUCUAAACCAAAACCAGCGCUGCUCCUCUCCUCUUCCAUUCAAAAACCACCGCCGGCGAGUGAAGGUGAUGUGGAGAAGUAGAUCGAUGGAGGAGUACAACCGAUACGUGAGGAUCGCAGACGAUGACCCUGUGAAGCUAGCUAGGAUGUUGGAGAUACAGUCUUGGUUUGGCAACAAGGACCAACUAGCGGUGACGGCGACAUCCAUGGCCAAAUAUCUGCAAUAGAGCGAAAAGGCGGCGAUACUCCCGGAGGGAGUCGCACGGGAGUACAUAGAGCUGCUCCUCUGGGCCAUGGAGCAAACAGAUUCACCGAAUCCGAUCGUGAGGGAGCGGUGGUGGGAGUAUCGAUCCUAGAUGGAGCAUCCACCAGAGAUUGAAGGAUCGAGCAUCUACUGGGUGCCGUUUGUGAGGGUGUCAUUCUAGAGCGAGCUGGUGGAGUCUUCGUCGACCGAACCCAACUGCAAGUGGAGAAAAAUAGUUGGCCCGACGAUGCUUCCCCGCCAUCCUCUCCCUCGCCAUUCACAUCGUCUCACGGGGCGGCUGUCUGCCGCCAAGGAAUAGGAGGGAUUGCCCCCCCAGACCAAUAGUCGGGCAGGUUGUGAAUUGUCAGGAGGAGCUUAGGGUUGUUAGUAUUUGCAGGUUGUGAAUUGUGUUUUGUGUUGUGUAUUUUGAGAGUACUUUCAUAUAUGAAUGUCUUUCGAAUUUCAGAUUUGCAGUAUUGAGCAUAUGAAGUAUUUUAUGAAUUCUAGAGAUCUAUUUUUAGGAUUUUAAAAAAUGUAGUUUCAUAGGAGUAUAAAAGUGCAGACAAUGUGAUUCUCAGAGAAGAAACUGCAAGUUUCAGUUUCAGAUAAGAAACUCCAAGUUCAGUUUCACAUAAGAAACUGCAACUUUGAGAGGCAAAGCAUUUAUAUUAACACGGCCUUUUCAAACAGUGUUAACAUCAUGCUGGAAAUUUUAUUCAUGGUCGAAACUGGAACUACCAGCCAGUUAACAUCAUGCUGAUCAACAUUCAUGCAUAGCACAUACUUAUAUGAUGCACAGUCAAAAAGAUAUGCUAUUUUCAAGAUGCCAUGUCGAGUGUGCGAAAAACAGAGAAAACGAGGGACGAAGUUUUGGCAAGUGUUGGACGUGGUGUGCGUAGAUGACAAUUGGGACCCACAUGUCAAUAAAGGCAGAGGCAAAAAUUUUGGAGAUAUUUUCUCUGCACAGGUGGAAUCGAACUCAGGCGGAACAGCUGUCGGGUAGUGUCACUCGGCCACUAGGCUAGUUCAGUUGUUUCGUUACUAAUAAGGCACUUCCUCAGGUGGUCGGAUCUCCUCCUGCGCCUUUGUGCGCUCGCCGUGACGCCGCUGUCUGCCGUUGUGAACAUGCUGAACAAACGAGAGGAAUCUGGAGAGGACUGUACAUGGAGAGGCGGACAGUCGGGACCCACCAGGUCUAUGGCCGUACGCAAGCAAGUGCCUCAUCAAAAAAAUACUUCCUCCUAAUGCUAUACUGACGUUGGGGCCCACGGGUUUGUCAACAUAGUUACAUUUUUUAGGUGCUUCAACGUAGUUACUAUAGGAGAUAAAUUCACAACGAAGCUGGGGAGCUGGCAGGUAUCAUUUAUUAUCACUGGGGCAGCAAGUAUCAGCUGGGUUUUGGGCUGCCCCGUCUAGGCUUUCUUUUUUAACAUGCGCAGCCCACGAUCUCGGAUGGGAGGUCCAUCGGCCUGUUUGUAUUUUCUUGAGGGCCGUCAUGUAUCGACCGGCCUAUGGACCUCCCAUCCGAGGUUUUAUUUUUCCUGAAACAUCGGCAGCCCAAUUUAUGUAUUUUUUGAAGAAAACGCAGAGGUCUGUUCUAUUUUUCUAUAUAAGAAUAGGAACGCCCGGUCCAACUUAUGUUUCCCUUCUAACUAUAUUAUAUAUAUUUAAAUUAUUUUAUAUGUUAUUAUAUAUUAUUGUUAUUGUCAUCAUAUAUUUAACAGAUACUUACAUAUGUAAGAAAACAAUAUCUCACAUCUUAUUAACUUAUAAAAAUUAUUUCUAACAAUAAAAUCUUGGAUUUUUUUGGCAACAAAAAUCCUGGUGAUUGUGUACAAAAGCUUGGUAAGAUUUAAGGACCAAUGUAAUAAUAAAUCACUUAUUAUNNNNNNNNNNNNNNNNNNNNNNNNNNNNNNNNNNNNNNNNNNNNNNNNNNNNNNNNNNNNNNNNNNNNNNNNNNNNNNNNNNNNNNNNNNNNNNNNNNNNNNNNNNNNNNNNNNNNNNNNNNNNNNNNNNNNNNNNNNNNNNNNNNNNNNNNNNNNNNNNNNNNNNNNNNNNNNNNNNNNNNNNNNNNNNNNNNNNNNNNNNNNNNNNNNNNNNNNNNNNNNNNNNNNNNNNNNNNNNNNNNNNNNNNNNNNNNNNNNNNNNNNNNNNNNNNNNNNNNNNNNNNNNNNNNNNNNNNNNNNNNNNNNNNNNNNNNNNNNNNNNNNNNNNNNNNNNNNNNNNNNNNNNNNNNNNNNNNNNNNNNNNNNNNNNNNNNNNNNNNNNNNNUAUAUAUGUAAAUAACAAAAUGCUCAGCCCCUGUUUAUUUUUUGAUAACAUUGCUGCGCCCACCCCAACAUUAUAAUUAGAAUAAGCCUAGCAAAAUCGUGUAUUUCGAGAAAGUGCAAAUGACUUGUAUUUUUUUAGGAAAAACAUAAAUGGGCUGCAUGGACGCUACAUUAUUUGUUCACCCAGCCCAGCUAAUGGACUGUAAUUCAAAAAAGAGAUCAAAUGGACUGUAAAUUCUACCCCGCAAAAAAAGACUGUAAAUUCUGAAGAAAAUGGGUUGAAUACGUGCCACAUUUUUGGAGGCUGAAAUGUGGGCCAAUAGGUCGAAGUCAAUGCAAGUCGUUGUCAACUUAGUCAACAAAUGAUUCUGACAUCGUUAGCCGUUUGAUUUACAUCCAAUGACCUGCAUCCAUCUUCAAUCUCUCGUCUUCUUCCUCCAGCGCCGCCGGGACCACCUGCUCCCGCCUCCUGCUGCUAGCAGCUCUGCUUAGCACGCUUCAUUGUGAAGCGCUACUCCACCGUUGGCCAGGACAUCCCUCCACCCCUCCACACCUCCUGUUCUUCUCCACCGACUGCCGAACCACACCGCACCAGAACCAGUUAACCCUCGUACACCUCUCCGUCUGCGACUCUACUCCCGCGUCUUCCCAUCUCCGGCUCAUUGCUGUCCGGGGCCUCGCCGUCGUCCACCACCUUGGAUGCGCUCGGCGUGGAGUGGUCAACAUGGUCAAUAAACGAGACCAUCGGAAGUAGACUAUGCAUGGAGAGGCUGACAGCUGGGUCCACGGCCGCACGCAAGGAAAUGCCUCCUUAUUACGCGCAAAAUAAUGUUUCCUCCACCUGACAGCUGGGCCCACCGAAAGGGCUUCUGUAUUUCGCGAAAAACGUUCCCACCGCUGACAGGUCGGACCCACCAGCUAUAUCUUCGCACACAAGGAAGUGCCUCCUUAUUACGCACAAAAAAAUGAAUACCCCCUGCUAGCUGGGACCCACAAUAGUGGGAGGCUGACUUGUGGGCCAACUAAGUUGACGGGGACGGAGGGCUUUGUCAACUUAGUCAAUAUGAACGAUUCUAGCUCCAGUGACCGUACGAUGUCCAUCCAACGGCCGUAGUGCUUCUUCAACCUCUGGUCUUCUUGCUCCAGCCGCCCAAAGCAGCGUCGGUCGUGCCUCGUGGUCCUGCCUCCCGUGGCCGGCUGCGAUGCCGUGGAGGCCUCACCACCCCCUCUACUCCCACCGCUGGCCAGGCCAUCCCUCUACUCACCCACACCCCCUGUUAUUCUGCGGCGACGGCAGCCUCACACCGCAGCGAACCAGUGAACCCUCAUACUCCUCUACGCGUGGGCAUCCACUGCCGCGUCUUCCCCGGCUCCGCGUCGUCCCCUUCCUAGGCCUCGCCAUCAUCCACCGCCCUGGUGCUCUCGGCGUGGCGUGGUCAACGUGGUCAAGGAACGGCUUCCAUCGGACGUGGACUGUACGUGGAGAGGCUGACAGCUGGGUCCACGGCCGCAGCAAGGAAGUGCCUCCUUAUUACGCGGAAAAUAAUGAUUCCUCCACCUGACAGCAGGGACCCACCGGACGGGCAACCAUAUUUCGUGAAAAAACGUUUCCCCCUGACUGCUGGGACCUACCAGCGACAUCUUCGCACGCAAGGAAGUGCGUCUGGGCAAAAAAACGAUUCGCCUCCCUGACUGCUGGGACCCACCAGCUACAUCUUCGCACGCAAGGAAGUGCCUGACAGUCGGGACCCACGUGGUCGAAGCGUACGUAGCGUUGUCAUUCUGGUUGCGAACGUGUACGUACAUACUGGUCGAUGUAGAGGCGCGCACGUGUCGUAGUAGAGGGGCGCACGUAGCAUGUACACGUACGUACAACGGCCAGGGUGCAAGAAAGUAAAUACGACCACGUACGUACAUACGGGCAGGGUCUCGAACGCCUACUCGCGCGUACGUACGGCCAUGGCUCGUGUAAAUGGCUGGGUCGGAACGGAGAAAUUGCGUCGUCGUGUUCAUUGGGAGGCAACGGAAUGCGUCGUGUUCAUCGGGAGGCAACGAAACGCGUGGGAGCCAACUGGCUUGAACGAAACAGCCGAUGGAAAUAAGGCCUGGCGUACCGCAGAACGGAGGAAACGGCCUUGUGUUUGACCGGCCAUGUUUGAAACGGGAUCAUGUUCAUCGGGAGGGGUCUGGCAUACCGCAAAACGGAGGAAAUGGACCUCCUACGGUCGAAAUGGGGGUCCUGUUGAUCGGGAGGGGUGUGGCGUACCGCAAAACCGAGGAAACGGACUUGUGUUGGAGCGCUACGGUCGAAACGGGGGUCCUGUUCAUCGGGAGGGGUGUGGCAUACCGCAAAACGGGACUCCACAGGAUACUGUCCAUCUCCACCGUCGACCCCCUCCAACCUCCACGGGCUACUGUUCAUCCACCGUUGACCUCCUCCAGCCUCCACCCGCGACUGUUCAUCCACGGGCUCCUGUUCAUCCAGCCUCCACCGUGCGCUACUCCACGGGCUACUGUUCAACCAGCCCUCUCCACGGGCUACUGUUCAACCACCCCUCCACCGUCUACUGUUCAUCCAGCCCUCCACGGGGUGGUCAUGUUCAUCCAUCCCUCCACGGGGUCCUGUUCAUCCAGCCCCAACCGGCUCGAUCGAUCGGGCUCCUGUUCAUCCAGAGGCAACACCACGAGGUCCUGUUCAUCCACCCCCACCGGGAACUGUUCAUCCAAACCCCCCCAGCAACGCUCACUGUUCAUCCAGAGGCAGCAUCGAUCGGCUUCAGUUAGCAGCAGUAGCAAAGGAAUCGCUCGAUCGGGUUCAGUUAACAGCCAUUGAUCGAUCGCUCGGGUUCAGUAACGCGUAGCCGACAGUGCAAUCGCUCGGGUUCAGUUAGAGCCCAACAGCUCACACCCACGCGCGUGAGUGUACGAGAGAAACGUGCAUCGCUCGGCCCCGACCACCCACCAUAACCGGGAACACCCCGAUAUUUUCCUCGCCCUCGCUUCUACCACGGUUUUUUCCGUCAUGGACGGCCCAAAGAAUGUCAUGCAGCUGUGUCUCCGGCCAGCCCAGGACGAAAAGCCCAUUUUCUGUCAUGAUUUUUUGUCAUAGAAGUAGGAGCCCACCACAUCUAUGAUGAUACCGGGUUUUGUCACAAUUAUCGUCAUAGAAGUGUUAUAAGUAUGACAGAAAAAAAAUUCAUUCCGCCCAAAAUGUCACGGAUGUGUCUUUUUUUUUGUAGUGUGCGUUUUCCAUAGCACAAAGGUCUGCGCCGCCAUCGCCCGCUGGCCGCCCGGGUGGAGAGAAGUAGAGGCGGCUAGGGUUAGGUGUUCAGUGGGGAAAAUCGGGAGUGGAUGCAGAAGCGUCCAGGCGCAGGUCGUUCUAGUCUCUCUGGUGGCUGCAUCGUGAACUAGUACUGGAUAAGGACGGGAGACUUGAUAUUGGGCUGUGGGUUGUGGCCCAUUACGUAGAUUUAGUCCAUGUCAUAUCUCAUCGGUUUUGCCGGUCCUUUCGGGUAACUGAUGCACAUGACCAAACUCCCCGAAUUAAUUUCGGUUUUUACAAUGUGUUGACCGAACUAACAAGCAGAAGUUUCGGUUUGGGUCAUUUCGGCUUCGGCUCUGGUUUUUUCGGUUCGGUACUUCGGUCCUCGGUUAAUAUGCCCACCCCUAAUGGUAGGUCCUUCAGAAAAAAACUCAUUUUGGGCACUCGAAAAUGGAAAAUGGUUUUUUCGUCAAAAGAAAAUGAAAAAUUCCUUAGCCAACAUUGUUUGCCAUUCCAAGAUGCACCCUUGUGCACAAUAUGAGGUCAUUUGAACAAACUAUGACAUGAAUGCUACCAUAACAUUGAUCAUUUGGCUUGAAAGCCAUUGAUCUUCACACAUGAUAACUCGUUUUUUAGAACACUUUUUAAAAAUAAUUACCGUAUUACAAGUUUAUUAUUUUUACUGGUAACUUGGCCACAUAUAAUGACACAAUGCGAAGGGUUUCCAGUUUUUUGAAUUUUUCAUGCCCAUUUCAAAAUGCGGUCAAAACGGCGGGCAUGACCGUUCCUCGCUAGUGGUUGAAUCUUGAUAUUUUUUUGGUUUUUUCUGAUUAAAUAGAUACUUAUGUACCUAGAAAUGAUUUUUGAAAAAAUAAAGAGCAAACUAUAAGGCAGUUGCAGUUCAAAUUUGAACCGCUUCCUACUGAAUCGGGGGAAAUUUGUCUUUUUCACGAGAGGUGGGUCAAAGCUUUUAACACGAUCCCAUUUGGUCAAUUGUACAUUAAAUAUGGCCUAAUAUUUUCUAAAAAUGAUGUGGCCCAAUUUUGCAACAAAUAUAUGGUAGGUCCUUCACAAAAAAAAUCCCAUUUUGGGCACUCAAAAAAUGGGAAAUGAUUUUCGUGUGCAAUGCAAAUGAAGACCACAAAAUCAUCAUAGUUUCAAAUCCUAAGAUACACAUAUGUGCACAAUAUUGGGUCAUUUAAACAUACAACACGAGGCUAAUAUGUUGAGUGUUUACCCGAAAUAAGAGGGUAAAAAAUAUAAAAGAAACAAAAGAAAAAACACACAAUUACAUAAGCUGGAUUAUGAUUGGUGGAACCGUUUGUGACACGGAUCAAUGACAUGGCAGAUAUCCUACCAUCCAUUGCUAGCAAUCCCACAUCCAUCCAUCCAUGCGAAGAAAAGGAGAAAACAGAACCCACUGCACCAAACCCUACCUCUCUCUCUCACCUCUCCUCCAUUUCGCCCGCCGCCUCCCUCUCUCUGUUCCCGAUCCAGAUCGACAUCGCCACCCUCUCAUCCUUGUCCCGGCCUCUCCCUCAUCCCUCUCUUCUCGUCGCCGACGGCGGCGCCCGCCUUCCCUCGCGCUGCACCCGAACCUCGCUCCCGCUCCCAGCUCUUCUUCCUCCUCCGCCGCAGCUAGGGUUUCAUGUCCCCGAUCCCCAAUCCUCGAAGCUCGGGUCCAGCAGCAGCAGCGAUGGUGGCCACAGGAGAUCCUCUCCAAGGUCAUUGAGUACUGCAACAAGCACAUCCAGGCCAAGCCCGCUGAUGGAGCUGCAGCCGCUGGAGAGGCCGACGCGUCGGAUGCAGCGGCCGCCGAGAACCUCAAGAACUGGGACGCUGAGUUCAUCAAGGUCGACCAGGCCACCCUCUUCGACCUCAUCCUGGUAAGAAAUCCGUUGACCCCCCUCCAUGUUGUUCCCCUUCUGGGGCUAGGGCGAGGAUCCAACUCCCUGCGAAGUUACGAGCGAGUCCUUGUGUUUUCUCUUGGAUUCUCUGGAAAGAUUGAACCUACUGGAGGAGUUUGUGCGGUUUGGUCGUGAAUUGCUUUGUUGCGAUUGUCCGAUGUUGCUGAUUGGAUGCAGAUGCGCGCGUUGUCGGGAAUUGCACUAUCACGGUAGUUAGUGUAUGGGUGGAUAAACCCUAGUUAGUGUCUGGGUUCCAGUGCAGAGUCUGUUGAAACUAGACUAUCAUAUCAUUAUAGAUGCCCCAGUUCUUGUUCACAAGCUCAUGCUAGAAGUGGAUAUCACAAAUUGUAUGAUAAGUUUCUGUAUCUAUGUAUAUCACUACAAAAAAACCACUUCCGUGAUGAUACGUGUUGGUCACAGUAGGUCACGUUUUCUGUCAUGCAUGUACAUCCAUGACGAUUUUAUGACAGAAUCAAGAUAGUCAUGCAUGUGCUGUCGUAGAAGUGUUCCAUGACAUUACCAAAAUUAUCAUCACGGAAGUGUCCACUUCCGUGACGAUAAAUCACGCGUCAUAGAAGUGCUUUUGUCAAGGGUGACCGACACGUGGCAUCCACCGUAACGGGUCGCCGUUAAGCUAUCGGGUUCCGGUUUGGAUCCGGUAACCCGUUAACAGCCCUGACCAAUGGGAAUUUUCCACGUGUAAAAUUCUCAUUCACCGGCAAACCACGUGUCGGCCCGGCGUUCAGACAGUUGUCAUCCAGCGAAUGGACGGGAUGCGCCUAUGAUACGUUGACACAUAUCUCGGCCCAAUAGUGGCCCAUUCAAGUUAAAGGCCGGGCCUGUCAAAAUAAGCGGGCCGGCACAUUAGCGGCCUACUUGAGUCAGGCCCAUUCACAAGCACGACCCAUACAAGUUACACAGAAUCGGCCCAUCAAAGACCCAUUCUAGAUUUGACAAUUUCCAGCCCGUCAUCAGUUUCAGCCCGUUAACGGCCCGCUACGUCUUUGGGCCAAUUACGACCCGAGCUUGUUUCGGCCUGUUAGCAGCCCAUCGUCAGUUCCAGCCCGUUAAUGGCCCGGAACGUCUUUCAGCCUUUUCUUGGCCCAUUCUGCAGUUGGGCCAACUUCUAGCCUGUUGUCACUUUAGGCCUAUUCUCGGCCCAUUCGGUAAAUGGGCCAAAUCCUAGCCCAUUUUGUCUUUCGGCCUGUUAACGGCCCACACAACAGUUGGGCCUUUGACAGUGCAACCUAAUUUUGGGUCCAUUAGGGGGCCCAUGUUCCGCAGGGCAAAAUUUCAGCCCGACGCGACUUUCGGCCUGUUAAAAGCCUAGUUUGCAAAUUGGGCCUCCUCUGGCCCAUAACACUUUCGGCCUCUUACUGGCCCGUAAAGUAAAAGGGCUGAGACAAAAUUGACAUUUAUUUUGACCUGCUAGAGGCCCGCGAGCCAUUUCCAUUUAUACGUCCUAUCGAGCUUUCGGCCUGUUAACGGCCUGCUAAGAGCCGUUGUUACGGUGGGCCACAUCAUUUGGGAUCCACUAAAUAUUAUUUUGACCAGCCCAAUCAAGGCCCGCUUUGACUACACAUGUUUGUUUGUUUGUAUGGCGUCCAGGAAAUGUUUGGGCUUGUUGGCCCCCAUUUAUAGCAUAUUCAAAGAAUUAUCCUACUCUAUACUAUUGCCUCUAAAAAACAUACACUAUACAAUAAAAAGACUAAGGCAUAGAAACGUAGAAUAAUCCUACACUAUACAAUAAAGAAAUUACAACCGAUUAUACCCACUGGACAUUAUAGUUCGGCACCAGUGAUAAUAAAGCGUACACAAACAACAAAUUACAUACACUGGGCAAAUAAAGCUCAUACAUCAUGGACACGCAUCAACAGAACUUACCAUUUGAACUACAAUCUCUUUAGAAAAUAGGAUUGGCCGGAUUCAGAUAGCACAAAUUUCAGUCUGCAAAAUCUCCAAUUUCUUCGUGGUUACCUCAGUGUCUCGUUUCAUUUUUUUGACUCCUGCAUCUAAUACCUGCAAGUCCAGUCUCCACUUGUUGAUUGCACGUUGAGAAUCAUGUACACGUUGUCUUGCCACCUCUAGUUGAUGCUCGAGAACAUCAGCACAUUCCAAUUCCAAUCCAUAAUCAUUUGGUAAUGGCCAUGCCGCACUGCUCGCAGAUCAUUGUGUUGAUGUCACUUCAUCCUGAAAUGUUUCUGUAAGUACACAUGACUAGGGCAAAAAUAUAGUUACAACAGUGAAGCGAGCAAGACGGACUAUUUUCUACAUGGCAAAACAGGACUAACAAUAAUGUUACACGUCAUGAAGCAUAAGCAGGUGAUAUUUUAAAAAUUAUAAAAAUGGUAGUCUGUGCAGCCCGCAUACAAAAAUCUCUCUUAGCUCACCAAAGGAGCAUGAUGUUGGGGCCAAAUCCAAAACACAGACAAGUUACAAAUUUAGACAGCACGUUGCGUAUAAGUAAGCAAGCAGUUGGCCAUUAUGUAGAUCAAUUAAAGUCUUAGGGAGCAUAAUGAACAACAGAGGGAUUCAUACAAACCUACUACAGCAAGCAAAACUACGCAAUCAUUAGCCUAGUAUAAACUAGAUUUUGAGCCUCAUGCAGUAAUAGUUGGUUAAUAGACUUCAAAGCUUCAGGCACACUUCACCAGAGUAAUUAAAUGGUAAGGCCUUUAAUUAUGUCAACUAAUAGUUAUACAAGUACACAACAUCAGGCAUCAUUGUUUGGGCAUCUCAUUAACUGAGGACAAAUAAAGCAAUUGAAAAGAGCAAUUUAACUAUGCCUGAAACAAACAAGCAAUUGAACUGUUGAUUUGGCAGCAUGCAUACAUGCACGCCUCAAUAACAUCCAUGACCUGCUACAUUUACUAUAUAAAGGAACAAGUAAUGUAAUAUUGUUUGCCCCCUAUGAAGUAUCUCGACUAGUAUGUAAUCAAUAUCCUAGUAAUGAUAGGGAGGCUAAUGAUGUGAAUAUACGUUUGGUUAUGACAUUUAUGACAUCGACAACUCUACCAUGGCAGGAAGUAGUUUCAUACUGUUCACUACUAUAAGAUGUUUUAGAUAUUUAAAAGUAUACUACAUCCGUAAUGAGUGAACAGGCACAUUAAAAUGUGUUUAUAUACAUAUGAUUUACAAAAAAGUUAGAACAUCAUAUAGUAGUGAGUGGAGGGGGUGUUAAUCAAUGGCCAAAUGACUGGGUUACAGGUGAAGAACCCUACGCAAGCACAAUGUCAGACAAAUUAAUAGGAUAUCCUGGUAAUUGUAAUAAAGUGUGACUUACCUUAACUGGUUGAACAGGCUCAGCGCCGCUCCUCCUUCUCUUGCAAGGCUCCUUCCUAACAUCUUGUACUUGGAAAUCCUCGAUCUUAUCUUCAUUGCACCCCCUCUGCAAGGUGACACAAACUAGUUACUGGUUUCCUUGGAAGAUAAAUAUGCAUACUUUCCAGUCUGUGAACAACACAAAAGGAUGAUAUUAUAACAAAACAACACCACAUAAUGAAACAUGCCAUAUCUCUUGCACACAAUGAAAUGAGCAUUUACUAUGUGUGCACUAUGUAAAAACUAGGCAUACCUUCGAAUUGGAUCUCCAGGUACUCUUGGAGAGCCUACUUUAGUGUACAGCCAAGCCUUUAUGUCACCUAUCAGUUAUACAAGCCCCCACUACAGCAACCCUUAGUGUUUAAAUCAUUGACAAGCUCUGUUAGGUCAAGAACAACAAGUAAUCAAAGCAAACAGUCCUAGUAUGGCUGGCUGACACCAAGAGGGAAUUGAACAGAUGUGUGAGAAAAUCUUACAUAUCAAGAAAAGAAGCAUAGAAGGAGGCUUAAAGACCAUCACUUGACUGACCAGAUUUAAGGGGCAUUUAAGCAUCAUGUGCAACGUAUGACCUAACAUAAACAUUGCAUAUUUCAGAUUCUAUAAUGAAAUGCAUAUGUAUUAGGUUAUGCCAUGUAUGAUGAUGCCUAAAUGUACACUAUAGCAGGCAGGAGUGAUUCAUCAUUGCACGCACAAUUGAAUUGCAGGUUAAGGGCCAGUUCUAUUCCACCUUUUCAGAGCUUAUUGUCAAAAUAAGCCAUAAAAGAUGUAAAGAAGUCAUUUUUGAGUUAUGGGCUUGGGCUUAACUUAUUUCGCUUUGGACGGGGGUGUUUCUGGUAGAAGCUCACUAAAAAUUGAAGGGAAGGGGAAUAGUGAAAUGACUCUGUUGUCUGCCUAUAUUACACUCAAAAUGCCAUUGCUCACGCCCGCGUCACACCUGACCCUCAAGUAAAAACAAACACGCAAGCGUUCAUUGCCCUGCCUGCUUGCAUCUCCUCUCCCUUUCCCUCUACCUUGAUCCCCUGCCUCUGGUGCUUGGGUUCCUCCAGCGAGCCGUCGCCACUGGUCCCAUCUGGCCUGGUCCUCGAUGAUGCUUUGUCCAGCUAGGUUACAUGGCUGCUGGGUAGGGCCAAAUCUCCCUGGCUACUCCUCCCUCUGGUGCCGCCCCUCAUUCUCAUGGUCUCGAGCAGCUGCUCCGCCGUGGUCCGUCCAACCCACUACUCCGCCGGGCGCCGCAUAACCACGGCCGAUGCCACACUGCGGUAGAAGGCACCUCGUUCCCCCUCCCCUCCUCCCAGGCCAUGGCCUUGAGGGGCUGCUGAAGGAUGAGCUCAUCCAACAAGGUGAGGAUCUCCUCUGAUUUUUUGCGAAAUUUUCAUUCUGAUCCGCUAUACGAUGAAUUGCUAUGAGCUGCUUCUGCUGCUGCUAUAUGAUGCAUUGCUAUGAGCUGCUCCUGCUGCUGCUAUAUGAUGAAUUGCUAUGAGUUGCUGCUGCUAUAUGAUGAAUUGCUAUGAGCUGCUGCUAUAUGAUGAGUUGCUAUAAGCUGCUCCUGUUGCUGCUAUAUGAUGAAUUGCUAUGAGCUGCUCCUACUGCUGCUAUAUGAUGAAUUUCUAUGAGCUGCUCCUGCUGCUGCUAUAUGAUGAAUUGCACACUGCUGCUGCUGCUGUAUGAUGAGUUGGUAUGAGCUGCUGCUGCUACAUGAUGCUUUCAGGUGGUGCUGCUAUAUGAUAAUAACCAGCCACUUGGACCAUCGAAAUUUGAUAAAUAAUUGUUCUUCAUUUAAAUUUAGGUCAUGCGUUCUUCGUUUAAAUUAGGCAAUGGGAUCUCUAUGGAAGACAUUGACCAAAGUAGAUUGUGCCAAGUAGAUGGUAUCUUUGUAUUUGCAUUUUGAACAAAUAUUGAUGGUCUGUUUUCCUAUCAUAUUAAUUACUGCACUGGGUUCAAUUUGUGAUGUUUGCAAGUCAAAUUAAUUUUCAUAUGGGCAGCAAAAUGACAAAAUAUAAUGCAAUCUAGACUUUUCACUAAUCAUACCACAGAUAAGCUGAAAAGGCAGGCAAUGAAAAGAACUGGUUGGCUUAUUACCUAGAGCUUAUAUUCAAAGGUGCUUAUUUUCUUAGGAUAACUCGAAAUAACUAUCCCUAAGAAACUUGGCCAAUAGAACUGGCAUCUAAACAACUAUAUAGUGGGCCAAUAACUUCAAAUAUUAGUCAUUGGAUAUGUCCAUCCAACGGUCAAGAGAUGGAAAAUCCGAGCAUUAUCAUCCAUUGGAUAAAGUUUUCAAUUCAUAGGAUUCUGCCACGUGGUCUUCUAAUUGAACCCCCAACUCUACCAUCUCAUGUGUUUUAGAAGCAUCUAUCGACAUGCUUAUGUGAUGCUCUAAUAAAAAGGGACCAGAACAAUCUGGAUUCUAGAGAGGUAAGAAUCAAGUUGGAUCUUGUCCAAUACGAUUCUAGGAAAGGAAAUACAUAUUGAAAUGUAUUUCCCCAUGCUUUUUAUAUACAGUUAAAUGACGUGCAAAGCACGUACAAUUUACUAGUACAAAUAACAUGUCACGAUGAUUGCAAUGGAGGCCCAGUUCUUUUGCCAGAUUCUCCCAGAAUCUGACUCCUACCCAGAUUCUCCCAGAAUCUUUGAGCCCCAUUUGUUUUACAAUCCUAUAUAGUUAGGGUCUAAUUAGGUAGGAUUGUAAAACAAAAGGGGGUCAAAGAUUCUAGGAGAAGCUAGAGAGGGGCAGAUUCUAGGAGAAUCCUGCAAAAGAACUGGGCCGAAGUGACCUACCAUAGCACACUGUAUAGGCUCACCGUUGCCUUUCCUUUUUUUGUGAUGUUCCAUGAAAUUGCCACAUACAUCUUGUAUUUUUUUGUUGUGUAACCCUAUCUGCAAGUUGACACGGCUAAUUUUAGACAUCUCUACAUGAUAAUACAUUGCAUAUCCCUUGCGCAUAUUUAAACCACCAAUUAAUGAUUGUGUGUGUAGCAUAAACUAGCCAUGACUCUGUGUGCUGGACUAGCAGGCACUCUAAGGGAGCCUAAUGUAGUGCACUGGAAUUCCUACAUGCCACCUACGAUUUUGUGUAAUGUACUACCUCUGUUCCUAAAUACAUGUCUUUGUAGAGAUUCUAGUAUGGACCAUGUAUAGAUGUAUCUAGAUGCAUUUUCGAGUGUAGAUUCACUCAUUUUGCUCUGUAUGUAGCAUAUAGUGGAAUCUCUAGAAAGACCUAUAUUUAGGGAUGGAGGGAGUAUCAUGUAUGACAUCUACAUAUCUAAUUUAGCAGCCAGUAGUAGAAAUCAUUGUCUGCACAAAGGGAUUACUAGUCGAAAAUCCUAGCAAAGCACGCUGGCAGGCACACGACAAUACAAGAGAGAGAGACGCACUUACAAGAUCAUAGCAAUGCCUCAAUCUAGGAUCUUGGUUGGCCAAGCUGUUAGAUCUAGAAGGAACAUCGUCCUUGUAGUUUUUGCCAACUGCAUAACAUGUAACAGCGACCUGUUAGUAUAUUUGAAGUACAUCGGGUAGGUGAUGUUGGACGGGUUUAAAGGUGACAAGUACCUAGGCCGUGGCGUGUGCUUGGCAUCUUGCCAGACGGUGGGAAUUAGGUUAGAAACGUCAAGGGUGAUGACGCUGCGCUGGCUGUCGGGGUCCCGUAAGGAGAUCUAGAACCGUCGAGUAGGGUGUUUAUGGAGCAGCUCCGGUAGGGUGGACUAUGGUGUGGGCGAAGCAGAUCUGAGGCCGGGGACGAGGGCGUCGGUGAAGCUGCUCCGGUGGUUGGGUUCAGGAUGGUGUUGACGAUGCGGAUCUGCGGCCGUGGACGGGGCGUCAGAAGCUGCUCUGGUAGGUUGGACGAGGGUGCGACGAAGCGGAUAUGAGGCCGUGGACUUGUGAGUUGGCAAAGCGGCCCCGGUAGGGUUGAGAAUGGCAUAGGCGAAGCUAAUCCAGUAGGGUUGACGAUGGUGUUGGCGAAUCGGCUUCGGUAGGGUUGAGGAAGGUGUCGGCGAAGAGGAUCAGAAGCUGUCGAUGGGGGCUUNNNNNNNNNNNNNNNNNNNNNNNNNNNNNNNNNNNNNNNNNNNNNNNNNNNNNNNNNNNNNNNNNNNNNNNNNNNNNNNNNNNNNNNNNNNNNNNNNNNNNNNNNNNNNNNNNNNNNNNNNNNNNNNNNNNNNNNNNNNNNNNNNNNNNNNNNNNNNNNNNNNNNNNNNNNNNNNNNNNNNNNNNNNNNNNNNNNNNNNNNNNNNNNNNNNNNNNNNNNNNNNNNNNNNNNNNNNNNNNNNNNNNNNNNNNNNNNNNNNNNNNNNNNNNNNNNNNNNNNNNNNNNNNNNNNNNNNNNNNNNNNNNNNNNNNNNNNNNNNNNNNNNNNNNNNNNNNNNNNNNNNNNNNNNNNCGUGGACAAAGCCGGCACUGAAUGGGCUGUGGUACAGUGGUGGAUGAGCAGUCUACUUGUUUCUAGGGGAGGUGGGAGGGGUAGAUGCGACCGUAGAAGCAGAUUCGACGAGGUGGACGCCGCUGGCAGUGAAUGGGCUCUGGUACGCCGGUGGAUGAGCAGUCUAGGGUUUCGAGAGGGGAGGGGUAGAAAGGCCGAUGAAGUACAGAUGGUGUGAUGUACGAUGCUCUGGUGCUGUGGAGUUAGUCGUUUUUGCGGGAGGGGGGUACCGUGCGGUGGGGGGAACCGGAAGUUACCAAAGCAGCCCCGACCUAUUGUGUAAAUGAGGGUCGUAUUGUAACUAUUGUUCUCCGUGCACCAAGGACAAAAGGGGAAUUUCGCAUGCUAAAGACUAGGUGGUGAAAAUUUUAGAAGGAGGCGGGAGAUUUUGCCGCCCGCGGGAUCGUUCGUAUCCAGUUUCAACUAAUUUUUGUCAGUUCUAGCAAGAAGGUCAUGCGAGACUGUGUACAUGGGGCACAUGUCAGCAGUUAAUAACUGGUGUGAAGUCCACCCCAGAAAAAAUACAAUAACUCGGGAUGAUGCACCGAUAACUUGGACGUUCACACGGGUGCGGCCAAUCGUACGAGUGUAGAGGCGCGUUCACAAAAAAAGGAUCAAACGCUCAGCCUAUGUAUUUCUCGUGUAAAUAGAUAAUUUAGUGCCAUUGGUUAUUUACUUUAAACAUAAUGCAUUGACGUGUUAUUGUAGAGGUGCACGAAAAGAGAUGGAUAUUGUAGACCCACAAAAGAAAUGGAUAUUGUAGUCCGCUACUUAAAAGGUUUACCUCAUAUGAUUACAUAGCCUCCAUUUCAUAAAUUGCGUACCCAUUGAAUUCAUAUAUGAAUAUUACAUAUAUUACUUCAUAAUAGAACCUUAAAUCAUCCAAGACUAUGAAUUUGAAUGCAAGACUAACAAUGGUGCAUGUACAUGAUAGCUACAUUGGUUGUUUGAAGAAACAUCACUGUAGCUUUGGCAUGCACAAUUGAAAAGGAUUAUUUAGAAAAAACAAAGUGAUAUGUGAGUGUCCAAUCUUUAUAGCGCUAAAUCGAUAUUGUAUCUUUGGCCACGAAACGAAGUAGAUAUUGAUUUAUGUUCAAGCGAUGCACGUACACGAUCGCUAGAUAGUGAUACGUCAAUGAAUUGUGCAAUCUCUCUCACACGCAUACAUAUCUCAUUUCUCCGUGGGCAUCGGAAUCACACACGCGCACUUCGUGUAUUUCUCUCCCUCCGUCAAGGUUAGAAUUCAUCUUUCUACCCCGUCCUGCAAGUCUCUCACACAGAAACACACAUCCUCUCUCUGUCAAACACCCCCACCCCUUUAAUUCUGCCCACCCACCGCCACUAAUGUCUCAAAGUAUAAUUAUGUCUCUCACACAUAUGCCUAAGGUUAACUCGAGUCCCGGAACCAUAUGAAUACAUACAAUGGGAUUCUAGCAGAGCACCUUUUGUUUUGAGAUUUUGCUCUCUCUCUCUCUCUCUCUCUCUCACACACACACACACACGUAAACAUUGUUUCUCUCUUCAUUUUUUUCCGGCACUUGCAUGCACACCGCUUGUUUAUCUCCGUGAUGCUUUAAGUAUGCCUCGCACACGUGCUAUCUACCUAUCCCUUAAUAUAGAUAUGUGUCACACAAACUCCUUCUCCCUAUAUCUAUGUGUCACUGCCCUCCCCCCACACCCACACACACACACACUUCCCGACACCGAAGGAGUAGGGUGACACCUCGAUCUUGAUACUAAUCUAUCUACUGGCUUCUCCCUCAAACACACACACACACACAUACACACACACACUACCCGACACCGAAGGAGUAGGGUGGCACCUUGAUCUUGAUAGUAAUCUAUCUACUAGCUUCUCUCUCAAACACACACACAUACACACACUCGCUAGUUGUGCCUCUGUGCCUACCGCNNNNNNNNNNNNNNNNNNNNNNNNNNNNNNNNNNNNNNNNNNNNNNNNNNNNNNNNNNNNNNNNNNNNNNNNNNNNNNNNNNNNNNNNNNNNNNNNNNNNNNNNNNNNNNNNNNNNNNNNNNNNNNNNNNNNNNNNNNNNNNNNNNNNNNNNNNNNNNNNNNNNNNNNNNNNNNNNNNNNNNNNNNNNNNNNNNNNNNNNNNNNNNNNNNNNNNNNNNNNNNNNNNNNNNNNNNNNNNNNNNNNNNNNNNNNNNNNNNNNNNNNNNNNNNNNNNNNNNNNNNNNNNNNNNNNNNNNNNNNNNNNNNNNNNNNNNNNNNNNNNNNNNNNNNNNNNNNNNNNNNNNNNNNNNNNNNNNNNNNNNNNNNNNNNNNNNNNNNNNNNNNNNNNNNNNNNNNNNNNNNNNNNNNNNNNNNNNNNNNNGUAGACUUCUCGCGCGCGCACAUCUCUAGUGACGAUGACACUGAACCCAGUGUGCCUUGUUUUUACCGGCCUCAUGUGAUAGUUUUCACCCUGUUUUCGGUUAAUUAACAAGGCAACAUUUUCUUUGUUACUACUAGUGAAUCUGAGAUCAUUCGGGGCAGACAUAAAAUAUAUCACUUCAACCCAAUUAUCGCAGUAACUAUUUUAAAAGAAACUAGUUAGAUGCCCGUGCGUUGCAUGGAACAUCAAGAUGCAUUUGUAUGAGUAGUUUAUCUUGUGAGAGAAAAGGAUGAACGAGGGAAGGCCUUAUUUGCAAUUGUGGAGAGGGGUGUGGGUAUCUUUUUGCAAAAUUGCCACAGUUUCCUUCCUGUCCGUUAGAUAUAAAUCCGACGGCCUAUAUUGCAGGAUGGCAGGCAUACCAUCAUCACCAACUCUGUUUUCUACUCCCUCCGUUCCUAAAUAUUUAUCUUUUUAGAGAUUUCAACAAGUGACUACAUACAGAGCAAAAUGAGUGAAUCUACACUCUAAAAUAAGUCUAUAUACACAUCUGUAUGUGGUAGUCCAUUUGAAAUAUGAAAACAAAAAAUAUUUAGGAACGGAGGGAGUAUAAGAGUAGAGAUAGAGAUAUAUCUCCAGCAUCGUCCACAAUGAAAAUGUGCUGGACUGGUUAGCGUCGGAUGCUCGCAACGCGAUGACCUGAGUUCGAAUUCUGUCUUUAACUUUAGAUUUCUAUAUUAUAUAUUAUUUAAUAUAUACUUAUUUCGCUACUGUACUGACAGUGGAACCCACAGAGUACUUAGAAUACAAGAUUAAGGAUGGAUUUGUUUCUUUUUAACUUUCUGUACGAAGCUGUAGCCACCCUGCAAGUCAUGUGUACACUGUACAUGCAAUUAACUUUUUAUAGAGGGAGAAUCAUACACGCAAUUAACUCAAAUGGAUUGGAUAUGACUAUUAUUUCCAGCAUAAGAGCAUCUCCAACGGCAGUCGGCAAAUUUCCUCCCGCUUCCUUCCGCGGAGGAUGACAUCCAACGCCAGCGGCAUGCAUUUUCACAACUCUAACCAACCAGAGGAAAUUCGUGCAAACACGAACUAAUUUCAUAUAAGCAUGAAGGAUUUAAUAUAAAAAGCCGGAUCUUCAUAUAAACAUGAUGGAUUUCAUUACAUUUACAUGAACUAAGUAGUGCUAAUCUGGCUCUCGUGGUAUAAUUAAUACCUAAUCUAAAUGGCUGCCCACGGAUCCCUUUGUCUUCCUCAUGUCUGGCAGACACUUGCGGGGUCGAUGAAGGUCCUCGAAAGAGACGAAGCAGCAAAGAAACCACUUGAAUAUGCAGUCGUCGCCUUGGCGAUGGCCUUCAUGGGACCCAAGUGGCGGCAGCCUCCCGUGUUCUACUUCUCCUCGAUGAUGGCGGCAGACACAGAGAAGCUGGCCACCGACUCGCCGCUCUCCAUGCACACGGCUUCUGUCUCUGCCCGCAUGGCGCUGCCGCGGGCACGGGAGGCGCGCCCAUAGACACGGGAGGCGCGGCCACCGCAGACACUGGUGGCGCAGUAUGACGUGGGAGCGAUGACGCUUGUGCCGCCGUGCCGGCAUGGAGCAACUCGCCACUCCUCAUCGAGCUGAACUGGAGCGGUUGUUGAACCACACGCCGGCUUGGGGCGGCAACUGGCUCCAUCGGGCCAAGAGAGGUUGGUGAAGCAUUGAGCAGCCUCGCUCGUAUCCGGAGGGCUCAGGAGGCCACCUAGCCGGGUAGUACGCUGGAGAACGGCUCCUUGGAAGCCAUCGGAAGAGUGGAGAAAAUGGUGAAGGAGGAGAUGGGGGAGCGGCGGAGGGUUGUGAUUCUUGCCCGCUGUCUGUCUGGCCUCGUUUAAAUAGAGGGCGGACGGUAGGAGCUUGGCCGGCAUCAGGCCUCAUUUAAACUGAGGGCGGAUGGGAGGAGCUCGGCCAGCGUUGCAUUUAAUUCCGGCCUGCUCAUGAACGGACGUGUGGCCGGAGUAGGUUUCUCGGUUUGCAUGCGGGUUUAACAAAGGCGUUUGAUGGAGGCGAGGAGGUGUGUUCAGCCGGGCGUGCAGCGGGCGGCGUAGUACUAUUCCAUUUGACAGCUACUAGUAAACCAGGACAGCUCUUGAUACGGCUUUAAUGCAGACGAGGGAGAGGGUAGCGAUUCCCGAAAUGUUGAACGGCCAAUGAUGCAUCCUCCUUCAGUUAGGAUCCUGAAUGCAUGAGGGAAGUAAUGGGAGGAGGAUGGGGAAAAGAGGCAGCACGAUGUGAAUUCAACGCAUAUUGCACUCAUAUAAAGAUACCCCUCCAUUCCAAUGCAUCUACCACAUCGUACGCACCUAAGCACCUACACUAAGCGCAAAAGUGCUCACUCCAGACCCAUGGUGGCGAUGCGCGCGAGCGGCCAGCGGCUGUGCCAGAUGGUCCAAGACGCCGGCCUACGGCAUGGCACCAAGGAUCGUCUUCAGACGGUGUUGGUGACCGGCUGGUUCAUGGCCAUCGUCGACGCCAGCUACAACUCUCAGUUGGACCAGAUGAUCGUUGCCACCAUCAACAAGUUCACCGUCGUUAAGAAGCUCGCGGACGACAUCGCCGUACUCCUCCAACCCGCGCGCUCGGGCUCCUCAUUGCCUGCCACCCUAAUCGGCCUCCAUGGCGAGAACCUCUUACAAGCACUGGUGGCCCUGCGACUGCCCGCUGACGUAAUGAAGAAUGUCCACCUGGAGGUCGCGCUCGCCACGAGGUGCCUCGCAUUGCAAGAAUUCGUCGACCUACACAUCCAUGUGUAUGAACAAGUCGUGUACAUAGGUAUCUACAAGGUCGGUGAGGACGCUGCAAUGUUGGCCUUCGUCAACCAGCUGGAAGCAUUGGACGCCUUUGUUGAGAAGCACCUUGACCUCGCCAUAAAAGUCGCCGCUCCUAAGCUGCUGGUCGGUCGCCCGACACACUGAGUCGAGGAGGAGGAGGUCGUACGUUGAUGGAUGCAUCUUUCUUCUUGCCUCCUGUAACCACCACUGCGAUUGCAUCAUCGUGGCCUUAAUUCUUAUUGCACUAUUGCAUUCUCGUUCCAGUCAAUACAGACAUGUGCGAUCCCUUUGCUCACAUUUGGAGGCAAUUAUAUGCGUCACUGUAACUAGUACUCCAUCUGUCAAUUUAUAAGUUUUGCUUACCUUUUUCAUCAACUUCGUGCAACGCACGGGCAUCUUGCUAGAAACACUAUAAGUUGUGCAAACCGACGAGGCGCCAACCUAGCUACAACCCUGCUUAUCUGGCAGAAAAAGCCCUGCCCUAGCGUUUCCAAUCGUUAUUUCUAUCUAUCGAUCAUGCCAAGGAGCAGAACCAAAUGUUAAAAUUUAUACAUGUUUCUCUAUCUCUACUUCUCUACUCUUAUAAAAAAAUAGAGUUGGUGAUGAUGGUGAGCGUGCCAUCCUGCAAUAUAGGCCGUCCGAUUUAUAUCUGACGGAUAGGAAGGAAACUAUGCCAAUUUUGCAAAAAUAUACCCACUCCCCUCUUCACAUUUGCAAAUAAGGCCUUCCGUCGUUCAUCCUUUUCUCCCAUAAGAUAAACUACUCAUACAAAUGCAUCUUGAUGUUCCGUGCAACGCAUGUGUAUCUUGCUAGUCUCCUAUAAAAGACUCAGUUGGUGAUGGUGGUGUGUCUGCCAUCCGUCAUUUCUGACCAUUAGAUCUGUAUCUAACGGUUGCGAGGUAAGUUGUGGCAUUUUUGCAACAAUAGCCCACUUCUCUGCUCCAAUUUACAGAAAACCCCUUAUUAUCUUGAAAGCAACCACAUCCCUCCCUCACCUCAUCAAAACAGCCUGAGAAAUAUAUUUUGAGUGAAAAGUAAUAUAUUUUUAGUGGUAUAUAUGUAUAUCAAAACAAGAGUGUUUUCUUUCAAGUUUGUGAACAUGUACUAUUCUACUUUGGAUCCGUCACAACGCACAGGCACAUUGCUAGUAAAUGAAAAAGGCCUGCCGCGUUCGCGUCGCACCCCCACACGCCCGGGAAUCGGGAGUACUGCACGGCCCGUCCGACAUGCCACAUAGCUAGGGAAGGCGUGUUGCCUAGCAUUUUCACUUUCAUGUGGGACCGCAGUUGAGCAAACCGACUAUCGGCAAACCGCACCCCGCCCGCCGCGUUGGAAAACAAAAACAAGGAGGGGAAGAUCUAGCUGUAGCACGGAAGCCAAGAAAUUUGGUGUCAGAUGGGGCUCGUUGAUAGAGUAGGAGCACUCCGUACUACUACUCCUACUAGUAUGAAGUUUGUACUACAACUAGUACUACCACUAUACAACUAGGUACGUGCACGACACAACAUCGUAGGAACAAAAAAGGGAAGAUCUUGUUUUGGGUGAUUUAUCUUUUUUUCAGUCAACGUAGUAUGAAUAAUAUGAUGUGGGGGCACCCAUGAAGCUUAUGUGGCUUGGUUGCAUGACUAGGAAAGGCUAGAGAAAAUAAAUAGAUAAUGUGUUUAGAGUGCACUCCACUAAAUAGAUACUUUGGAUCCAUUGCAACGCACGGACCGACACAUUGGUAGUAGUAAGAAACAAAUUCCGGGUUUGGCAUGAGUUCGUACUGCGGGAGCACCACAAGGCCUGGCGCAGGAGUUACAUUUCCCUCUCGGGGCCCACGGGACCGAGCUUCAGUGGCUUAGUGCACCGGCCUAUGAGUCAAUGACAUGUGGACCUUAAAUGCGGCUGGCCCACAUGUCAUUCUCAUGAAAGCAGAGCGGCGGUGGGACCGAGAGGGGUGAGGCGCAAGUCAGCGGACGAGGUUUGCCUGCUCCCCUCCCAUGCUCCGACCCGUACUCCCGCACCACUAAUUUUCAUCCAACCGUUAUAAUAGAUUUCCUUGUGUGGGUCAUCUAUAGCCUCAAAGAAAGGUAAACAAAGGCCGUAUUUCCAGGAAAUAAUUUCCUACAUGAAUUUGUACACGCAUGCAAGACCCUUUCCUUUCUUGCUCAUCCUCCUCUAGAUCAUCAGCUGCGUUGACAAUGUCGGUGCCACACCAGAGCGUCGCAACAGGUGCCUGCCUAAGACAUGUAGCACGCUACGGCGCCAGCGAGUACCACCUCCUCCAUGCCAACAUCGGCGUCUGGGCCAUGCACAUGCAGCUGCUCCCUGUAGUAUUUUACCUGCAUGUUCGACUGCAGUACCACAUCAAUCUUGGACGAGACCAUGGAGCUUGUGGGCAAGAAAAGUCUCUGCCCGGCCGACGCAUGUGGAGGUGCUUGACUGUUGUGACGUGACGCACGACGUUUACUAGCUCGCGCUCCGGAUGAGCGGCAGGGUGCUUUUCCCGAUCGUCAGUGGUGCGACGGCAAUGACGGCCGGGUGGGAGCUCGGGCAGGAGCCAGUGAUCUACCCGGGGCACAUAGCUCGACUUGGGCUCGAGAUUCCGACCGCUUGAACCGUCCCGAGGAUGUACCACUCAGCGACGAGGCUGGAAUGCUGGAUACGUAUAGGCGUGUGCUCGUGGGCGGGAGCAACCUGCUCAAUGGAUACCGGUUUGCGAACGUGAUGUACUCGACAUAGUUGAGCCAGUGAGCCUGGAGGCAUUCCUGCCGUCGUAUGUCGACGCGCGGCUCAAUGGCGUGCGGCCACGUGCCAGCAUAGGUCGGCUACGGGGAAGCGGCAUCGGUGUGGUUCGAGAUUCCCAGCCGGCCGUUGUUGCGGCGACGUUCACUCGUUCUAGUUGAACCGGCCGGUGGUGGCUUGGCCGUGGUGAGGGUGUGACACAGCUGGACGUCGGGGCGUUAUGAGGCGUUCUCGUUCAUCCUUUUCUCCCAGAAGAUAAACUACUCAUACAAAUGCAUCUUGAUGUUCCGUGCAAUGCACGGGCAUCUUGCUAGUAAGAAACAAAUCUCGAGUUUGGCACAAGUUCGUGCAACGGUAGCACCACAAGGCCUGGCACAGGAGUUACAUUUCCCUCUCGGGGCCCACAGGAGUGAGCUUCAGUGGACCCGAUAGUUGGCUGGUCCACAUGUCAUGCUCCUGAAGGCAGAGGGGCGGUGGGGCCGAGAGGGGUGAGCCACAAGUCGGGGGACGUGUGGUGUCAUGGGUUCGAGCGGCGUCCUGGGAAUCGCGUGUGGCUGUGGUAGAAACUUGAUGCUCGCCGCAUUUCAGCUAGCCCACAUGUCAUGCACACAAAGGCAGGGGGUGGUGCGGCCGAGAGGGGCGAGGCGCACAUCGGGGGACGUGGUGCCGUGGGUUGGAGCGGCGUCGUGGGAAUCUCGAGUGGCAGUGUAUGAAACGUGAUGGUCGCCAUAGUUCAACUUCCAUGGACAAGCUGUCAUGUCUACUGACACAUGCAUUGCAUACCGAUCAAAGGAAGGAGUAGUAGAGAGAGCUAGGCGGAUAAAUAGUUCCUUAUAGUCAAGCGGACCUACGCUGCUACUUGUUCCAAAGACAUGCACACCAUCGAAAUAGUUCAUCUAUAUCAAUAUACACAGAGAGGAAAUAUUUUUUUUAAAUCGAGGAAAUAGUUCAUCCAUCCAUAAUGCCCUGGUGCUGGUGCAACUUCUUCUUCUUCUUCUUCUCAUUUUUUGUGGGAGACGGCUUCGCAACAAGCUCUUUGGACCUCGCGGCUAUUUCAAAACUCACACGGGCAUCGAGGGCAGCAUAUUUUAUCCGCUCAUACGUCAAGGGAUAAUUCUCCCAUCCAGACGACCUUAAUGCCAGCGUCUCAUCACCCUUCUGAAGAUUUGUACCGAGCACAAAAUUUGCUACGUCGAAUAGGGAUGGUGUCUGUUUAUCACAAUCUUCUACAGGAAUUUUGAUUCUGGUUUGUAGGUCAGUGAUGGUUUUCAAAUCAAGGUUGUACGGCGCCAGCUUCUGUUUGUCCCCUUCGAUGGCUGCCCCACAGAAGUAUAUAUCCUCCCGAGACAAGAAAUCAUGGAGCUCACCUAGUAUGGAGGGCGCGUGUAUGAUGUGGUACACCAAAACAUCAUCUUUGAGGCACAGCCGAAGGACGGCGGUGCGUUGGAUCUCCCCAGUGGCACGCUCUGUGUACUCUACAUCGAGACCGACAACCUUCAUCUCUACCUUUUGGAGGGAGUUGGAUACAUUGUUGAUCCACUUCCGAACAACCCUUGGGUGGUCGGUGACGGUGGCAACUAUGCUCAACGAGCCUUCGACGAGGACAUGUUGGAUGCUAAAAACCUGCAUCUCGAUCUCUUUCGCCAUUUGGAACCGCUGGACCGGAGGGCUAUGGUUUGGAGAAUUAGGAUUAGAUGGCUAGUCUAACUGAAGAAGAUGAUUAUUUAAAGGGGCUUCAGAAUUACUCCAGGAGUAUGUGAAGAGGUUAAAACAAUGUGAAUGCACUGGGGUUUGGAUGCAAAUGAAGAUGAAGGAGAGGUGAAGAAGCCAAGGAAAAUCGGUUCCCGAUGGAGAAGUAAAUGGAAGAAGUGGCCUGCACGCAGUUGAUUAGACGGCUAGGUAGACUAAACGAAAAGGCUAUGCGGGUAGACUGAGGGGUGGUACCUUAUGUGCCCAUCCUUCUAGCGCUACAUGUGCCACUGGCUAGUUGAGGUCACUCUUUCGAAUCACCGUGGCGAGACAUUUUAUGAUUCCUGUUUAUUUCUGCACCCCUCUUGACAGGUGAGACCUAUGCAAACAGAUAUUAAAAAAAAGUGUCAUAGCUGGUUCGGAUGGAUAUUGGCGCGUGCGUGGGAGACACAACAUUCUCUGGUUAAGGAAUAUGCGGUUAUCCUCAAAAAAGAAAAAAAACCUUCUUUGCGCUUCCGCAUGCACAAUAAUUUGGUUCUGCUCGCAAUAUGGAUGAUACCUGGAGGAUGAAGUGAACCUAGAGGCAUGCUAGCACGGGAGACCUAUUUCCGCUAUAAAGUACUACUCCGUAUGUUCCUACUAGUAGUAGUACAACUGUGGUACACUUGAUGGGUAAAAUAUUAUUCAUUCGGUCCUCACAGUGAAGUGACAAGACCCUGCGCCCGAGGUGAUACCAGUCCAGGCGGCGUGUUCAGGUUACCAAAGUCAGCCUCACCUUAUGCACUAUACAAUCACUAUCACCACCGAUGUAUAGCAUGCCUUGCCUCGUCUCCCUCUCCCCUAGCACUACCCCAUCCCCAUCUUCGUCUCGCCAGAGAUCUUGAGGUCACUCUUCAUCAUCUCACUGUGCCCCCGCGUACCCUCGCCUCGCUCGCCUCCCCCAGUACCACUAUUCCCUCGCUAGCCGCUCCAGCACCGAGAGCCUUCUCCCCCGUAAAUCAUGCCCCCCAAAACCCCACCUUCCAAACUCCACCAUGGCCGAACGCGAACCGCGCAACAUCCAUAUGAGCCGCGAUUGGAGCAAUCUCCCCAGUGACAUCCUCGACCUCUGUUGUUCGUGUAUGGAUAUGUUGAGCGCCCUGCGGCUGGCUACAUGCUCGAGGGACAUGCACACGACCAUCAUCGAAGCGAGGCCUAAGCUUUUCAAGACACCCUGCUUGCUGCUAUCUGGUCUUGCGAGAUUUUCUCACCAUGAUACAAAGGCGUACAUGAUGCCCCUCGACUUCAAUCUGACCUCCAUUAGCCAAAACUUCUUCACGGGUAUGUAGUGGGUCACCAUACAUCAUUUCCCUCGACUUCGAUCCGAUCACCAUCGCCUGAAACUUCUUGGCAGGUAUGUACUGGGUCGGCAUGAACUCCCACUGGAUGGCUGCCGUCAGAGAAGACCGGAAAAAAUUGGUGCUCGUGAACUUCCACACCUCCCAUGAGAUUAUCCUUCCUACGUUGGAUUAUAUAGGGUUUUUCCCUCGCGGUCCAAGUCAUCUAGAUUACAUCGUCAGUUGGAUGCACCUUGUUUUGCAGAAGAUUGUAAUCUGCCAAGUGCCCACACGAGAUGCGAAUUACGUAGACUUCAAGCUAAUUGCAUUGUUCGACCGCGGACUCGCCUAUCUUUCCGCUGGUGCCUUCUUUAGCUGGAGACAGCUCACCUCACAGUGGAUCGUCAAAGCUGAUACACACUUCUGUGAUGCUAUUGAACACAAUAGCAUCAUCUAUGCGAUCGACAAAGCAGAUGGCACCCCGUAUUGCUGGGACGGCGCAUGUAAGUUGUUUCCGUCUGAUGUUAAUGAUAACGCCAUGACACUGUUUGAACUUUUUGCGAUGAUUGGCAUAUCCCUAUUUGAGCAGAAUUUGAGUAGAACUAUGGCAUGUAUUAGAGACGCCGUAAAUCAACUAUAUUUGGAAUGAGUUAAUUCAUGCGAUUGUGACCAUGUCAUUACAGCCAAUUUGUACCCCUGAAUAAUCAAACGGUUAGGAAGAUAUGGAUAUUCUCCUUAUUUUAUAGUAAUCUAUAUACUAGUACUAAAUAUGAGUGUGUAUCAAUGUCCAUGUUAGUUUCCUCAUUUUCAUGAUGUAGAAACAUGCAUCGUACUGUUGGUUUCAUCUAACCAUACAUUAGGGAAGUGAAUGUGCAUAUGGAGAACUCUAUAUUUCGAAGUAGUGAAAUCCUGUAAUGCUUACCAUGUGUACAUACCUAUAUUCGCCCUUCAGCAAUCAAUGGCUAGAAUAAUAUCCUCACAAAAAAUUUGCCCACAGAACAUGAGUAUAUAACAAUGCAUGGUCUGUUAGUUUCCUUGAAGGAUUUGUUUGUGAGGACAGAACAUGAUUACAUAACAUGCAUGACAUGGUAGUUUCCUGUGAAGAAUCGAUUGCGAGAUAAGAUGAGUAUAACCAUGCAUGUAUUUUCGAAUUCAGUAUACAUUUCCCUGUAUUUUCCUCCCAGUUACAAUAGGGACAUAUCAAUGUUGUUUCUUGCAUUAUCCUAUUCAUACUCUGAACAAUGCUGAUCUUACAUUAACAAUGCCUGUUCUUUUCGAUAUGAUGCAGUGUCCCUACAUUUACUGCCCUUUGUAAUCACACCACCUUUGCCAAAAACAGGGAAGCAUAACUGGUUCCUCGCUCGAUCAGAUGCCAGCAAAAGACUGAUGAUCAUUCACACACAUGAGCCGGAAAAGUUAUAUUGCAAAAACCCCACUAUGUACAAGCACCGUGAAAUACGUGAGUAUCUGAACAGUGGCUGCUACGUCUAUGAGCAGGAUACCGGCUUGUUGGGGCCUUCAGGAUUUUUGAGUUGGAGGCGGGUAAAUAGCCUUUGUUCACACUCUUUGUUUCUCAGACUCAAUUGUCCGAUUAACCAGGAGAUCACCAUUGGCAAGGACCUUGAUGGCAGAUAAGCUCUGUUUGCAAUGGAAAACUGUUGUCUACACGGCGAGCCCUAGGAAUUCGGGAGCAAACUCCCCUGAUUGUCAACGAUACAGCCUGCAGCCAAAAGAAGGUGAGAAUGACAAAGGCAUCUGGAUUAACUUUGAUCCUUAGAUGUCUCAAGUCCGACAUGCAGUGAUGUGGUUCAAGCCUUCAGGUUGAUAGGUAAUUGGGCUGUUGUGUCGAAAGGGUGGAGUACUGGUGUCUCCGGAUCACUGGUGGCUAAAGCGGGGCUACAAAUUAUGAUGGUGUUGGAUCAUCCCUCUUCGAAUGACUUGUUUUCUUUGCUGCUUGUUCUGGAUGGGUAGUUCUCUCUUUUGUUAUGCAUAUUCCAUGUCAUUUGGUCAUCCUCAUCUAUGUCACUCUUACUAUGUAAUAGUUGCCUCUAUUUAGAAUUUCAUUCUCGUCUGGAUCACGAGAGUCUGAGCGCUGCAGAUGGGUGUGUUUUAGUGGUGUAGCAAGACUUCUUAUGAACUAUCAUGUCUUGCUGCUUAUGUCAGUAGUAGUCACUAGUCAGUGUUUGAAUGAUGUAUAUAUCGUUGUUUCGAACUGCUGGUGGGCUAAAUGAGGGCAUCACCAUUCUCCAAUGUUCAGAGUAUAUCUCCUUUUUUCAAGUUAUAAUUUGAGCUCAGUGUCUUUUCAAUGAUGUACACUUGUUUGGGCCAGUGAGGUGUCGUUGAAUAUGGGCCGAGUAGUAAUGCAAUGCCAAACAGGUCAAUUAUGACUCUCAAGCCGGGCUCUCAAAAGAUCAUAAAAAAGGCCGAGCUCUCAAAAAAAGAAAGAAUAAGGACUCUUAGGCCGACAUGUGGGCACCACCGGUGUUUUCGUGCGCUUGCGCGCCGAGAGCAUAUUGGUGCGUGUUCGAAAUUCAUGCUACCUUUUCAUCCCCAAUCUCCCGCCCCUCCCCCACCUCUGGAAUCUCGAUUCCUACUCCAGUUCCCCCAAAUCCCCCUCCUGUACUCCCUGUACUCAAGCGCACUAUCAUGUCGCCGGUCAACGCGGAUCUCCAAGCCGGAGAUCCUGAGGUCCGUCCUGCCUUCGGGCGCUGCGUGCUGUCGCUCAACAGUGGCAUGGCGGCGCUUGAUGACCAGUUUGCCGGCAAAGUGCUGAUGGUAACUAUCAACGGCGACUGGCCUCCCUUCUCGCUGGACAACCUUGUCAAAGCUCUUGGCAUUGCGCACGGCAUCCAAAUAAGUGACUUGCUCAUCGAAGUCUGUCCACCACCGGCUGAUUUCUUCGUCAGGUUCCAGACAACUUUCGACUGCAGUCGUGUGUUCGAAUCUUCCCGGCGUUUGUUCUGCGAUGGCGCGCUGGUGAGCUUUGAUCGGUGGCACCCAGGAUGGGGCUCGGUGCCCUCUAAGCUUGAGUUUUCAACAAAGCUUACCUUCCACGGCAGGCCUCGACGUGCUUGGAACAGCGAGUCCAUGAAUGAGCUUAUCAACGACCUUGGAGGUGAGCUCGUAAGUAUGUUUGUUCCUCCACACAGCUGGGCUCUGACGGUUAUGGCAUGGAUGAAGAAGCCGUCCACCAUACCGAAGGUGAUUGGUGUUGAGAUAUCGGUGCAGGAACUGGGGUUGUACUAUUCGUCGCCACCAAGGCCGCCGUGGACCACGUUAGGGAUGUACCUGUAUCGAGUGUUCAUGCAUGUCGAAGAAGUGGUCAAUCCAUCAAUCAAAGUGUGAUGCCCCCGAUUCAAUCGUACACUAAUCAUGCACGCAAAUGUGUACGAUCAAGAUCAGGGACUCACGGGAAGAUAUCACAACACAACUCUACAACAUAAAUAAGUCAUACAAGCAUCAUAAUACAAGCCAGAGGGCUCGAAUACAAGUGCUCGAUCAUAGACGAGUCAGCGGAAGCAACAAUAUCUGAGUACAGACAUAAGUUAAACAAGUUUGCCUUAAGAAGGCUAGCACCAACGGGGAUACAGAUCGAAAGAGGCGCAGGCCUCCUGCCUGGGAUCCUCCUAACUACUCCUGGUCGUCGUCAGCGGGCUGCACGUAGUAGUAGCCACCUCCAGUGUAGUAGGACUCGUCGUCGACAGUGGCGUCUGGCUCCUGGGCUCCAACAUCUGGUUGCGACAACCAGGUAGAAAGGAAAGGGGGAAAAGAGGAAGGAAAGCAACCGUGAGUACUCAUCCAAAGUACUCGCAAGCAAGGAGCUACACUACAUAUGCAUGGGUAUAUGUGUAAAGGGCCAUAUCAGUGGACUGAACUGCAGAAUGCCAGAAUAAGAGGGGGGAUAGCUAGUCCUGUCGAAGACUACGCUUCUAGCAGCCUCCAUCUUGCAGCAUGUAGAAGAGAGUAGAUUGAAGUCCUCCAAGUAGCAUCGCAUAGCAUAAUCCUACCCGGCGAUCCCCUCCUCGUCGCCCUGUUAGAGAGCGAUCACCGGGUUGUAUCUGGCACUUAGAAGGGUGUGUUUUAUUAAGUAUCCGGUUCUAGUUGUCAUAAGGUCAAGGUACAACUCCGGGUCGUCCUUUUACCGAGGGACACAGCUAUUCGAAUAGAUAAACAUCCCUGCAGGGGUGCACCACAUAACCCAACACGCUCGAUCCCAUUUGGCCGGACACACUUUUCUGGGUCAUGCCCGGCCUCGGAAGAUCAACAUGUCGCAGCCCCACCAAGGCUCAACAGAGAGGCCAGCACGCCGGUCUAAAUCCUAUGCGCGCAGGGGUCUGGGCCCAUUGCACACCUGCACGUUGCGAGGGCGGCCGGAAGCAGACCUAGCCUAGCAGGCGUUCGAGUCCAAUCCGGUGCGCGCCGCUCCGUCACUGACGUCAAGAAGAGCUUCGGCUGAUACCACGACGUCGAGUGCCCAUAACUGUUCCCGCGUAGCUGGUUAGUGCGUAUAGACCAAAUGGCCAGACUCAGAUCAAAUACCAAGAACUCGUUAAGCGUGUUAUUUUGAAGUAACCGCGGACGCCGUCCAGGGCCAGGCCCACCUCUCGCCUAGGUUGUCUCAACCUGCCAUGUCGCUCCGCCACAAGACCCACUCGCAGGUACUCCUACGAGCCGACCCGACUUUAGUCACCACAGGUAUCAUGUAUAGAGUAUAUAAGUAUAUACCCGUGAUCACCGCCCAAGUGAUCACGGCCCGAUAGUAUAGCACAGCAGACGGACAAGAAUGUAGGGCCACUGAUGGAAAACUAGCAUCCUAUACUAACCAUGUAGGAUUGCAGGUAAAGGUAACAAUAGUAGUAGCAAGGAUAGGCUAUGCAUUAGGAUAGGAUUAAUGGAAAGCAGUAACAUGCUCCACUACUCUAAUGCAAGCAGCAUAGAGAAGAAUAGGCGAUAUCUGGUGAUCAAGGGGGGGCUUGCCUGAUUCCUCUGGCAAGAAGGAGGGGUCGUCAACAGCGUAGUUGGUCGGGGCACCAGCAGCGGCGUCGGUCUCGUAGUCUACCGGAGAGAAGAGGGGGAAGAAACAAUGAAUACAAUGCAAACAGAUAAAUGACGAUGCAUGACAUGACAAAGCGUGAUGCUAGGUGUGCCCUAACGCGGUAGUAGGUGAUACCGGCGAAGGGGGGGGGACAUCCGGGAAAGUAUUCCCGAUGUUUCGCGUUUUCGGACAGAUGGACCGGAGGUGAAAUGUUGCAGGUUCACUAUGCUAGGGACGUGUGGUGAACGAACGGGCUGCGCAUUCGGAUUCGUCUCGUCGUUCUGAGCAACUUUCAUGUAGAAAGUAUUUUCAUCCGAGUUACGGAUUAUUUUAUAUGAUUUUCUAAAGAUUUAAUCAUUUUCUGGAAUUACUUGAUUUAACAUAAAAGGAAUAUGACGUCAGCAUGACGUGAUGAUGACCUCAGCAGUCAACACAGCGGGUGACCAGGUCAAACUGACCAGUGGGUCCUACCUGUCAUAGACAGUGGACUAACAGAGGUUUAAACUAACUAAAUUUAAGUUAGUUAACUACUGGACCCACCUGUCAGUGUCUAAUUAACUAAACUAAUUAGUUUUAAUUAUUAAAAUGUUUUAAUUAGAGGAUUAAGUGGUGGGGCCCGCACGUCAGUGGCUGGGGCCUGCCCAGUCAGCCCAGUUGACGAGGUCAACUGGUCAACAGGGGGCCAGGGGCCCCAUUGGCAGUGACCCAGGGGGUGGCCCCAGGUGUGCCAGCUCAGCGCGGCCGACGGCUCAACGCCGGCGACGCCAAAUGCGGUGGCGCGGCUCGGAUCUCACCGGAAAACGCGUGCAGGGCUCGGGGAGGAGUGGGGCUAGUCUCAUUCGAACGAGCUCUCAGCGCCGCAUACAGUGGUGGCCGUAGCAUCGCCGGACUUGGCCGGAAUCGGCGCCGGUGAGCGGCGGAGGUGGCGGCGUGCACGGGUGCUCGACGAAAACGGAGAUACGGCGUGCUAUCGAGCAAACGGAGAGGCUGGGGAGUAUCUACGUGGUGUGGGGAGUGCAACGGGCUUGAGGCCGUGACCAAAAGGUCACCGGAGCCUUGCCGGCGGCGAGCUCCGCGGUGAUGCGUUCGGACGCUCAUCGGGGACGGUGCUAGGAGGCACGGGAGGGAGUGUGCGCGUGCGUGUUCGGCUCCUAGGAACCCCAGGAGCACAACGGUGAGCUCGGGCAAGCGUGUCAAUGUCCACAAUGACGACAACUACCUCGUCGGCGGCGACGUGUAGGCGCAAGCAGAGCGGCGGCUACGAGAGCUCAAGAGGCCAGGAGAGUGAGGAGAGAGGAUGAGAGGCUCACUGCGCGGCGCAAGAAAGGCCCGUGGGAGGUUUCGGAGCUGCUGUGCAGUGGAUCGACGCCGGCGAGCUCCUGUGAUCCGAAGUGGAAGACGAGGCCGGGGCAGCGUUCGGGGCCGCCCGGCGUCCUGCGGCUCAUCGGGGAGGCGUAGUCGAGGGAGGCGGAGCGGUUGGACACGAUGAGGUCGCGAGGAAAACACGGUGGUCGCGUGAACGACGGAGAACGGCGGCGACCGCGUCGGUCUCCUCUCAAGAACGAAGGAGAGGGAGAGGGGAGAGGUGGAUCUGGGGGAGGGGAGGCGCAGAGGCGAGCGAGAGGGGGGCAAGUGGGAGAGAUGGGUGGAGGCCGAGGCGUCGGGGCGGCCUUAUCCCCUCCCGGCGUCGGCGCCGGCGAGGUGGUCGGGCGGGGACGUGCCCCUGUUGCGACCCCGGUCGGGGGAACAGGGGGGGAAGGCGACCCGGGGAGGGGCUCGGCCGGCGGUUGGCCAGCUGGGCCAGGUGGGCCUGUGAGCUGGGCCGCCCGGUCCAGUGAGGGGGGGUUCUAUUUUUUUCUUUUCUUUUCUUUUCUUUAUUUCUUUUUUCUGUUUAUUUCACUUUAAAAUACUUAGGCACUUUCCAAAAAAUGUUUUCUCCACAAUAAUUACCAGUGCAAUAUUUGGCACCCACCGAACAUUUUUGUUUUGACUUUUGAAAACUUUGGGUGUUUGUCACUAAUUCAUUUUUUUGAAUUUGAAAUGUUUUGAACUAACAGUUGAUUAGCAACAGUAACAGAGAUGACAUGGCAUCAUCAGGAGAGUUUUACUGUAGCCUAAUUAUCCGGGCGUUACAAAUCUCCUCCACUACAAGAAAUCUCGUCCCAAGAUUUAGGAGGUAGAAGGAAACCGUGCGGGGUAUUCAUCACGCAGGCGAUCCUCGUGUUCCCAAGUGGCUUCAUCUUCAGAAUGUUGCGACCACUGGACUUUGAGGAACUUGAUCGCCUUCUGACGUGUGCGGCAUUCAGCUUGGUCGAGAAUGCGGACCGGGUGCUCUUUAUAGGAGAGGUCCUGCUGCAAUUCGAGUACUUCAUGAUCCACUGCUCGGAUUGGGUCCUUGAAGCAACGGCGGAGCUGUGACACGUGGAACACAUCGUGAACCUGAGAAAGGUUCGGCGGAAGCUCCAGUUGGUAUGCCACUUUUCCACGCCUUUCGAGAAUAGUGAAUGGGCCAAUAUAGCGAGGAGCUAGUUUGCCCUUGAUCCCGAAGCGGUGAGCACCCUUCAUUGGUGUGACUCGAAGAUAAGCCUUUUCGCCAGGUUGAUAGAUCAUGUCUUUAUGAUGACGGUCAUACUGACUCUUCUGACGCGACUGAGCUUGAGAUUCUCACGAAUAAUGCGGACUUGUUCUUCGGCGUGUUGGAUAAUAUCCGGACCAAAAAGUGGAUGUUCCCCAGUUUCUGACCAGUUCAGAGGGGUUCGGCACUUUCGUCCAUAUAACACUUUGAAGGGGGCCAUCUUCAGACUAGCUUGACAGCUAUUAUUAUAAGAGAACUCAGCAUACGGGAGAGAUUCCUCCCAUUUCUUGCCGAAGGAAAUAACACAAGCUCGAAGCAUGUCUUCGAGAACUUGGUUGACACGUUCAACUUGUCCUUGCGACUGAGGAUAAAAUGCAGUACUGAAAGAUAGAUGAGUCCCCAUAGCUUCUUGGAAACUUGCCCAGAAUCUUGAAGUGAAUAAGCUGCCACGGUCUGAGCUGAUAACCAAUGGGAUACCGUGAAGUGAAACAAUUCUAGACAUGUAGAGAGUUGCAAGCUGACUAGCAGUGAUCGUUUCUUUGACCGCCAGAAAAUGUGCAACUUUGGAAGGUCGGUCAAUGACAACAAGAAUAGCAUCAUUACCUUUCUGUGAUUUGGGAAAUCCAGUGACGAAGUCCAUCUCAACAUGGUCCCAUUUCCAUUCAGGAAUAGAGAUAGGUUGCAGAGUUCCAGCAGGCCUUUGAUGUUCUGCUUUGAUAUGACGGCAAACGUCACACUCAGCAACAUAACGAGCAAUGUCUUGCUUCAUAUUAGACCACCAGAAUCUCUGACGGAUGUCUUGGUACAUCUUUGUACUACCAGGAUGGAUACAUAGAGGCGUAUCAUGAGCUUCUUUCAUAACUUCCUGAGUCAUAUCCAGGUUCUUCUCUGCACAUGGCACCACUAGGCGGCCUUUGAAGUACAAACUGCCAUCAUCAGCAAUAGUGAAGAAUGAGGGCUUUCCUUCUGCGAGGUAGCGCUUAAUCUUGUGGGCUUCAGAGUCAUAUCCCUGUAUUUUCUUGAUGGAGUCCAAGAGAUCUAGUUCGACAGCCAGGGUAUUGAGCGAACCCUGGGAAACAACCCGGAGGUUCAUCUUGCGAAACUCCUUAGGAGGGGGAGCGAGUGCACCCGGAGGAACAAUAUGGAGGUUCAGCUUUCUGAAUUCUUCAACAAGCGAGGGCUGAACUUUGUGAACCUGGAGGUGGUUGCAGUAAGACUUGCGGCUCAAGGCAUCAGCCAUUACAUUAGCCUUGCCUGGCGUAUAGGAAAUACUCAAGUCAAAGUCUGCAACAAUCUCCAUCCAUCUCUGCUGAUGGAGGUUCAGGUCUGGCUGAGUAAACAGAUACUUCAGACUUUGGUGGUCAGUGAAGAUCUCGCAACGAUUACCGAGAAGGUAAUGUCGCCACUGGUUUAGCGCAUGAAUGACAGCAGCAAGUUCGAGGUCGUGAACUGGGUAGUUCUCUUCGUGAGGGCGCAAUUGCCGAGAGGCAUAGGCAAUCACUUUGCGGUCUUGCAUUAGGACACAGCCUAAUCCUUGACGGGAAGCGUCGCAGUAAAUGACGAAGUCCUUCUUAGUAUCAGGUGGAGCUAGAACUGGGGCAGAAGUCAACUUGUCCUUGAGUGCCUGGAAACUUUCCUGACAUUUGUCUGUCCAUUGGAACUUGACGCCCUUAUGCAACAUGUUAGUGAGAGGCCUGGCGAUCUUGGAGAAGUUCUCGACGAAUCGACGGCAAUAGCUGGCGAGACCGAGAAAACUUCUGACUUGCUUAACGUUCUUGGGAGGAGUCCAAUCAAGGAUGGCCUGGACUCGUUCAGGGUUGACGGCAAUACCAUCCUUAGAGAUGACAUGCCCAAGAUAGGUUACUUCGGGUAGCCAGAAUUCACAUUUGGAGAACUUGGCAUAUAGUUGAUGCUCUCGUAGCUUUUCCAGCACAAGACGAAGAUGUUCAGCAUGUUCUUCUUCGUUCUUGGAAAAUACCAGGAUAUCAUCCAGAUAAACCACGACGAACUAUAGUUCAUCAGACGAGAGAAGGUGGCUGGAGCAUUGGUUAAACCGAAAGACAUGACGGUGUACUCGUAUGAACCAUAUCGAGUCACGAAGGCGGUCUUUGGGAUAUCCUCUUCAUGAACACGGAUCUGGUGGUAACCCAACCUCAAGUCGAGUUUAGAGAACACUGAUGGACCCGCCAGUUGAUCAUACAGAUCAUUGAUCCGAGGAAGAGGGUAUUUAUUCUGAAUGGUAGCUUGGUUUAUAGGAUGGUAGUCUUGAACACUCGGUUUGUCCCAUCCUUCUUCUUGACAAAGAGAGAAGGUGCUCCCCAAGGAGAGCAACUUGGGCGAAUGAAUCCUUUGCGAAGAGAUUUGUCGAUUUCCUCCUUAAGCUCAAGGAGUUCAUGCGGCGGCAUCUUGUAGGGUCGCUUGGCUAUAGGAGUGGUGCCUGGUUUCAAGUCGAUGAUGAAUUCGACAGCUCUAGCAGGGGGAAUCCCUGGAAGUUCUUCAGGAAAUACGUCGAGGAAUUCACGCACGACGGGAAUGUUUUCAAUGCCCUCGAGUGCUGCAGCGUUCAAUGCAUUCAAUGCAUAGAGCCUUGCCUCGGCAUUUUGCACCAGAUGAGCUUGGUAAGUAACUAUUUCAUCUGUAGGGUGUAGCAGAUGGACGGUCUUAGUGGUGUAAACGAUUGAAGCAGCAUGCGCUUUUAACCAAUUCAUUCCCAGAAUGAGAUCAAUGCUACAGGACUUCAGUACAAUGGGAGAGACAAGAAAUUCCAGUCCUUCGAUUUCAACGGGGACGUUGUUGCAAAUCAUGGAGGUUCGACAUUGGCCCGCAGGGGUGUGUACUAAUAGUGAAGCAUUCAUGUCUUCGCUUUUAAUGCCAUGCAUGAAUGCAAAAUCUUCUGACAUGAAUGAAUGUGAUGCACCUGUAUCAAAUAAAACGGAUGCUGGUACUGAAUUUACGAGGAGUGUACCCAUCACAGUAGCAGGAUGGUCUUGAGCUUCAUUGAGAUCAACGUGGUUGGCAUGAACACGACCAUAAGACUUGGCCUUGUUGCUGUGGGGCUGGUUGCUUCCAUGGCCAGUUGCUGGAAGGGCCAGUUGAUUCUGGUUCUGGUUGCAUUCUCUAGCACGGUGUCCUGGUUGACCACACCUGAGGCACAAACCAUUAUUGGGAGUGGGAACAGGAGCUUGGGGUGGUGGAGCUGGAAGUCUUGACUGCCUAGAUGGUGGUGGAGACAGACGAGGUGCAGCAUAGGUCUGCCUUGGGGCAGAUGCAUUUGGACGGUACAUGCUGUUCGGGAUCCAUAUCUUACGCUUCUGUGAGGGCGGGCCCGAAGAUGAGCCCGUGUCACGGUUGCGCCUGUGAGAGCUCUGGUAUUCCUGCAGACCAGUUUCGACAUUGAUGGCCUUGUUCACCAAGGUGGCGAAAUCAGCAAAGUCAUGCACUAGAAGUGCGAGCUUGAUGUCAGCUUGAAGGCCGUCACGGAACUUCUCCUGUCUACGUGCAUCAGUUGCAAUGUCCUCUUCAGCAUAGCAAGACAAGUCCAGAAACUCCCGCUGAUAAGCUUCAUCAGUUUUGUUGCCUUGGGUGAGGUUGCGGAACUCACGCUUCUUCCGGUCCAUGACUCCCUGAGGAAUGAAGCGGGCACGGAAAGCAGCUUGGAAGUCUGGCCAGGUGAUGAUUGUUCCAGCUGGCAGAGUACGUCUGUGCCUGUCCCACCAUUGAGCUGCGGGUCCCUUCAGGAAGAAGGAAGCAAAGGUGACAUAGCUGGCAGGGGCUACAUCGGCAGACUCCAUCUCAUAGGUGAUGUCACGGAGCCAGUCAUCAGCAUCCAGAGGCUGAGUUGAGCUGCGGUACACAGUUGGAUUGAGGCGCAUGAAAUCCUGCAGAGUUACUGGGGUUGAUUGCUGGUCCAUAUUGGGGCGAGGAAACUGAGCCAUCAUAUUUUCCAUGAAUUGGCGGUUCAGUUCGAACUGUUGGAUCAUACCAGCCAUGUACUCAGGUGGUGGUGGGGCAUUGCCACCACUACCACGACCACCUGGUCUAACCAUCCUGCUAAUAUAUAACAGGGGUAGUUCAGCAUUGAGAAAUUUGCAAAGACAAGAAUCAUUCAUGAUGAAACAUGCAUAAUGAAAGGAGCACGAGCUACUACAUAGUAGUCGGCAUAACUUACAAAAGGGGUCAUGCAUAGAGUUCAGUACACAGAGUUCAGUACACAGAGUUCAGUACAUAGACUAAAACAACAUAGGCGGCACACAGGCUCACGGCGAAUGCAUCUAACACUAACAAGCAAGCCUACAUCAGUCCCAAGAGGUACUGUGGAGGUAGGUGUAGCCUGAAAGCUGGUAGUGUCGCAUCGGGAACUCCACAUCAGCAACCUGGGGUCCGCGAAUACUCUGGUGCAGAACCUGACGCUCAGGUGGCAGAAGAGGUCCAAGUGCGGGAGAGUGGCCUCCCACAUCUGGCCAGCCGACACCCUGGGGCAUCACAGUCCUGGCUGGGUAGAUCGCAGAAUGGGGCAGCUCCCUAGAUCGGACAAAGGGGUGCAACAGCGUCAGAGCACGGUAAAGGUGCUGACGGGUGGUGUACAACUCGUGGCGAAGAGCUCGGUUAGCUCGAUCCAGCCCAUCAGCAUGUAGAACCAGGUUCUGAUGGUAGAAGGGCUCUCGGGUGACAGUGGAGUAGGCAGCAGUAUAGUAUCCCUCCGCACCAACAUCAGAUGCGAUAGCAAUGUGCCUGAAAGGGGAGGUGUCCAACUCCCUAUACUCUCCAUGAAAACGUGUCAGAGCAGCAUAAGCAGCAUCGUGGACAACCAUAUCGAUGGUCACUCCAACACCAUGAGCGGUGUGCAGCACAGUAGUGGAGUCAUACUCCCGCGAGUAGAGGUGGACGAUGGCACGGUACUGCUCCUGGUUAAAGUCCUGGUACUCCUCGUAGACGGUGUACUCAGGGUGCCAGCGAUAACCCAGAUAGGUCAUCAUCUCAGCUAGCACAGCAGGUGAUCCCGAGGCACCAAUGGCCGUCGUGUGGCGCACGACCUGCCUCGUGGGUUCCAUCUGAAAGCAAAGAUGUUUCAAAGGAGUCAAAUGACAGGGUGUGAAUUUUUCAAAAUACUAUUCUAAGAAAUAACUAUGGCUUAUCCAACUUUGGGGUGAAUGCGGUCACGGGAUCCUAGUGUUAGAGUUAGUAAAUUCGUUUAACCCGAGUAGGAGAGAGUUCAGAGUCCCAGAGUAAAGGUCGAGGAGUAAAAGAUCCUAGUACCACCCAAUGGUGACGUGGGCCCAUAAGACACACAACCAUGUUAGUAAAAGUUUUGUAAUGUCUAGACUCGACUUCGGCCAAGGAGUGUGGAAAGGGGGAUUCCUACAGGCAGUCGGCUCUGAUACCAACUUGUGACGCCCCCGAUUCAAUCAUACACUAAUCAUGCACGCAAAUGUGUACGAUCAAGAUCAGGGACUCACGGGAAGAUAUCACAACACAACUCUACAACAUAAAUAAGUCAUACAAGCAUCAUAAUACAAGCCAGGGGCCUUGAGGGCUCGAAUACAAGUACUCGAUCAUAGACGAGUCAGCGGAAGCAACAAUAUCUGAGUACAGACAUAAGUUAAACAAGUUUGCCUUAAGAAGGCUAGCACCAACGGGGAUACAGGUCGAAAGAGGCGCAUGCCUCCUGCCUGGGAUCCUCCUAACUACUCCUGGUCGUCGUCAGCGGGCUGCACGUAGUAGUAGGAACCUCCAGUGUAUUAGGAGUCGUCGUCGACGGUGGCGUCUGGCUCCUGGGCUCCAACAUCUGGUUGCGACAACCAGGUAGAAAGGAAAGGGGGAAAAGAGGAAGGAAAGCAACCGUGAGUACUCAUCCAAAGUACUAGCAAGCAAGGAGCUACACUACAUAUGCAUGGGUAUAUGUGUAAAGGGCCAUAUCAGUGGACUGAACUGCAGAAUGCCAGAAUAAGAGGGGGGAUAGCUAGUCCUGUCGAAGACUACGCUUCUAGCAGCCUCCAUCUUGCAGCAUGUAGAAGAGAGUAGAUUGAAGUCCUCCAAGUAGCAUCGCAUAGCAUAAUCCUACCCGGCGAUCCCCUCCUCGUCGCCCUUUUAGAGAGCGAUCACCGGGUUGUAUCUGGCACUUGGAAGGGUGUGUUUUAUUAAGUAUCCGGUUCUAGUUGUCAUAAGGUCAAGGUACAACUCCGGGUCAUCCUUUCACCGAGGGACACGGCUAUUCGAAUAGAUAAACUUCCCUGCAGGGGUGCACCACAUAACCCAACACGCUCGAUCCCAUUUGGCCGGACACACUUUUCUGGGUCAUGCCCGGCCUCGGAAGAUCAACACGUCGCAGCCCCACCUAGGCUCAACAGAGAGGUCAGCACGCUGGUCUAAAUCCUAUGCAUGCAGGGGUCUGGGCCCAUCGCCCAUUGCACACCUGCAUGUUGCGAGGGCGGCCGGAAGCAGACCUAGCCUAGCAGGCGUUCCAGUCCAAUCCGGCGCGCGUCGCUCCGUCGCUGACGUCAAGAAGAGCUUCGGCUGAUACCACGACGUCGAGUGCCCAUAACUGUUCCCGCGUAGCUGGUUAGUGCGUAUAGACCAAAUGGCCAGACUCAGAUCAAAUACCAAGAAAUCGUUAAGCGUGUUAUUUUGAAGUAACCACGGACGCCGUCCAGGGCCAGGCCCACCUCUCGCCUAGGUCGUCUCAACCUGCCCUGUCGCUCCGCCACAAGACCCACUCGCGGGUACUCCUACGAGCCGACCCGACUUUAGUCACCACAGGUAUCAUGUAUAGAGUAUAUAAGUAUAUACCCGUGAUCACCGCCCAAGUGAUCACGGCCCGAUAGUAUAGCACAGCAGACGGACAAGAAUGUAGGGCCACUGAUGGAAAACUAGCAUCCUAUACUAAGCAUGUAGGAUUGCAGGUAAAGGUAACAAUAGUAGUAGCAAGGAUAGGCUAUGCAUCAGGAUAGGAUUAACGGAAAGCAGUAACAUGCUGCCCUACUCUAAUGCAAGCAGUAUAGAGAAGAAUAGGCGGUAUCUGGUGAUCAAGGGGGGCCUGCCUGAUUGCUCUGGCAAGAAGGAGGGGUCGUCAACAGCGUAGUUGGCCGGGGCACCAGCAGCGGCGUCGGUCUCGUAGUCUACCGGAGAGAAGAGGGGGAAGAAACAAUGAAUACAAUGCAAACAGAUGUAUGACGAUGCAUGAAAUGACAAAGCGUGAUGCUAGGUGUGCCCUAACGCGGUAGUAGGUGAUACCGGCGAAGGGGGGGGGGACAUCCGGGAAAGUAUUCCCGAUGUUUCGCGUUUUUGGACAGAUGGACCGGAGGUGAAAUGUUGCAGGUUCACUAUGCUAGCGAUGUGUGGUGAACGAACGGGCUGCGUAUUCGGAUUCGUCUCGUCGUUCUGAGCAACUUUCAUGUAGAAAGUAUUUUCAUCCGAGUUACAGAUUAUUUUAUAUGAUUUUCUAAAGAUUUAAUCAUUUUUUGGAAUUACUUGAUUUAACAGAAAAGGAAUAUGACGUCAGCAUGACGUGAUGAUGACCUCAGCAGUCAACAGAGCGGCUGACCAGGUCAAACUGACCAGUGGGUCCUACCUGUCAUAGACAGUGGACUAACAGAGGUUUAAACUAACUAAAUUUAGGUUAGUUAACUACUGGACCCACCUGUCAGUGUCUAAUUAACUAAACUAAUUAGUUUUAAUUAUUAAAAUGUUUUAAUUAGAGGAUUAAGCGGUGGGCCCCGCACGUCAGUGGCUGGGGCCUGCCCAGUCAGCCCAGUUGACCAGGUCAACUGGUCAACAGGGGGCCAGGGCCCCACUGGCAGUGACCCAGGGGGUGGCCCCAGGUGUGCCAGCUCAGCACGGCCGGCGGCUCAACGCCGGCGACGCCAAAUGCGGUGGCGCGGCUCGGAUCUCGCCGGAAAACGCGUACAGGGCUCGGGGAGGAGUGGGGCUAGUCUCAUUCGAACGAGCUCUCAGCGCCGCAUACAGUGGUGGCCGUAGCAUCGCCGGACUUGGCCGGAAUCGGCGCCGGUGAGCGGCGGAGGUGGCAGCGUGCACGGGUGCUCGACGAAAACGGAGAUACGGCGUGCUAUCGAGCAAACGGAGAGGCUGGGGAGUAUCUACGUGGUGUGGGGAGUGCAACGGGCUUGAGGCCGUGACCAAAAGGUCACCGGAGCCUUGCCGGCGGCGAGCUCCGCGGUGAUGCGUUCGGACGCUCAUCGGGGACGGCGCUAGGAGGCACGGGAGGGAGUGUGCGCGUGCGUGUUCGGCUCCUAGGAACCCCAGGAGCACAACGGUGAGCUCGGACGAGCGUGUCAAUGUCCACAAUGACGGCAACUACCUCGUCGGCGGCGACGUGUUCAGGCGCAAGCAGAGCGGCGGCUACAAGAGCUCAAGAGGCCAGGAGAGUGAGGAGAGAGGAUGAGGGGCUCACCGCGCGGCGCAAGAAAGGCCCGUGGGAGGUUUAGGAGCUGCUGUGCAGUGGAUCGACGCCGGCGAGCUCCUGUGAUCUGAAGUGGAAAACGAGGCCGGGGCAGCGUUCGGGGCCGCCCGGCGUCCUGCGGCUCAUCGGGGAGGCGUAGUCGAGGGAGGCGGAGCGGUUGGACACAAUGAGGUCGCGAGGAAAACACGGUGGUCGCGUGAACGACGGAGAACGGCGGCGACCGCGUCGGUCUCCUCUCAAGAACGAAGGAGAGGGAGAGGGGAGAGGUGGAUCUGGGGGAGGGGAGGCGCAGAGGCGAGNNNNNNNNNNNNNNNNNNNNNNNNNNNNNNNNNNNNNNNNNNNNNNNNNNNNNNNNNNNNNNNNNNNNNNNNNNNNNNNNNNNNNNNNNNNNNNNNNNNNNNNNNNNNNNNNNNNNNNNNNNNNNNNNNNNNNNNNNNNNNNNNNNNNNNNNNNNNNNNNNNNNNNNNNNNNNNNNNNNNNNNNNNNNNNNNNNNNNNNNNNNNNNNNNNNNNNNNNNNNNNNNNNNNNNNNNNNNNNNNNNNNNNNNNNNNNNNNNNNNNNNNNNNNNNNNNNNNNNNNNNNNNNNNNNNNNNNNNNNNNNNNNNNNNNNNNNNNNNNNNNNNNNNNNNNNNNNNNNNNNNNNNNNNNNNNNNNCCUUAUCCCCUCCCGGCGUCGUCGCCGGUGAGGUAGUCGGGCGGGGACGUGCCCCUGUUGCGACCCCGGUCGGGGGAACAGGGGGGAGGCGACCCGGGGAGGGGCUGGGCCGGCGGUUGGCCAGCUGGGCCAGGUGGGCCUGUGAGCUGGGCCGCCUGGUCCAGUGAGGGGGGGGGUUCUUUUUUUUCUUUUCUUUAUUUCUCUUUUCUGUUUAUUUCACUUUAAAAUACUUAGGCACUUUCUAAAAAAUGUUUUCUCCACAAUAAUUACGAGUGCAAUAUUUGGCACCCACCGAACAUUUUUGUUUUGACUUUUGAAAACUUUGGGUGUUUGUCACUAAUUCAUUUGUUUGAAUUUGAAAUGUUUUGAACUAACAGUUGAUUAGCAAUAGUAACAGAGAUGACAUGGCAUCAUCAGGAGAGUUUUACUGUAGCCUAAUUAUCCGGGCGUUACACAAAGUCUUGCCGCCGCCGCUGGUGCCAGGGUCCGUCGACGAUGUCCAUUACAGGAGUCAACUUCAGACUUUCCCCAUGUUGCUCGGAACGAUGGAUGGCACAGGGCCUACUCCAUCGCGCGGCGGAGGCCACUGCUUCUUUGGGAGAAGAGGCAGGGCUGGCUGCCUGGAUGUGCUCUAAUUUGAGGUAACAACUGAAUCUUGUCAGAUACUAGUUAAAUCCGAGCUAUCGGUGUGAAGCACUGAUGUGCCAGAUUGUGACCUGUUCUAUUUUAGUACCUGAACUUUUUUUAGAAAGGGUUGUACGUCAACUUAAUGUGCUAGCAGAACUUAUUGUGUUGUCGGUCUGUUUUCUUUGCACAACAUUCAAGAUAUUUCCCCGUCAUUGAUAAAGACGAUGAACCGUUAUGUACGAGUUCGUUGGUUUCAACAUAGCCCUACCCGUAGCUUCCACCCUGGUUGUGCCGCCUGCGUGAAAUUUUUGUAUGCAAGUUCAGUGUGCCAUGAUGUUCUAUAUGAUUGUGUCAACUAUAUAAGUUUUUACUGAGCAUCAGCAAUGCAUAUGGCUGAAAGAUGUAUUUACGAGCAUCGACCGAUGGGUCUCUCUCUCUCUCACACACACACAAGUGGGACCCGUUGAAUUAUUUCUUCGCUCGUGACAGCUUUUAAUUAGGUACCACUGUACUCUAACUUUUUUCUUAAGUUAUUAAUUGAGCUCAGUGACUUCAAAAAGUUGUACAAAAGCCUUGUUUGGGCCUUUCCGGCAUUGCUGAAUGUGGGCUGAGUAGCCAUGUAAAGUUAUACUUUACUACAAAGGCCUUUUUUUGAACAUCAGCAACGCAACUGGGCCGACAGUUGUACACAAUAUCCAGGUCAACUUGUUAUUCUCCGCCCCGCUGGGCUGCAAAUCUUUCCUAGGAGGGAUCCAUUAGGCUUAACAAGAAAAUGGGCUUUAAGAAAUAAUAAAUGGGAUGCAAUUAUAAAAACUGGGCAGUAACUAUAAAAAAAUGCACCAAACACGUAAUUAGUUAAAAAAUAUUAUUAUUGGAUUUUGAAAAUUUUAAUUUCAUUACUUGUUGCGCGCGCAAUAUUUCAUUGGAUUUUUACGUAAUACAAAUUUAUUUUGAAAUUAUAUUUAAUCUGACUAGAAAUUUUGGGAUAAAAAUAUUUCGGAUCCCAUCAAAAUGUGGGAAAUUUUAUUGAAUUCUGUUUUGAACGGUUCGUUGAAAUUAUUAAUCGUUGUCCUAGCUAGAAAAUGGGCUAUACUUUUAACAAACUAUAAAUGGGCUGUAGUAAAUUCCAUUAGAAUUCAAAAAUGGGUUGUACAUUCUUACAAAUCACAAAUGGCCUAUAUGUUCUUUGCCACACACUUGUGGGCCUUCUAAGUUGACGCGUAUGCAAGGUUUUGUCAACUUAUAGUCAACACACGGUUCCAGCAACAGUGGCCAUUGGAUGUCCAUCCAACGGAUGUCGUGCUUCUUCUUCAGUCUCGGAUAUUCUUGCUUCAGCCGCCCAAAAAAUGAUUCCUCCCCUUGACAUCUGGGACGCACCUUUUCAGAGGCUGACUUGUGGGUCUACUAAGUUGACGCGUACUAAGGGCUUUAUCAACUUAGUCAAUAUAAACGAUUCUAGCUGCAGUGACCGUACGAUGUCCAUCCAACGGCCGUCGUGCUUCUUCAACCUCUGGUCUUCUUGCUCCAGCCGCCCAAACCAGCGCCGACCGUGCCGCCUGCUCCUGCCUCCCGUGUAUGGUUGUGCUGCCACCGCUGGCCAUGCCAUCCCUCUAUACUCACCCACACCUCCUAUUAUUCUUCGGCGACGGCAACCUCACACCACAGCCGAAGCAGUCAACCCACGUACUCCCCUCCGCGUGGGCAUCCACUACCGCGUCUUCCCCGGCUCCACAUCGUUCCCUUCCUAGGCCUCGCCGUCGUCCACCGCCUUGGUGCUCUCGGCGCGGCGUGGUCAACGAAGGACAGCCAUCGGAAGAGGACUUUAGGCGGUGAGGCUGACAGCUGGACCCACCAGCUGCAUCUUCGAGCACAAGGAAGUGCCUCCUUAUUACUCGCAAAAUAAAAACAAUUCCUCCCCCUGACAGUUGGGACCGACUAGCUAUAUCUGCGCACGCAAGGAAGUGUGUCCUUAUCCUCCCUGACUGCUGGGACCCACCCGGUUAGAGCGUACGUACUGUUGUCUGUCUGGUCACGAACAUGUACGUACAUACUGGUCGAUCGGUCUCUCUGCAAAUAUGAACCGUGGCCAAGUAAGCAGCGGCAAGUGUCGUUGUAGAGCACCCGACAUAGCAGUUCACGUAGUCCCGUCUAAGUCCUGUACACGUACGUACAGCCACAGGGCAAAAAAUAUGGCCACGUAUGUACAUACGGGCGGGGUCUCAAACGCGUACUCGUGCAUACGUACGACCAGGGCUCGUGUACAUGAAGAGGCAACAGACGGCAGAAACGGUGUCCUAUUCAUCAGGUAGCCAACCGGCUGGGUCAGAACAGAGAAACAGCGUCUUGUUUAUCGGGAGGCAACAGAGUAGGUCGGAAUGCGUCAUGUUCAAGGGGAGCCAACCGGCUUGGACGGAACAGCCGAAACGGGGUCUGGCAUACCGCAGUACGGAGGAAACGGCCUUCUGUUCGACCAGCUACGGUCGAAAUGGGGGUCCUGUUGAUCUGGAGGGGUGUGGCGUACCGCAAAACGGAGGAAACAGACUUGUGUUGGAGCGCUACGGUAGAAACGGGGGUCCUGUUGAUCGGGAGGGUUGUGGCGUACCGCAAAACGGAGGAAACAGACUUGUGUUGGAGCGCCUACGGUCGAAAUGGGGGUCCUGUUCAUCGGGAGGGGUGUGGCGUACUGCAAAACGGGACUCCACGGGCUACUGUUCAUCCACUAUCGACUUCAUCCAGCCCUCCACGGGGUCCUGUUCAUCCAGCCUCCACCGGCUACUGUUCAACCAGCCCUCCACGGGGUCCUGUUCAACCAGCCCCUCCACGGGGUCCUGUUCAACCAGCCCUCCACAGUGUCCCUCCACCGGCUACUAUUCAUCCACCCCACCUCCUCGAUCGGGGUCAUGUUCAUCCAGUGGCAAUGGCCUCUACUACCACAGGAUCCUGUUCAUCCAACCCCCACCGGGAACUGUUCAUCAGGAGGCAGCUUCGAUCGGCUUCAGUUAGCAGCAGUAGCGAAGGAAUCACUCAGGUUCAGUUAACAACAAGCGAUCGAUCGGGGUUCAGUAACGUAGCUAGUGUAAUCACUCGGGUUCAGUUAGAGCCCAACGCCUCGCUCGGGUUCAGUUAGAGCACAACGCCUCGCACACACGCGCGUAUUUGUACGAGAGAAACGCGCAAACCUCCGUGCAUCGCUCGGCCCCGACCACCCACCGUAACCGGGAACUCGCCGAAAUUUUCCUCGCCCUCGCUUCUACCAUGAUUUUUUCCGUCAUGGACAGCCCAACGAAUGUCAUGCAGGUGUGUCUGCGGCCCGCCCAGGACGAAAAGCCCAUUUUCUGUCAUGAUUUUUUGUCAUAGAAGUAGGAUCCCACCACAUCUAUGAUGAUACCAGGUUUUGUCACAAUUAUCGCCAUAGAAGUGUCAUAAGCAUGACAGGAAAAAAAUCGUUCGGCCCAAAAUGUCACAGAUGUGUCUUUUUUUGUAGUGUAUUUUAAUGUCAUAACAUGGAUAUAUAUUCAGCUUUAAUGUUAGUUGUCUAGUAUAAAUAAUAGAUAAGUAUUAAAGGAACAUCAUAAGUACUAAGAGGGGGUAAUGGCUGGGCUCAGAGAUAGAGUUGGGUGAUAGAUAAGCAUUCAGAUUUUUGUUGGUUUUAGAAUGUCUAUUUCGUGGUCUUUUCUGAUAAUGGAAGAUCUUAUAUUAAUCUGAUGGUUGUUGGUUUCUAUGUACUCCCUCCUUAGUUCAAAGCCGAGACUUAUUUUUGAUCGGAGGGAGUACAUUCUUGUAACAGCCUUGAACUAUUAGAUAAAUAUAUAUGAACUAGUCAUUUCAGAAUUCAGAUAGAAACUACCGUUUGGGGUGCCUUCUAUUCAGUCAUAGCCUUGACAUUGUCGACCCUCGUACAAAACUGGCCAUAGUUCUGUACAUGACGUGUUUGGUGCAUCUCUUUUCAGGUACGAGAUUGCUCUCACCAGAUUUGGUCUUGCUGGCAUCGCCGUCAUGGGGCAGAAACCCUCAACACUGCAGAGAAUGGCUUCCCCAUCUCUGUCUACAACAGGACAACCUCCAAGGUCAAUGAGACUGUUCAGCACACCAAGUUAGAAAGGCUUCCCCAUCUCUGUCUACAACAUUUGUGAAAGUGUGACUCGUGCUGCCGGUUUCCUAAUGUGACUUGGAUACACACGGGAUGAAAUCCAGUGACAAAUGGGGAUACCCUAUAUUUUCUGCUUGCUAUUUGGAGCUGUCUGCUGAUUAUUUCAGGAUGCUUUAUAUAUGUCCCUAGAUGUCCUUAUGCAAUAUCUGAUAUGAUAAAAUGACCUGAAUUAGGACUAUUAGCUCCUUUACUUGCUCUGGUUUGGUUAAAAUUGAUGAUGCCAUGGAUAAGAACACACACAUUACUAUUAAGUUUAAAAGUUCUGUUGAAACAAGGUGGACGCAUGUUCUUUCUUGUAAAUGUUCUGUUAGCUACUGAUGAUUCUUGUUGCUUGUCUUUGAACAAUACUUGCGUUUUAGCUACUGCCACUUUGAGCUGAUGUAGCUUGUAGUUAUCAAUUCUAGCUGGGUUUAUAUAUUGCAUUUCUGGAGCAGUCGGUCGACAUUUCUGAGUUUUUUUGUUAUAUAAGAUGAACAAAUGUUAUGUUUAUAGUGUGAGAUGACUAGUAAUCCUAGAGAGAACCAGUUCCAUUUUUGCAAAUGUUAUGGUACAUUAUAUGGUUUCUUUAGCUAUGCGAUGCCACACUUAUAUUUUAAUUUUAUGUUUAAUGUAAAUUUUGGUCUCGUUCUCAAUUUCAGUGCCUCUGGUUGAUGCAGGUGCACAUAAGUGUUCUUGACGACAUGGUCUCCUUUUCGGCAUGUGCAAGUGUCGGGUGGUGCUCGCCUACAUGGUUACUGGCAAGCUACAGUUCAGGUGGGCGCUCUAGCUCUCCCUUCUCAUGCUAUACAUCCAGGUACACCCUUCCAUCGGUACCUACACAUACCAAUGCCCGCUGGCUAGAUAUCAUUGGAGCAUAUCUUUUGGCUUAAUUUUACUUAAGGAAUUGUGUCCCUUGGAUACAAGGGAAUAGUCAAAUACUUCACUAGAUUGUUUCUUCUAUGUCAUCAUCGUUGUUUUGUUAGUUCCUUCUGUAAUCACUAGCUAAGGGGGUACCUCAUGAUGCAAAUCAAACUAUUUGGAGCUUGAUUAAUACUAUUGCUUGCCUGCAUCAUUAAAUGAACUUGCACUAAAUGGACACAAUAAAGGAGAUGGGUAUUAAAUGAACUUGUACUAACUUGCAUCCUGUUUUCUCAUUGGAUCCAAUGAGAGAGAACAAGAUUAGAUUAACAUUUAUGUCCUUCCUUUCAUGUGCUACUGGUGCCUAUCUUGACCUUGUUACUACUUCCCAUUGUGCAGGAGUAGAAUCAUGAAGCUGAAAAACAGUUUUAGGGAGGUCGAUCUAAUCACGGUGCAGAGGGCCAUGGUUUCAGGCCAAACCAGACAACUGUUGUUUAUCAGACAAGAUGCAGAUGGAUCAUUGGAGAUGUGACCGAGGUGUUUGAUCAUAACACAUGGAAGCUUGGCAAAAUCGCAAAGAUUGUCAAGAACGAUUACUUUGUUAUCAGGCUAGCUGAUUGCAUCCAGCUCAAAGAGUUCCACAUUUCUAGCUUGAGGGUUCCACUUGGACAUGAUGCCCCCAUAGCUCCUCCUUAUGGCAAGCAGUUUCCUGCAGCUGACAACAAGGUAAGCAAACAUCCGGUUCAGUUCUGGAGCGUAUAAAUGUGCUACUUUUCAUCUCUUAAAUGAGCCACACACUUGGCAGUUGCUUUGUUCAUCCAAAAAUGUGAUGUACUAUUUUACUUUGAGUGAAAAUGAAUGGUGCCCUCCUGCACAACAUACUUUGAGCGAAUGUUGAAUAUUGUAUGCACUUGUGUAGUAGAUGUUGAUUAAUGAAUUCCUGGUUGUAUCACUGCUUGUUCCAUGCCCUCUUGGUAGUGGGUUCUCAGUAGGACUAUAGAAUUGAUAGUAUGCUACUAUGCAUCCCCAUGUAUGAGUUAUGCAGAAUAAGAAUUACAAUUUACUGCAAUUCACAUGUUUUGAAUUCUUCAAUCUUGAAUUGUUCAAUGAUGAUAGCUAUCUUGCACCAUACUAUAUAAUCAUGGAUUGGCAACUAGCUGAUUGUCAAUCCGUUCUUGCUAGAUGUGUUGUUGUUUUUCUCCCUCUAAGAUAAGAUGGUAGUCACAUGUCAUCCUAUCAUGUUGUACUAGUUCCUAAAGUGUAAGAUAAGAUGGUGGCAUCAGAUGUGUGUUCUGACUUGUGACUGCUUACUAGAUGGAUACAUGCAGCUAGCUAAUAUGAGAAUGUUAUAUGCAUGGUUUCCUGUUAAAUCUAAAGUUUUGCAGCAAUUUUUCAUCGUUAUGAGAAUUUUUUAUAUUCAUGGAUUCACUUUAUUAGGUUUCUAACUUUUCAUAAUUUAUUAUUUGUAGAUGAUGGCCUUCAUUCCUCAAAAGUGGGUGCAUGGGAGCUCUAGGAAGAAGAAUCCCGAAGAAAAACCACACCCAGCAAUGCGUUUUAGCUCGCUGGAGAUAGUUAUGUGUAUAUUUAGUUGUAUUUUAUAGCUGAAUACCAGAUUUGUACUAUGUAUGAUUUUAAUAUACUUUGCUUGGUUGUUGUAUGAAAUAUUAUGCCUUAUUGGCUCUUUUUGAAUCAAAUUAUCUAAUUGCACAAAUAUAGAACUGACGUGUGGUACCCAAACAACAAUUCUGGUAAUUGGUUCCCAUUUGACUAGUGGGACCUACUUUAAAAUGGAAAAGAAACAAAAUAAAACUAACAAGUGGGCUGGAAAAAGGCCGAGACCCAAAAAAUGUGGACUGUUAAAGAUUGUGGCCCAAAAAAUAAAAGUUUGUUGGGCUUGGCCCAUGUAGCUAACCCAAACAGAAAAAAACAAAUAGGCUGAAUUAAUGGGCUUGGCCCAUAUAGAUACUGAAUUGGACCGGGCUGAUUCUAAUCAAUGACCAAUUCAAUUAGUCGCAAUUUUGCCAUGUCAGCUUGCCAUGUCGGAUCCGAUGUGGCCUGGGUAGACAACCAGCGACCAAAACAAAAGGUCGUUGAACCAACGACCUUUUGUUUUGGUCGUUGCCUUCUACGGCCAUAUCACAUAGAAGGUCAUUAAGUUUCAUUAAAGACGGUCAGCUUUUGACUAAUUGUUUUUGGUCAUAAAAGGUCGCAAAUGAAAAAAAAUGACCAUUCAUCCACCAAUAGUGAUGGUCGCAAGUUGACAUAUUUCUUGUAGUGCUCGCUACCCCUUCUGUCACUGGGUGAGGACACCGCAAGAUUGAACCCAUCACAAAGCACCUCUCCCAUUGCAAGAAAAACCAAUCUAGUCGGCCAAACCAAAUCAAUAGAUCGGAGAGAAAUACAAAGCUAUCUUAAUCAUACAUAAAAGAGUUCAGAGAAGACUCAAAUAAUAUUCAUAGAUAAUCCGAUCAUAAACCCACAAUUCAUCGAAUCUCAACAAACGCACCGCAAAAGAAGAUUGCAUCGAAUAGAUCUCCAAGAACAUCAAGGAGAACAUUGUAUUGAAGAUCAAAGAGAGAGAAGAAGCCAUCUAGCUACUAGCUAUGGACCCGUAGGUCUUUGGUAGACUACUGACACAUAAUCGGAAGGGCAGCAAGGUUGGUGUAGAGGCCCUUCGUGAUCGAAUCCCCCUCGGCGGAGUGCCAGAAAAGGCCCCAAGAUGGGAUCUCACGAGAACAGAAGCUUGUGGUGGCGUAAAUGUAUUUUUGGUGUGCCCUCUGGUAUACGGGGAAUAUUUGGGUAUUUAUGGAGCUGAAAUUUGGGUUAUGAGAGUCCCGAGGGGCCAACAAGCCUGGGGGGCGCACCCCUAGGGCGCGCCUCCAGGGCUUGUGGCCCUCUCGUGGCUCUUCUGGUCUCCUCCUGAAGCUUCCUGGGUGUCUUCUUGUCCAAGAAAAAUCAUCAAAAAGUUUCGUUCCGUUUGGUAUUGAUUUUCUGUAAAAGACAAAAACAAGGAAAAAACAGCAACUGGCACUUGGCACUAGGUUAAUAAGUUAGUCCCAAAAAUGAUAUAAAAUAGCACCAUGAUGCGUAUAAAGCAUCCAAGAUGGAUAAUAUAAUAGCAUGGAACAAUCAAAAAUUAUAGAUACGUCGGAGACGUAUCAAGCAUCCCGAAGCUUAAUUUAUGCUCGUCCUCGAGUAGGUAAAUGAUAAAAACAGAAUUUUUGAUGUGGAAUGCUACCUAACAUGUUUAUCAAGUAAUCUUUCUUUUAUAUGGCAUGAAUAUUCAGAUCCAUAAGAUUCCAAACAAAAGUUUAAUAUUGGCAUAAAACAAUAAUACUUCAAGCAUACUAAUAAAGCAAUCAUAUCUUUUCAAAAUAUCAUGGCUAAAGAAAGUUAUCCCUACAAAAUCAUAUAGUCUUGUCAUGCUCCGUCUUCAUCACACAAAGUAUUUAUCAUGCCAAGCAAUUGUUUCAUACUUUUAACAUUCUAAAGCUUUUUCAACCUUCACGCAAUACAUGAGCGUGAGCCAUGGAUAUAGCACUAUGGGUGGAAUAAAAGGUGGUAGUAGACAAAAAGGAGAAAGAAAUUCUCACACCAACUAGGAAAAUUAAUAGGCUAUGGAGAUGCCCAUCAAUUGAUAUCGGUGUAACUGAGUAGGGAUUGCCAUGCAACGGAUGCACUAGAGCUAUAAGUGUAUAAAAGAUCAAAAGAAAACUAAGUGGGUGGGCAUCCAACUUGCUUGCUCAUGAAGACUAGGGAAAUUUUGAGGAAGCUCAUCAUCGGAAUAUACAAGCCAAGUUCUAUAAUGAGAAAUUCCCAGUAGUAAUAUAUGAAAGUGACAACGCAGGAGACUCUCUAUCAUGAAUCAAGAUGGUAGUUUUCCCCGUGAAGGCGGGUACCCGCAGGGAUAUACCCGCUAAGAACCGGGGAUGGGGGAAAAAUUGCCUCCAUGGGGAUUGCUUGGCGGGUACCCGAUAGCAUAACGGGGCGGGGAUGGGGGACAAAUUUGCCCUGUGGAGCCUCCAUGGAUACCCGCCAACGACUGACAUGUGGGACCUCCUUCCAAAUAGCAGGCCAACCUAGCAGUAGCCAGCCAUUCAGCCACGGCCCAAGAUGAGCCCAACACACUUGGCCUAACCUAACUAACAUGCAUGGACGCACCCAGGAGCCCAACACACGCGACCCUCCUCUCGCUCGCUCCUCUUCCUCACAGCGCAGCCGCCUCCCUCUUGUUCCUCUCCCAGUUCUCACUUCCCAGAUCGAGCCCGGCCGUGACCGUCAGACCACCACCGGCGGCGGCCGGCAGUGGGCGGCGCAUCCUUCCCGUCUGGCCCCAUGACCCUCACCUGCUUCUCCUCCUCGCCUCCUCCUCCAGUUCUCCUCCUGUCCUCCACCUCAAGGCCGGAACGGUGAAGGGCACGAUUCGGCGAUGACGGCGACGGGCGUCGACAGUGACGGUUGCGAGGAGGUGGCGUCUUCGCAUUGAGAUCAACUGGGCAAGGAGAAGACGCCGACGCGUUACGCUCCCCAUGGAGUCCCUGCCGGGGAAGGGGUACCCGCCAUUGUUGGGGAUGGGGGGCGUUUCCCCCGCGCGAAGCUUCUCGGGGCUAGCGGGGCCGGGGACUGGCGGGGAUCGGGGCGGUGAUGGUGGAGUGCCCCCCGGAGAUACCCGUCCCCGUUACCAUUUUGAAUCAUGAAGAACAUGGUGCUACUUUGAAGCACGGGUGUGGAAAAAGGACAGUAACAUUGUCCCUUCUCUCUUUUUCUCUCAUUUUUUUCUUUUUCUCUUUUUCUUUUUUUCUUAUUGGGCUCUUUGGCCUCUCUUUUUUUAUUUUUUAUUUUGGGCUCUUUAGCCUCUUUAUAUUUUAAGUCCGGAGUCUCAUCCCGACUUGUGGGAGAAUCAGUCUCCAUCAUCCUUUCCUCACAUGGGACAAUGCUCUAAUAAUGAUGAUCAUCACAUUUUUAUUUACUUACAACUCGAUACUAGAAUAUGACUCUAUAUGAAUGCCUCCGGCGGUGUACCGGGAUGUGCAAUGAUCUAGCGUGACAUGUAUGAAAAAUAUGAACGGUGGCCAAGUCACAAAUACUAUGUCAACUAUAUGAUCAUGCAAAGCAAUAUGACAAUGAUGGUAUGUGUCAUAAUAAAUGAAACAGUGGAAGUUGCAUGGCAAUAUAUCUCAGAAUGGCUAUGGAAAUACUAUAAUAGGUAGGUAUGGUGGCUGUUUUGAGGAAAGGUAUAAAUUGGUUUCAUAUACCAACGGAAGUUGCACGGUACUAGAGUGGCUAGAAAAUGUGGAAGGGUGAGAGUGCGUAUAAUCCAUGGACUUAACAUUAGUCAUAAAGAACUCAGAUACUUAUUGCAAAAAAUUAUUAGCCCUCAAAACAAAAUACUAAUACGCAUGCUCCUAGGGGGGUAGAUUGGUAGGAAAAUACCAUCGCUCGUCCCCGACCACCACUCAAACGGAAGACAAUCAAUAAUAAAUCAUGCUCCAAUUUCAUCGCAUAACGAGAGACCAUACAUGCAUGCUUCGGGAAUCACAAACCUUAACACAAGUAUUCUUACUAAACCACAAUCACCAACUAGAAUGACUCUAAUAUCACCAUCUUUAAUCUCAAAACAAUUGCAAGGAAUCAAACUUCUCAUAUAUUCAAUGAUCUUCAUGAAAGUUGUUAUUAUAUCCCUAUUGAAUGCCCAUCAUAUUAGGACCAAAUUCACAACCUAAGCAAAUUUCCAUACUAUUUUUAAGACUCUCAAAAUAAUAUAAGUGAAGCAUGAGAGUUCAUCAAUUUCUUCAAAAUAAAACCACCGCCAUGCUCUAAAAAGAUAUAAGUGAAGCACUAGAGCAACUACCUAGCUCAAAAGAUAUAAGUGAAGCAGAUAGAGUAUUCUAAUAAAUUCACGAUUAAUGUGUGUCCCUCUCAAAAGGUGUGUACAGCAAAGAUGAUUGUGGCAAACUAAAAAGCAAAUAAAGCAAAGAUUCAUAUAUCACAAGACGCUCCAAGCAAAACACAUAUCAUGCAGUGAAUAAAAAUAUAGCCUCAAGUAAUUCUACAGAUGGAUUGUAGACAAAAGAGGGGAUGCCAUCCGGGGCAUCCCCAAGCUUAGAUGCUUAGUUGUCCUUGAAUAUUACCUUGGGGUGCCUUGGGCAUCCCCAAGCUUAGAUGCUUGGUUGCCUUGAACAUUACCUUGGGGUGCCUUGGGCAUCCCCAAGUUUAGGCUAUUGCCACUCCUUAUUCCAUAGUCCAUCAAAACUUCAAAACUUCACAACACAAAACUCAAAAAAAAAACUCGUGAGCUCCGUUAGUAUAAUAAAGCAAAUUACCACUUAGGUACUGUUGUGAACUCAUUCUAAAUUUAUAUUAGUGUUAUAUAUAUUGUAUAAUAACUUUUCCAUGGUUCAUACCCCCUGAUACUACCCAUAGAUUCAUCAAAAUAAGCAAACAACACAUAGAAAACAGAAUCUGUCAAAAACAGAACAGUCUAUAGAAAUCUUGAAAUUUCGUAUACUUCUGUAACUCUAAAACUUCUAAAAAAUUAGGAUAACCUGGGCAAUUUGUAUAUCAAUCUUGUGUAAAAAAAUUAGAUCAAAAUCACGUUUUUGUGAAUUUACAAAAUUCCAACAAUGAGCGCAAAAGUUUCUGUUUUUCAGCAAAAUCAAAUCAACUAUCACCAUAGAUCAUCCCAAAGGAUCUACUUGGCACAAACACUAAUUAAAAUACUAAAACACAAUUAUUACAGAAGUAAUAUUUCAUAUUUAUUCAAGAACAAAAGCAAAAACAAAAAAACACAAAAUAAAAUUGGGUUGCCUCCCAACAAGCGCUAUUGUUUAACGCCCCUAGCUAGCUUGCAUAGAUCUAGGUAUUUUCAUCUUCGUUAUUUAGCUCUUUAUUUGCAAAUCCAUACUCUCUAGAGACCUCAUUAUAUUUUUUGAUGAACACACUCCUAGGUAAGAAAUCAGGAAAUUCGUUCGUAGGGAUUGGUUCCUUAAUAAUAUUGAUAAAGCUAGGGCAAAUAUUUAUCAUCUUAAGAUCCUCGUUUCCUUUACUAGAUGAUUCACCCCCUUUUUUAGGAACAUAAAUAAACUUGGUAGUUUUAGUAGGAGGAAACUUUGGAGUAGUCUUGACAAUGGCAAAAGCGGAACGCAAAUUGGUAAUAAUAUCUUCUAACUUAUCGAUUCUAGCGGAACCUUGUUCUACCCUCUCAUUAAUUAUAGGUUCCUUCUCCUUUAGGGUUUUUAAGGUGAUUCCUACCUUUGAACCAAUUUGAGUAAUAUGGUUAUGAAUAUUUUUAUCCAAAUUUUCAAUAUGUUCUACGAUGGAAAUCUUAUUUUCAAUAAUAUCAAACCUUUGCAUCACAUGUUCCAAAGUUAAAGUUGUUUCAUUAAUCAUGAUUGGUGGUGAUCCCACUAAAUUUAUCAUAGCAAUGUAGGCAUCCAUAGGGUGACUACCAAGAAAUUACCCCCAAUAAUGGUGUCUAGCACAUAUCUAUACCAAGUAGUAACACCCACAUAAUUGUUUUGAAGAAGAACGGUAGUGGAUUGCUUAUGAGUAGAUCUGUUUUGAGCAUCGCAAAUUCUAUACCAAGCAUCUUUUAAAUUAUCUCCUCCCCUUUAUUUAAAAUUAAGAACCUCACUUUAUGGGGUACUAACUGUGAUAGAAGGACUAGCCAUGAUAGCAAAGUAAGCGAUCUAGCACACAAGCAAACCAAAGGCAAACAAAAAAGCAAACGGAAAGAAGGCGAAUAAAAAGGCAAAUAUUUUUGUAUUUUUGUGAAAAUGUUUUAGAAGUGGGGGUGAUGAAAACAAGAGGCAGAUGGCAAAUAAUGUAAGUGCAAGAGAUGAGAGUUUAUGAUAGGUACUUGGUAGGCUCGAUGUAGAUCUUCCACGGCACCGGCGCCAGAAAUUCUUCCUGCUACUUCUUGAGCUUGCAUUGAUUUUCCCUUGAAGAGGAAAGGGUGAUGUAGCAAGGUAUAGAUAAGUAUUUCCCUCAGUUAAGAACCAAGGUAUCAAUACAGUAGGAGGAACACACAAGUCCCCAAUAGAUGCACCUGCACAAACUAAAAAACACUUGCACAUAACGCAAAAAAAGGGGUUGUCAAUCCCUUCACGUCCGCUAGCAAGAGUGAGAUCUGAUAAAGAUAGGUAUAAAAGAUAAGUAAAGGUGCAAAAUAAAGUAAAGGUAAAUAAAUUGCAGCAAGGUAUUUUUGGGUUUUCGGUUUUAUAGAUCUGAAAAUAAUAUGAUAGAAGAUAGACCCGGGGGCCAUAGGUUUCACUAGAGGCUUCUCUCUUGAAGGAAACAUACGGAGGGUGAAUAAAUUAUUGUUGAGCAAUUGAUAGAAAAGCGCAUAGUUAUGACGAUAUCCAAGGCAAUUAUCAUGAAUAUAGGCAUCACGUCCAUGACAAGUAGACCGAGUCCUGCCUGCAUCUACUACUAUUACUCCACACAUCGAACGCUAUCCAUCAUGCAUCUAGUGUAUUAAGUUAACAAGAAUGGAGUAACGCCUUAAGCAAGAUGACAUGAUGUAGAGGGAUAGAUCCAAGAAAUAUGGUAAAAACUCCAUCUUUUUAUCCUUAAUGGCAACAAUACAGAUACGUGCCUCGCUACCCCUUCUGUCACUACGUGAGCACACCACAAGAUUGAACCCAUCACAAAGCACCUCUCCCAGUGCAAGAAAAAUCAAUCUAGUUGGCCAAACCAAAUCAAUAUAUCGGAGAGAAAUACAAAGCUAUCUUAAUCAUGCAUAAAAGAGUUCAAAGAAGACUCAAAUGAUAUUCAUAGAUAAUCUGAUCAUAAAUCCACAAUUCAUCGGAUCUCAACAAACGCACCGCAAAAGAAGAUUACAUCGAAUAGAUCUCCAAGAACAUCAAGGAGAACAUUGUAUGAAGAUCAAAGAGAGAGAAGAAGCCAUCUAGCUACUAGCUAUGGACCCGUAGGUCUUUGGUAAACUACUCACACAUCAUCGGAAGGGCGGCAAGGUUGGUGUAGAGGCCCUUCGUGAUCGAAUCCCCCUCCGGCAGAGUGCCAGAAAAGGCCCCAAGAUGGGAUCUCACAAGAACAGAAGCUUGCGGUAGAGGAAAAGUAUUUUUGGUGUGCCCUCUAGUAUAGGGGAAUAUUUGGGUAUUUAUAGAGCUGGAAUUAGGUUAGGAGAGUCCCGAGGGGCCCACAAGCCUGCACCCCCCCUAGGGCGCGCCUCCAGGGCUUGUGGCCCUCUUAUGGCUCUUCUGGCCUCCUCCCGAAGCUUCAUGGGUGUCUUCUUGUCCAAGAAAAAUCGUCAAAAAGUUUCGUUCUGUUAGGACAUUUGUUUGGUAUUGAUUUUCUGUAAAAGACAAAACAAGGAAAAAACAACAACUAGCACUUGGCACUAGGUUAAUAAGUUAGUCCCAAAAUGAUGUAAAAUAGCACCAUAAUGCAUACAAAACAUCCAAGACGGAUAAUAUAAUAGCAUGGAACAAUCAAAAAUCAUAGAUACGUUGGAGAUGUAUCAGAUCCUGCAUCUCAAAUUUCACUAAUUGAAAGGAUUGUGGUGCACCUAGAGAGGGGUGGAUUGGUACAAUGAAUUAUUUUUUAAUUUAUUAUUAGCAAGUUUAGGUAAUGAGGAAUAUAAAGGUGAGCCUAAGCAAUUGUUAUGGUGAGAUAAGUAAUGCACUAGAGCGUGCUCAACAAACUAUAGUGAAUGCAAGGCCAGGUGACCAAUGUAAACUACAAGUAGGGAUUUAGGCUUACAGAUAAUCGAUGACACAAAGACGGGGAUGUAUCCCGAUGUUCACUUAGGUGGAGGGAAGCUAGUCACCAUUGGAGGGAUGGGUGUUACAACAAAGACACACCAACACCACAGAGGCUUGCCAAAUUCUCAUUGGGAUAUCACAACUAAUGUGAUUAUAAACCACUAGUGGGACCUUGAGGUGGCCUCCAAACCUUCGUAGACUUCACGGGGAUAAAUCCCAACUUGAUUCCUAAUACAUCUCCAAUGUAUCAACUUUUCCAAACACGUUUGCUCUUGUUUGGACUCUAAUUUGCAUGAUUUGAAUGAAACUAACCCGGUGAGGCUGUUUUCAGCAGAAUUACCCUCAUGUUGUUUUUUGUGCAGAAACGAAAGUUCUCAAAUUGGACGAAAUUUUACGAAGAAUUGUUUCAAAAUAUAAAAGUUACUAGCGAAAAGAUCUACUGAAGGGGGGACCACCACAGAGCCACAACUCAGGUGGCGCCCCCGAAGGAAAUAUGCCCUAGAGGCAAUAAUAAAGUUGUUAUUUUAUAUUUCCAUACUCAUGAUAAAGGUUUAUUAUUCAUGCUAGAAUUGUAUUGAUCGGAAACCUUAAUACAUGUAUGAAUACAUAAACAAACAUUGUGUCCCUAGUAAGCCUCUACUAGACUAGCUCGUUGAUCAAAGAUGGUUAAGGUUUCCUAACCAUGGCAUGUGUUGUCAUUUGAUAACGGGAUCACAUCAUUAGGAGAAUUAUGUGAUGGAAAAGACCCAUCCGUUAGCUUAGCAUAAUGAUCAUUCAUGUUAAAUAGGGCAUCGUCUAAAUCUGUUGAGACGACAUGGUAUGAACUGUGGUUUGGCAAGAAACCUAAGCUAUCAUUUCUUAAAGUUUUGAGUUGCGACACUUAUGUCAAAAGGCUUCAUCCUGAUAAGCUCGAACCCAAAUCGGAAAAGUGCGUCUUCAUGAGAUACCCUAAGGAAACAAUUGGGUACACCUUCUACCACAGAUCCGAAGGCAAGAUCUUUAUUGCCAAGAAUGGAACAUUUCUAGAGAAAGAGUUUCUCUCGAAAGAAGUGAGUGGGAGGAAAGUAGAACUAGAUGAGAUAAUUGUACCUUCUCUCAAUUUGGAAAGUAGCACAUCAGAGAAAUCUGUUCCCAUGAUGCCUACACCAACUAGAGAGGAAGCUAAUGAUGAUGAUCAUGAAACUUCAGAUCAAGUUACUACUGGACAUCGUAGGUCGAACAGAGCACGUUCCACACCAGAGAGGUACGGUAAUCCUGUCCUGGAAGUCAUGAUACUAGAUCAUGGCUAACCUACGAACUAUGAAGAAGCUAUGAUGAGCCUAGAUUCCGAUAAAUGGCUUGAGGCCAUGAAUCUGAGAUAGGAUCCAUGUAUGAGAACAAAGUGUGGACUUUGGUGGACUUGCCCAAUGGUCGGCAAGCCAUUGAGAAUAAAUGGAUCUUCAAGAAGAAUAUUGACGCUGAUGGUAAUGUCACCGUCUACAAAGCUCGACUUGUCGCGAAAGGUUUUCUACAAGUUCAAGGGGUUGACUACGAUGAGACCUUCUCACCCGUAGCGAUGCUUAAGUCAGUCCAAAUCAUUUUAGCAAUUGCCGCAUUUUAUGAUUAUGAAAUUUGGCAAAUGGACGUCAAAACUGCAUUCCUUAAUGGAUUUCUUAAAGAAGAGUUGUAUAUGAUGCAACCAGAAGGUUUUGUCGAUCCUAAAGGUGCUAACAAAGUGUGCAAGCUCCAGCAAUCCAUCUAUGGACUGGUGCAAGCAUCUCGGAGUUGGAAUAUACGCUUUGAUGAGUGAUCAAAGCAUAUGGUUUUAUACAGACUUUUGGUGAAGCCUGUAUUUACAAGAAAGUGAGUGGGAGCUCUGUAGCAUUUCUAAUAUUUUAUGUAGAUGACAUAUAGUUGAUUGGAAAUGAUAUAGAAUUUCUGGAUAGCAUAAAAGGAUACUUGAAUAAGAGUUUUUCAAUGAAAGACCUUGGUGAAGCUGCUUAUAUAUUGGGCAUCAAGAUCUAUAGAGAUAGAUUGAGAUGCUUAAUAGGACUUUCACAAAGCACAUACCUUGACAAAGUUUCCAAGAAGUUCAAAACGAAUCAGUCAAAGAAAGGGUUCUUGCCUGUAUUACAAGGUGUGAAGUUGAGUCAGACUCAAAGCCCAACCACUUCAGAAGAUAGAGAGAAAAUGAAAGUCAUUCCCUAUGCCUCAACCAUAGGUUCUAUCAUGUAUGAUAUGCUGUGUACCAGACCUGAUGUGUGCCUUGCCAUAAGUCUGGCAGGGAGGUACCAAAGUAAUCCAGGAGUGGAUCACUGGACAACGGUCAAGAACAUCCUGAAGUACCUGAAAAGGACCAAGGAUAUGUUUCUUAUGGAGGUGACAAAGAGCUCAUCGUAAAUGGUUACAUCGAUGCUCAGCUUUAACACUGAUCCGGAUGACUCUAAGUCAAUAACUAGAUACAUAUUUAUAUUGAAUGGUGGAGCUGUCAGUUGGUACAGUUCCAAGCAGAGCGUCGUGCCGGGAUCUACGUGUGAAGCGGAGUACAUGGCUGCUUCAGAAGCAGCAAAUGAAAGAGUCUGGAUGAAGGAGUUCAUAUCCGAUCUAGAUGUAAUACCUAGUGCAUCGGGUCGAAUGAAAAUCUUUUGUGACAAUACUGGAGCAAUUGCCUUGGCGAAGGAAUCCAGAUUUCACAAGAGAACCAAACACAUCAAGAGGCGCUUCAACUCCAUUCAUGAACAAGUCAAGGAGGGAGACAUAGAAAUUUGCAAAAUACAUAUGGAUCUGAAUGUAGCAGACCUGCUGACUAAGACUCUUCCACGAGCAAAACAUGAUCAGCACCAAGACUCCAUGGGUGUUAGAUUCAUUACAAUGUAAUCUAGAUUAAUGACUCUAGUGCAAGUGGGAGACUGAAGGAAAUAUGCCCUAGAGGCAAUAAUAAAGAUGUUAUUUUAUAUUUCCUUAUUCAUGAUAAAGGUUUAUUAUUCAUGCUAGAAUUGUAUUGAUCGGAAACCUUAAUACAUGUGUGAAUACAUAAACAAACAUCGUGUCCCUAGUAAGCCUCUAUUAGACUAGAUUGUUGAUCAAAGAUGGUUAAGGUUUCCUAACCAUGGACGUUAGUUGUCAUUUGAUAACGGGAUCACAUCAUUAGGAGAAUUAUGUGAUGGGCAAGACCCAUCCAUUAUCUUAGCAUAAUGAUCGUCCAGUUUUAUUGCUAUUGCUUUCUUAAUGUCAAAUACAUAUUCCUUCGACUAUGAGAUUAUGCAACUCCCGAAUACCGGAGGAAUGCCUUGUGUGCUAUCAAACGUCACAAUGUAACUGGGUGAUUAUAAAGAUGCUCUACAGGUAUCUCCGGAGGUGUUUGUUGAGUUGGCAUAGAUUGAGACUAGGAUUUGUCACUCUGAGUAUCGGAGAGGUAUCUCUGGGCCCUCUCGGUAAUACACAUCAUAAGCUUGCAAGCAAACAACUAAGGAGUUAGUCACGAGGUGAUGUAUUAUGGAACGAGUAAAGAGACUUGCCGGUAAUGAGGUUGAACUAGGUAUGAAGAUACCGACGAUCGAAUCUCGGGCAAGUAACAUACCGAUGGACAAAGGGAAUUACGUAUGUUGUCAUAACGGUUCGACCGAUAAAGAUCUUCGUAGAAUAUGUAGGAGCCAAUAUGGGCAUCCAGGUUCCACUAAUGGUUAUUGACCAGAGAGGUGUCUUGGUCAUUUCUACAUAGUUCUCGAACCCGUAGGGUCCGCACGCUUAACGUUCGAUGACGAUAUAGUAUUAUAUGAGUUAUGUGAUUUGGUGACCGAAUGUUGUUCGGAGACCCGGAUAAGACCACGGACAUGACGAGGAGUCUCUAAAUGGUCGAGAGGUAAAGAUUUAUAUAUAGGAUGAUAGUAUUCGGACACGAAAGUGUUUCGGGGGGUACCGGGUACUUAUCGGGUCACUGGAAGGGGUUCCGGGCACCCCCGGCAAAAGAUAUGGGCCUUAUGGGCCAAGAGGGGAAACACACCAGCCACAAGGGGCUGGCGCGCCCCCCAUAUGGGCCGGACAAGGAGGAGAAGGAAAGAGGGGAAGAGAAAGGAAAGAGAGGAAUAGGAUUCCCCUUCCUUCCCUCUCCCCCUCUCUUUCCUUCCCCCUCCGACAUAUAUGGCUGGGGGCGCGCGGCUAGGGAGGAGCCCAAGUAGGAUUCGGUCCUACUUGGGGCGCCUCCUAGCCUCUCCCAUCCCCCUCCCACCUAUAUAUAUGUGGGGGGUGCCUGGCACACCCCAGACAAUUGUUUAGCCAUGUGCGGCGCCCCCCUCCACCGUUUACACCCCGGUCAUAUUUUCGUAGUGCUUAAGCGAAGCCCUACGAGGAUCACUUCACCAUCACUGUCCCCACGCCGUUGUGCUGACGGAACUCAUCUACUACCUCGACGCCUUGCUGGAUCAAGAAGGCGAGGGACGUCACCGAGCUGAACGUGUGCAGAACGCGGAGGUGUCGUGCAUUCGGUACUUGAUCGGUUGAAGCUCGAAGAGGUUCGACUACAUCAACAACAUUGAGAAAUGCUUCCGCUGACGGUCUACGAGGGUACGUAGACACACUCUCCCCCUCAUUGCUAUGCAUCUCCAUGGAUAGAUCAUUGUGUGUGCGUAAUUUUUUUUUGUUUUCCAUGCAAUGAUUCCCAACAGUGGCAUCAUGAGCCAGGUCUAUGCAUAGAUGAUAUGCACGAGUAGAACACAAAGAGUUGUGGGCGGUGAUAGUCAUACUGCUUACCACCAACGUCUUAUUUUGAUUCGGCGGUAUUGUGGGAUGAAGCGGCCCGGACCAACCUCACAUGUCCACGCACAUGAGACCGGUUCCACCGACUGACAUGCAACUAGUUUUGCAUAAAGGUGGCUGGCGGGUGUCUGUUUCUCCUACUUUAGUUGAAUCGAAUUUGACUGCAGCUGGUCCUUGAAGAAGGUUAAAACAUCAAACUUGACGAAACACCGUUGUGGUUUUAUGUGUUGGUAAGAACGGUUCUUGCUAGAAGCCCGUAGCCGCCACGUAAAACUUGCAACAACAAAGUAGAGGACGUCUAACUUGUUUUUGCAGGGCAUGUAGUGAUGUGAUAUGGUCAAGACAUGAUGUGAUAAAUGUUAUUGUAUGAGAUGAUCAUGUUUUUUAAGAUAUCUGACAACUGGCAGGAGCCUUAUGGUUGUCUCUUUAUUGUAUGAAAUGCAUAUGCCAUGUAAUUGCUUUACUUUAUCGCUAUGAGUUAGCAAUAGUUGUAGAAGCAAUAGUUGGUGAGACGACCAUGACGCAAUGAUGGAGAUCAAGGUGUCAAGCCAGUGAUGAUGGAGAUCAUGACGAUGCUUUGGAGAUGGAGAUCAAAAGCAUGAGAUGAUGAUGGCCAUAUCAUGUCACAUAUUUUGAUUGCAUGCGAUGUUUAUCUUUUAUGCAUCUUAUUUUGCUUAGUACAGAGGAAGCAUUAUAAGAUGAUCCCUUCACUAAAUUCAAGGUAAAAGUGUUCUCCCUGAGUAUGCAGCGUUGCUACAGUUCGUCGUGUUCAGACGCCACGUGAUGAUCGGGUGUGAUAGACUACGUUCACAUACAACGGGUGCAAGACAGUUUUGCACAUGCGGAAUACUUGGGUUAAACUUGACGAGCCUAGCAUGUACAGACAUGGCCUCGGAACACUGGAGACCGAAAGGUCGAACGUGAAUCAUAUAGUAGAUAUGAUCAACAUAGAGAUGUUCACCAUUGAUGACUACCCAAUCUCACGUGAUGAUCGAACAUGGGUUCGUUGAUUUGGAUCACGUAUCACUUAGAUGACUUGAGGGAUGUCUAUUUAAGUGGGAGUUCUUUAGUAAUAUUAUUAAUUGAACUUAAUUUAUCAUGAACUUAGUCUUAUAGUUUUGCAUAUCUAUGUUGUAGAUCAAUGGCCCGAGCUACCGUUCCCCUAAAUUUUAAUGCGUUCCUAGAGAAAGCUAACUUGAAAGAGGAUGGUAGCAACUACACGGACUGGGUCCGUGACUUGAGGAUUAUCCUCAUUUCUGCAUAGAAGAAUUAUGUCCUUGAUGCACCGCUAGGUGAAAGGUCUGCUGCAGGAGCUGAAGCUGAUGUUAUGAACGUAUGGCAAGCUCAAUCUGAUGGCUGAUACGUCUCCAACAUAUCUAUAAUUUUUUAUUGCUCCAUGCUAUAUUAUCUUCUGUUUUGGACAUUAUUGGGCUUUAUUAUUCACUGUUAUAUUAUUUUUGGUACUAACCUAUUAACCGGAGGCCUAGCCCAGAAUUGUUGUUUUUUGCCUAUUUCAGAGUUCGCAGAAAAAGAAUAUCAAACAAAGUCCAAAUGGAAUGAAACCUUUGGGAAUGUGAUUUUCGGAACGAACAUGAUCCAGGAGACUUGGACCCUACGUCAAGGAAGCUUCCAGGAAGCCACGAGGUAGGGGCGCGCCUACCCCCCCCCACCCCAGGCGCGCCCUCCACCCUCAUGGGCCCCACGUUGCUCCACCGACGUACUCCUUCCUCCUAUAUAUACCUACGUACCCCCAAACGAUUAGAUACGGAGCCAAAAACCUAAUUCCACCGCCGCAACCUUCUGUACCCACGAGAUUCCAUCUUGGGGCCUGUUCCGGAGCUCCGCCGGAGGGGGCAUCGAUCACGGAGGGCUUCUACAUAAACACCAUAGCCUCUCCGAUGAUGUGUGAGUAGUUUACCUCAGACCUUCGGGUCCAUAGUUAUUAGCUAGAUGGCUUCUUCUCUCUUUUUGGAUCUCAAUACAAUGUUCUCCCCCUCUCUUGUGGAGAUCUAUUCGAUGUAAUCUUCUUUUGCGGUGUGUUUGUUGAGACCGAUGAAUUGUGGGUUUAUGAUCAAGUUUAUCUAUGAGCAAUAUUUGAAUCUUCUGAAUUCUUUUAUGUAUGAUUGGUUAUCUUUGCAAGUCUCUUUGAAUUAUCAGUUUGGUUUGGCCUACUAGAUUGAUCUUUCUUGCAAUGGGAGAAGUGCUUAGCUUUGGGUUCAAUCUUGCGGUGUCCUUUCCCAGUGACAGUAGGGGCAGUAAGGCACGUAUUGUAUUGUUGCCAUCGAGGAUAACAAGAUGGGUUUUUUAUCAUAUUGCAUGAAUUUAUCCCUCUACAUCAUGUCAUCUUGCUUAAGGCGUUACUCUGUUCUUAUGAACUUAAUACUCUAGAUGCAUGCUGGAUAGCGGUCGAUGUGUGGAGUAAUAGUAGUAGAUGCAGGCAGGAGUCGGUCUACUUGUCUCGGACGUGAUGCCUAUAUACAUGAUCAUACCUAGAUAUUCUCAUAACUAUGCUCAAUUCUGUCAAUUGCUCAACAGUAAUUUGUUCACCCACCGUAAAAUACUUAUGCUCUUGAGAGAAGCCACUAGUGAAACCUAUGGCCCCCGGGUCUAUCUUCCAUCAUAUUAAUCUUCCAACACUUAGUUAUUUCCAUUGCUUUUAUUUUACUUUGCAUCUUUAUCACAAAAAUACCAAAAAUAUUAUCUUAUCAUAUCUAUCAGAUCUCACUCUCGUAAGUGACCGUGUAGGGAUUGACAACCCCUUAUCGCGUUGGUUGCGAGGAUUUAUUUGUUUGUGUAGGUGCGAGGGACUCGCGCGUAGCCUCCUACUGGAUUGAUACCUUUGUUCUCAAAAACUGAGGGAAAUACUUACGCUACUUUGCUGCAUCACCCUUUCCUCUUCAAGGGAAAACCAACGCAGUGCUCAAGAGGUAGCAAGAAGGAUUUCUGGCGCCGUUGCCGGGGAGGUCUACGCAAAAGUCAACAUACCAAGUACCCAUCACAAACCCUUAUCUCCCGCAUUACAUUAUUUGCCAUUUGCCUCUCGUUUUCCUCUCCCCCACUUCACCCUUGUCGUUUUAUUUGCCCUCUCUUUUUCGUUCGCCUCUUUUUCGCUUGCUUUUUGUUUGUUCGUGUGUUGGAUUGCUUGCUUGUCACGAUGGCUCAAGAUAAUACCAAAUUAUGUGACUUUACCAAUACCAACAAUAAUGAUUUCCUUAGCACUCCAAUUGCUCCUCUUACCGAUACUGAAUCUUAUGAAAUCAAUGCUACUUUGUUGAAUCUUGUCAUGAAAGAUCAAUUCGCUGGCCUUCCUAGUGAAGAUGUCGCUACUCAUCUAAAUAGCUUCGUUGAUUUGUGUGAUAUGAAAAAGAAGACAGAUGUUGACAAUGAUAUUGUUAAAUUGAAGCUAUUUCCUUUUUCGCUUAGAGAUCGUGCUAAAGCUUGGUUUUCGUCUUUGCCUAAAAAUAGUAUUGAUUCUUGGAAUAAGUGCAAAGAUGCUUUUAUCUCUAAGUAUUUUCCUCCCGCCAAGAUUAUCUCUCUUAGAAACGAUAUUAUGAAUUUUAAGCAACUUGAUCAUGAACAUGUUGCACAAGCUUGGGAGAGAAUGAAAUUAAUGAUACGUAAUUGCCCUACACAUGGUUUGAAUUUGUGGAUGAUUAUACAAAAUAAUUAUGCCGGAUUGAAUUUUGCUUCUAGAAAUCUUUUAGAUUCGGCCGCGGGAGGCACUUUUAUGGAAAUCACUUUAGGAGAAGCUACUAAACUCCUAGAUAAUAUUAUGGUUAAUUAUUCUCAAUGGCACACUGAAAGAUCUACUAAUAAAAAAGUGCAUGUGAUAGAAGAAAUUAAUGUUUUGUGUGGAAAGAUGGAUGAACUUAUGAAAUUAUUUGCUAGUAAAAGUGUUUCUUCUGAUCCUAAUGAUAUGCCCUUAUCUACUUUGAUUGAGAAUAAUAAUGAAUCUUUGGAUGUGAAUUUCGUUGGUAGGAAUAAUUUUGGUAACAACGCGUAUAGAGGAAACUUUAAUCCUAGGCCUUAUCCUAGUAAUUCCUCUAAUAAUUAUGGUAAUUCCUACAACAAUUCUUAUGGAAAUUUUAAUAAGAUGCCCUCUGAAUUUGAGACUAGUGUUAAAGAGUUUAUGAAUUCGCAAAAGAAUUUCAAUGCUUUGCUUGAAGAGAAAUUGCUUAAAGUUGAUGAAUUGGCUAGGAACGUUGAUAGAAUUUCUCUUGAUGUUGAUUCUUUAAAACUUAGAUCUAUUCCUCCUAAGCAUGAUAUCAAUGAGUCUCUCAAAGCCAUGAGAAUUUCCAUUGAUGAGUGCAAAGAAAGAACCGCUAGGAUGCGUGCUAAGAAAGAUUGUUUUAUGAAAGUGUGUUCUUCAAAUUUGUAUGAAAAUAAAGAUGAAGAUCUAAAAGUUAUUGAUGUGUCCCCUAUUAAAUCUUUGUUUUGCAAUAUGAAUCUCGAUAAUGAUGGGACUGAAUAUGAUCCACCUUUACCUAGAAGGCGUUCCAAAAAUUCGGAGUUUUUAGAUCUUGAUGCUAAAAUUGAUAAAAGUGGGAUUGAAGAGAUCAAAACAUUAGAUGUUAAUAAACCCAGUAUUUUGGAUUUCAAGGAAUUUAAUUAUGAUAAUUGCUCUUUGAUAGAUUGUAUUUCCUUGUUGCAAUCCGUGCUAAAUUCUCCUCAUGCUUAUAGUCAAAAUAAAGCUUUUACCAAACAUAUCGUUGAUGCUUUGAUGCAAUCUUAUGAAGAAAAGCUUGAGUUGGAAGUUUCUAUCCCUAGAAAACUUUAUGAUGAGUGGGAACCUACUAUUAAAAAUUAAGAUUAAAGAUCAUGAAUGCUAUGCUUUGUGUGAUUUGGGUGCUAGUGCUUCCACGAUUCCAAAAACUUUGUCCGAUUUGCUAGGUUUCCGUGAUUUUGAUGAUUGUUCUUUAAACUUGCACCUUGCAGAUUCCACCAUUAAGAAACCUAUGGGAAGAAUUAAUGAUGUUCUUAUUGUUGCAAAUAGUAACUAUGUGCCCGUAGAUUUUAUUGUUCUUGAUAUAGAUUGCAAUCCUUCAUGCCCUAUUAUUCUUGGUAGACCUUUCCUUCGAACGAUUGGUGCAAUUAUUGAUAUGAAGGAAGGGAAUAUUAGAUUCCAAUUUCCAUUAAAGAAAGGCAUGGAACACUUCCCUAGGAAGAAAAUAAAAUUACCAUAUGAAUCUAUCAUGAGAGCCACUUAUGGAUUGCCUACCAAAGAUGGCAAUACCUAGAUCUAUCCUUGCUUUUAUGCCUAGCUAGGGGCGUUAAACGAUAGCGCUUGUUGGGAGGCAACCCAAUUUUUUUUUUUUUUUGCUUUUUGCUUCUGUUUAGGAAUAAAUAUUUGAUCUAGCCUCUGGUUAGAUGUGUUUUUAUGUUUUAAUUAGUGUUUGUGCCAAGUUAAACCUGUAGGAUCUUCUUGGAUGAUAGUUAUUUGAUCUUGCAGAAAAUUCCAGAAACUUUCUGUUCACGAAAAUAAUUGUUAAAAAUCACCAGAACGUGAUAAAAUAUUGAUUCCAAUUGCUUCUGAUCAAUAAACAAAUUUUCUAGGUCUUCCUAUUUUGGCUGAUUUUUUUAAGUUCCAGAAGUUUGCGUUAGUUACAGAUUACUACAGACUGUUCUGUUUUUGACAUAUUCUGUUUUUCGUGUGUUCUUUGCUUAUUUUAAUGAAUCUAUGGCUAAUAAAAUAGUUUAUAAACCAUAGAGAAGUUGGAAUACAGUAGGUUUAACACCAAUAUAAAUAAAGAAUGAGUUCAUUACAGUACCUUGAAGUGGUCUUUUGUUUUCUUUCGCUAACGGAGCUCACGAGAUUUUCUGUUAAGUUUUGUGUUGUGAAGUUUUCAAGUUUUGGGUGAAAGAUUUGAUGGAUUAUGGAACAAGGAGUGGCAAGAGCCUAAGCUUGGGGAUGCCCAUGGCACCCCCAAGAUAAUCUAAGGACACCUAAAAGCCAAAGCUUGGGGAUGCCCCGGAAGGCAUCCCCUCUUUCGUCUACUUCCAUUGGUAACUUUACUUGGAGCUAUAUUUUUAUUCACCACAUGAUAUGUGUUUUGCUUGGAGCGUCUUGUAUGAUUUGAGUCUUUGCUUUUUAUUUUACCACAAUCAUCCUUGAUGUACACACCUUUUGCGAGAGACACACAUGAUUCGGAAAUUAUUAGAAUACUCUAUGUGCUUCACUUAUAUCUUUUGAGUUAUAUAGUUUUUGCUCUAGUACUUCACUUAUAUCUUUUAGAGCACGGUGGUGGAUUUAUUUUAUAGAAACAUUUGGUCUCUCAUGCUUCACUUAGAUUAUUUUGAGAGUCUUAAAUAGCAUGGUAAUUUUCUUAAAUGAUCCUAAUAUGCUAGGUAUUCAAGAAUAGUAAAAACUUUCUUAUGAGUGUGUUGAAUACUAAGAGAAGUUUGAUGCUUGAUGAUUGUUUUGAGACAUGGAGGUAGUGAUAUCAAAGUUGUGCUCGUUGAGUAGUUGUGAAUUUGAGAAAUACUUGUGUUGAAGUUUGCAAGUCCCGUAGCAUGCACGUAUGGUAAACGUUAUGUAACAAAUUUGAAACAUGAGGUGUUCUUUGAUUGUCCUCCUUAUGAGUGGCGGUUGGGGACGAGCGAUGGUCUUUUCCUACCAAUCUAUCCCCCUAGGAGCAUGCGCGUAGUGCUUCGUUUUUGAUGACUUGUAGAUUUUUGCAAUAAGUAUGUGAGUUCUUUAUGACUAAUGUUGAGUCCAUGGAUUAUACGCACUCUCACCUUUCCAUCAUUGCUAGCCUCUUCGGUACCGUGCAUUGCCCUAUCUCACAUUGAGAGUUGGUGCAAACUUCGCCGGUGCAUCCAAACCCUGUGAUAUGAUACGCUCUUUCACACAUAAACCUCCUUAUAUCUUCCUCAAAACAGCCACCAUACCUACCUAUUAUGGCAUUUCCAUAGCCAUUCCGAGAUAUAUUGCCAUGCAACUUUCCACCGUUCCGUUUAUCAUGACACGUUCAUCAUUGUCAUAUUGCUUAGCAUGAUCAUGUAGUUGACAUAGUAUUUGUGGCAAAGCCACCGUUCAUAAUUCUUUCAUACAUGUCACUCUUGGUUCAUUGCAUAUCCCGGUACACCGCCGGAGGCAUUCAUAUAGAGUCAUACCUUGUUCUAGUAUCGAGUUGUAAUCAUUGAGUUGUAAAUAAAUAGAAGUGUGAUGAUCAUCAUUUAAUAGAGCAUUGUCCCAAAAAAAGAGAAAGGCCAAAUAAAAAAAGAAGGCCCAAAAAAAGGGACAAUGCUACUAUCCUUUUACCACACUUGUGCUUCAAAGUAGCACCAUAAUCUUUAUGAUAGAGAGUCUCUCGUUUUGUCACUUUCAUAUACUAGUGGGAAUUUUUCAUUAUAGAACUUGGCUUGUAUAUUCCAACAAUGGGCCUCCUCAAGUGCCCUAGGUCUUCGUGAGCAAGCAAGUUGGAUGCACACCCACUUAGUUUCUUUUGUUGAGCUUUCAUAUAUUUAUAGCUCUAGUGCAUCCAUUGCAUGGCAAUCCCUACUCCUUGCAUUAACAUCAAUCGAUGGGCAUCUCCAUAGCUCAUUGAUUAGCCUCAUUGAUGUGAGACUUUCUCCUUUUUUGUCUUCUCCACAUAACCCCCAUCAUUAUACUCUAUUCCACCCAUAGUGCUAUAUCCAUGGCUCACGCUCAUGUAUAGCGUGAAGGUUUAUAAAGUUUGAGAUUACUAAAGUAUGAAACAAUUGCUUGGCUUGUCAUCGGGGUUGUGCAUGAUGAGAGCAUUCUUGUGUGACGAAAAUGGAGCAUGACCAAACUAUAUGAUUUUGUAGGGAUGAACUUUCUUUGGCCAUGUUAUUUUGAGAGGACAUAAUUGCUUAGUUAGUAUGCUUGAAGUAUUAUUAUUUUUAUGUCAAUAUUGAACUUUUAUCUUGAAUCUUUCGGAUCUGAAUAUUCAUACCACAAUUAAGAAGAAUUACAUUGAAAUUAUGCCAAGUAGCAUUCCGCAUCAAAAAUUCUGUUUUUAUCAUUUACCUACUCGAGGACGAGCAGGAAUUAAGCUUGGAGAUGCUUGAUACGUCUCCAACGUAUCUAUAAUUUUUUAUUGCUCCAUGCUAUAUUAUCUUCUGUUUUGGACAUUAUUGGGAUUUAUUAUUCACUUUUAUAUUAUUUUUGGGACUAACCUAUUAACCGGAGGCCCAGCCCAGAAUUGCUGUUUUUUUGCCUAUUUCAAAGUUUCGCAUAAAAAGAAUAUCAAACGGAGUCCAAACGGAAUGAAACCUUCGGGAACGUGAUUUUCGGAACGAACAUGAUCCAGGAGACUUGGACCCUACGUCAAGGAAGCUUCCAGGAAGCCACGAGGUAGGGGAGCGCCUACCCCCCCUGACGCGCCCUCCACCCUCGUGGGCCCCAUGUUGCUCCACCGACGUACUCCUUCCUCCUAUAUAUACCUACGUACCCCCAAAUGAUCAGAUACGGAGCCAAAAACCUAAUUCCACCGCCGCAACCUUCUGUACCCACGAGAUCCCAUCUUGGGGCCUGUUCCGGAGCUCCGCCGGAGGGGGCAUCGAUCACGGAGGGCUUCUACAUCAACACCAUAGCCUCUCCGAUGAUGUGUGAGUAGUUUACUUCAGACCUUCGGGUCCAUAGUUAUUAGCUAGAUGGCUUCUUCUCUCUUUUUGGAUCUCAAUACAAUGUUCUCCCCCUCUCUUGUGGAGAUCUAUUCGAUGUAAUCUUCUUUUGCGGUGUGUUUGUUGAGACCGAUGAAUUGUGGGUUUAUGAUCAAGUUUAUCUAUGAGCAAUAUUUGAAUCUUCUGAAUUCUUUUAUGUAUGAUUGGUUAUCUUUGCAAGUCUCUUUGAAUUAUCAGUUUGGUUUGACCUACUAGAUUGAUCUUUCUUGCAAUGGGAGAAGUGCUUAGCUUUGGGUUCAAUCUUGCGGCGUCCUUUCCCAGUGACAGUAGGGGCAGUAAGGCACGUAUUGUAUUGUUGCCAUCGAGGAUAACAAGAUGGGUUUUUUAUCAUAUUGCAUGAAUUUAUCCAUCUACAUCAUGUCAUCUUGCUUAAGGCGUUACUCUGUUCUUAUGAACUUAAUACUCUAGAUGCAUGCUGGAUAGCAGUCGUGUGUGGAGUAAUAGUAGUAGAUGCAGGCAGGAGUCGGUCUACUUGUCUCGGACGUGAUGCCUAUAUACAUGAUCAUACCUAGAUAUUCUCAUAACUAUGCUCAAUUCUGUCAAUUGCUCAACAGUAAUUUGUUCACCCACCGUAAAAUACUUAUGCUCUUGAGAGAAGCCACUAGUGAAACCUAUGGCCCCCGGGUCUAUCUUCCAUCAUAUUAAUCUUCCAACACUUAGUUAUUUCCAUUGCUUUUAUUUUACUUUGCAUCUUUAUCAUAAAAAUACCAAAAAUAUUAUCUUAUCAUAUCUAUCAGAUCUCACUCUCAUAAGUGACCGUGUAGGGAUUGACAACCCCUUAUCGCGUUGGUUGCGAGGAUUUAUUUGUUUGUGUAGGUGCGAGGGACUCGCGCGUAGCCUCCUACUGGAUUGAUGCCUUGGUUCUCAAAAACUAAGGGAAAUACUUACGCUACUUUGCUGCAUCACCCUUUCCUCUUCAAGGGAAAACCAACGCAGUGCUCAAGAGGUAGCAAUGACUACUCUAUAGUUCAGUGUGUCAUGCUUUACGGCUUAGAACCGAGACUUCAAAGACGUUUUGAAUGUCAUGGAGCAUAUGAGAUGUUCCAAGAGUUGAAGUUAAUAUUUCAAGCAAAUGCUCGGGUUGAGAGAUAUGAAGUCUCCAACAAGUUCUAUAGCUGCAAGAUGGAGGAGAACAGUUCUGUCAGUGAACACAUACUCAAAAUGUCUGGGUAUUGUAAUCACUUGACUCAGCUGGGAGUUGAUCUUCCAGUUGAUUGUAUCAUUGACAGAGUUCUUCAAUCACUACCACCAAGCUACAAAGGCUUCGUGAUGAACUAUAAUAUGCAAGGGAUGAACAAAACAAUUCCCGAACUCUUCGCAAUGCUUAAGGCCGCGGAGGUAGAAAUCAAGAAGGAGCAUCAAGUGUUGAUCGUUAACAAGACCACUAGUUUCAAGAAAAGCGGCAAGGGAAAGAAAGGGAACUUCAAGAAGAAUGGCAAGCAAGUUGCCACUCCCAGGAAGAAGCCCAAAGCUGGACCCAAGCCUGAAACUGAGUGCUUCUACUACAAAGGGACUGGUCACUGGAAGCGGAACUUCCCCAAGUAUUUUGCGGAUAAGAAGGAUGGCAAAGUGAAAAAAGGUAUAUUUGAUAUACAUGUUAUUGUUGUGUACCUUACUAAUGCUCAUAGUAGCACUUGGGUAUUUCAUACUGGUUCGGUUGCUCAUAUUUGUAACUCGAAAUAGGAGCUACGGAUUAAACGAAGAUUGGCUAAGGCCGAGGUGACGAUGCGCGUCGGGAAUGGUUCCAAGGUCGAUGUGAUCGCCAUCGGCACGCUACCUCUACAUCUACCUUCGGGAUUAGUUUUAGGCCUAAAUAAUUGUUAUUUGGUGCCAGCGUUGAGCAUGAACAUUAUAUCUGGAUCUUGUUUAGUGCGAGACGGUUAUUCAUUUAAAUCAAAGAAUAAUGGUUGUUCUAUUUAUAUGAAUAAUAUCUUUUAUGGUCAUGCACCAAUGAAGAGUGGUCUAUUUCUGUUGAAUCUCGAUUGUGGUGAUACACAUAUUCAUAAUAUUGAUGCCAAAAGAUGCAAAGUUGAUAAUGAUAGUGCAACAUAUUUGUGGCACGGCCGUUUAGGUCAUAUUGGUGUAAAGCGCAUGAAGAAACUCCAUGCAGAUGGGCUUUCGGAAUCACUUGAUUAUGAAUCAUUUGAUACUUGCGAACCAUGCCUCAUGGGCAAGAUGACUAAAACUCCGUUCUCCGGAACAACGGAGCGAGCCAAUGACUUAUUGGAAAUAAUACAUACCGAUGUAUGCGGUCCGAUGAGUGUUGAGGCACGCGGCGGGUAUCGUUAUUUUCUGACCUUCACAGAUGAUUUGAGCAGAUAUGGGUAUAUCUACUUAAUGAAACACAAGUCUGAAACAUUUGAAAAGUUAAAAGAAUUUCAGAGUGAAGUGGAGAAUCAUCGUAACAAGAAAAUAAAGUUUCUACGAUCUGAUCAUGGAGGCGAAUAUUUGAGUUAUGAGUUUGGCCUUCAUUUAAAACAAUGUGGAAUAGUUUGACAACUCACGCCACCUGGAACACCACAGCGUAAUGGUGUGUCCGAACGUUGUAACCGUACUUUAUUAGAUAUGGUGUGAUCUAUGAUGUCUCUUACAAAUUUACCACUAUCAUUUUGGGGUUAUGCAUUAGAGACAGCUGCAUUCACGUUAAAUAGGGCACCGUCUAAAUCCGUUGAGCCGGCACCGUAUGAACUGUGGUUUGGCAAGAAACCUAAGCUGUCAUUUCUUAAAGUUUGGGGUUGCGACACUUAUGUCAAAAGGCUUCAGCCUGAUAAGCUCGAACCCAAAUCCUAGAAGUGCAUCUUCAUAGGAUACCCUAUGGAAACAAUUGGGUACACCUUCUACCACAGAUCCGAAGGCAAGAUAUUUGUUGCCAAGAAUGGAACACUUCUAGAGAAGGAGUUUCUCUCGAAAGAAGUGAGUGGGAGGAAAGUAGAACUAGAUGAGGUAACUGUACCUUCUCUCAAUUUGGAAGGUAGCACAUCAGAGAAAUUUGUUCCCGUGAUGCCUACACCAACUAGAGAGGAAGCUAAUGAUGAUAAUCAUGAAACUUCAGAUCAAGUUACUACUGGACCUCGUAGGUCGAACAAAGCACGUUCCGCACCAUAGUGUUACGGUAAUCCUGUCGUGGAAGUCAUGAUACUAGAUCAUGGCAAACCUACGAACUAUGAAGAAGCUAUGAUGAGCCCAGAUUCCGAUAAAUGGCUUGAGGCCAUGAAAUCCGAGAUAGGAUCCAUGUAUGAGAACAAAGUGUGGACUUGCCCAAUGAUCGGCAAGCCGUUGAGAAUAAAUGGAUCUUCAAGAAGAAUACUGACGCUAAUGGUAAUGUCACCGUCUACAAAGCUCGACUUGUCGCGAAAGGUUUUCGACAAGUUCAAGGGGUUGACUACGAUGAGACCUUCUCACCCGUAGCGAUGCUUAAGUCAGUCCGAAUCAUGUUAGCAAUUGCCGCAUUUUAUGGUUAUGAAAUUUGGCAAAUGUACGUCAAAACUGCAUUCCUUAAUGGAUUUCUUAAAGAAGAGUUGUAUAUGAUGCAACCAAGAAGGUUUUGUCGAUCCUAAAGGUGUUAAAAAGUGUGCAAGCUCCAGCGAUCCAUCUAUUGACUGGUGCAAGCAUCUCGGAGUUGGAAUAUACGCUUUGAUGAGGUGAUCAAAGCAUAUGGUUUUAUACAGACUUACGGUGAAGCCUGUAUUUACAAGAAAGUGAUUGGGAGCUCUGUAGCAUUUCUAAUAUUUUAUGUAGAUGACAUCUUGUUGAUUGGAAAUGAUAUAGAAAUUCUGGAUAACAUAAAAGGAUACUUGAAUAAGAGUUUUUCAAUGAAAGACCUCGGUGAAGCUGCUUAUAUAUUGGGCAUCAAGAUCUAUAGAGAUAGAUUGAGACGCUUAAUAGGACUUUCACAAAGCACAUACCUUGACAAAGUUUUGAAGAAGUUCAAAAUGGAUCGGUCAAAGAAAGGGUUCUUGCCUGUAUUACAAGGUGCGAAGUUGAGUCAGACUCAAAGCCCGACCGCUGCAGAAGAUAGAGAGAAAAUGAAAGUCAUUCCCUAUGCCUCAACCAUAGGUUCUAUCAUGUAUGCUAUGCUGUGUACCAGACCUGAUGUGUGCCUUGCCAUAAGUCUGACAGGGAGGUACCAAAGUAAUCCAGGAGUGGAUCAAUGGACAACGGUCAAGAACAUCCUGAAGUACCUGAAAAGGACCAAGGAUAUGUUUCUAGUUUAUGGAGGUGACAAAGAGCUCAUCGUAAAUGGUUACGUCGAUGCUAAGCUUUAACACUGAUCCGGAUGACUCUAAGUCAAUAACCGGAUACAUAUUUAUAUUGAAUGGUGGAGCUGUCAGUUGGUACAGUUCCAAGCAGAACGUCGUGGCGGGAUCUACGUGUGAAGCGGAGUACAUAGCUGCUUCAGAAGCAGCAAAUGAAGGAGUCUGGAUGAAGGAGUUCAUAUCCGAUCAAGGUGUAAUACCUAGUGCAUCGGGUCGAAUGAAAAUCUUUUGACAAUACUGGAGCAAUUGCCUGGGCGAAGAAAUCCAGAUUUCACAAGAUAACCAAACACAUCAAGAGACGCUUCAACUCCAUUCAUGAACAAGUCAAGGAGGGAGACAUAGAAAUUUGCAAAAUACAUAUGGAUCUGAAUGUAGCAGACCUGUUGACUAAGACUCUUCCACGAGCAAAACAUGAUCAGCACCAAGACUCCAUGGGUGUUAGAUUCAUUACAAUGUAAUCUAGAUUAAUGACUCUAGUGCAAGUGGGAGACUGAAGGAAAUAUGCCCUAGAGGCAAUAAUAAAGAUGUUAUUUUAUAUUUCCUUAUUCAUGAUAAAGGUUUAUUAUUCAUGCUAGAAUUGUAUUGAUCGGAAACCUUAAUACAUGUGUGAAUACAUAAACAAACAUCGUGUCCCUAGUAAGCCUCUAUUAGACUAGAAACGCAACUUUUUACGGGUUUGACCAUGAAACCCUUUAUCAUGAAACCGUAAAAGUGGUCCAACCCGUAAAAUCUUUAAGGCUACCGCAAAUGCACACCUAAAACCCUUAUCUCUGGAGGUUGGAAGGCCGAAUCUAGGGGGGCCCGUAUACCGGUCAAACCUUGUCGGAGCAAACACGCCGCUGCGGAGUUUGCCGGAAUCCGCCCUAAACUCGUCGGAAUUCAUCACCGCACACCGGAAAAGGCUGCUAGGCGCCGCAAUCGAUCGCCGCCGGUUCGAAUUGGACGAUCUCGACAUAGCCAUGGCCUCCCAUGACCUCAGCCUGGCCGCCGGAAUCCUCCCGGCACGGCAGGCAAAGGGGCACGACUCGGCUGGCAAUAGAGUAAGGCGCGGACGGCGGAGGCGGAGGUGUUGGUGUCUACCUUGCCCUAGCUCUCGCCUAUAGCUCGCCGGAGCUCUCUCUUCCUCUGUACUCUAGCUCAAACGAUAAUGGGAAGAAGGAGAAAGGUGGACACAGGAGGUUUCCAGCGCUCAUACACCGCCGCACAUACGGCCUCGUAUUUUCUCCUCGAGAAACAACUCGAGCCACGCACCUGUUACAACGUCACCGUGUAGAUUUAUACCCAAGGUCAGCGACCGGGCACACACCCACGCUCUUGCUCCCUCGCGCCCACGAUCCGUCCGCCUCGCUCGCGGCAGCGACGCGCUCCAACGCACAGCUCACGGCGGGCCUCCAACAGAUCAUGCACGAGCUCCCCGCACGGCUCGCCAACAGUCCAGGCCUACUACGACGCGUCCUAUGUACAUGCACACGCGCGCCCAAGACACAACCCACACACGCAACACCUACGCCACGGAGCCGGCCGCGCCCGACGCGCCCGACGCGCGCCCAUGCACGCGCCUAUUGCACCCAACGCGGACGCUACUGGUUAUUCACGCAAUACUCACCCCCUAAGCCGCGAAUCACAGGAGCCCGUCAUCCUCGACUCUGGCAUCCGCCAGCAGCGCUCGCUCCACCGCCGGCGCCUUCCGCAGCUCCGGGCAUUCGCGCUUGAAGUGGCCGCGCUCGCCGCACUUGUAGCAGCGGCCGCGCCGGUUCCCGCCGCUGCUCGAUGCCAUGCUCUUGCCGUCGUCGUCGUCCCGAGCUCCGCCUUGACGCUGCUCCCGCGCCCGCCACUGCGCCGCAGGGUACAGGAGUUGUCCGUCCGUCCGCUCGCCGAUAUCUUGUCCACGGCGCCGAACCCGCUCGUCGAACGUGCGCAGUCGCCCGAGCGCCUCGUCGAACACCAUCGUCGUCACGUCGUGGAACUGCUCGAUGCCGGUGACGACAGGGAAGAGGCGAUCCGGUACUGUGUUCAGCAACUUCUUGACAAGUGCUGUGUCGCCCAGCGUCUCCCCGAGGUUGGCGUACCUCGCCGCGAGCCUCCCGCCGUACACGUCGAGCUCCUCGCCGUCCGCCAUCUUCAGGCGGUCAAAUUCGCCGCGCAACGUUGCCAGCCUCGCCGCGCGCACCGAUCGGCGCCGACGAACCUCACCUUCAGGGAGUCCCAUACCUCCCUGGCGGUGAGCUUCAUCGACACCUGCAGCAGCACAUCCUCCUGCAACGCCCCGAGGAGCAACGCGCGCGCCGUCUUGUCCUUCCGCGCGUUCACCGCCGCAUCGCCCGGCGCCACCGCCUCCCACACGGUGUGCACGUCGAGGAUGGCCUGCGCCUUGAUCGCCCAGACGGUGUAGUUGUCCACCGUGAGCAUCGGCAUCGCCAUCGACGCCGAUCCGCCCAUGCCACCGCCGUGAGGAACCAACGCCAUUGCCGCCGGUGAUCGCCCGAACCAAAGCUCUGAUACCAAUUGUUGGUGUCUACCUUGCCCUAGCUCUUGCCUACAGCUCACCGGAGCUCUCUCUUCCUCUGUACUCUAGCUCAAACGAUAAUGGGAAGAAGGAGAAAGGUGGACACAGGAGGUUUCCAGCGCUCAUACACCGCCGCACGUACCGCCUCGUAUUUUCUCCUCGAGCAACAACUCGAGCCGCGCACCUGUUACAACGUCACCGCGUAGAUUUAUACCCAGGGUCAGCGACCGGGCACACACCCACGCUCUUGCUCCCUCGCGCCCACGAUCCGUCCGCCUCGCUCGCGGCAGCGACGCGCUCCAACGCGCAGCUCACGGCGGGCCUCCAACAGAUCAUGCACGAGCUCCCCGCACGGCUCGCCAACAGUCCAGGCCUACUACGACGCGUCCUAUGUACAUGCACACGCGCGCCCAAGACACUACCCACACACGCAACACCUAUGCCACGGAGCCGGCCGCGCCCGACGCGCGCCCAUGCACGCGCCUAUUGCACCCGACGCGGACGCUGCGGCUUAUUCACGCAACACUCACCCCCCUAAGCCGCGAAUCACAGGAGCCUGUCGUCCUCGACUCCGGCGUCUGCCAGCAGUGCUCGCUACGCCGCCGGCGCCUUCCGCAGCUCCGGGCAUUCGCGCUUGAAGUGGCCGCGCUCGCCGCACUUGUAGCAGCGGCCGCGCCGGUUCCCCCCGCUACUCGAUGCCACGCUCUUGCCAUCGUCGUCGUCCCGAGCUCCACCUUGACGCCGCUCCCGCGCCCGCCACUGCGCUGCAGUGUACAGGAGCUGUCCGUCCGCUCGCCGAUGUCUUGUCCACGGCAUCGAACCCGCUCGUCGAACGCGCGUAGUCGCCCGAGUGCCUCGUCGAACGCCAUCAUCGUCACGUCGUGGAACUGCUCGAUGCCGGCGACGAUAGGGAAGAGGCGAUCCGGUACCGUGUCCAGCAACUUCUUGACAAGUGUUGCGUCGCCCAGCGUCUCCCCGAGGUUGGCGUACCUCGCCGCCAUCGCCGCGAGCCUCCCGCCGUACACGUCGAGCUCCUCGCCGUCCGCCAUCUUCAGGCGGUCAAAUUCGCCGCGCAACGUCGCCAGCCUCGCCACGCGCACCCGAUCGGCGCCGACGAACCUCACCUUCAGGGAGUUCCAUACCUCCCUAGCGCUGAGCUUCGUCGACACCUGCAGCAGCACAUCCUCCGGCAACGCCCCGAGGAGCAAUGCGCGCGCCGUCUUGUCCUUCCGCGCGUUCACCGCCGCAUCGCCCGGCGCCACCGCCUCCCACACGGUGUGCACGUCGAGGAUGGCCUGUGCCUUGAUCGCCCAGACGGUGUAGUUGUCCACCGUGAGCAUCGGCAUCGCCAUCGACGCCGAUCCGCCCAUGCCACCGCCGUGAGGAACCAACGCCAUUGCCGCCGGUGAUCGCCCGAACCAAAGCUCUGAUACCAAUUGUUGGUGUCUACCUUGCCCUAGCUCUUGCCUACAGCUCAUCGGAGCUCUCUCUUCCUCUGUACUCUAGCUCAAACGAUAAUGGGAAGAAGGAGAAAGGUGGACACAGGAGGUUUCCAGUGCUCAUACACCACCGCACGUAUGGCCUCGUAUUUUCUCCUCGAGCAACAACUCGAGCCGCGCACCUGUUACAACGUCACCGUGCAUAUUUAUACCCAGGGUCAGCGACCGGGUACACACCCACGCUCUUGCUCCCUCGCGCCCACGAUCCGUCCGCCUCGCUCGCGGCAGCGACGCGCUCCAACGCGCAGCUCACGGCGGGCCUCCAACAGAUCGUGCACGAGCUCCCCGCACGGCUCGCCAACAGUCCAGGCCUACUACGACGCGUCUUAUGUACAUGCUCACGCGCGCCCAAGACACUACCCACACACGCAACACCUACGCCACGGAGCCGGUCACGCCCGACGCGCGCCCAUGCACGCGCCUAUUGCACCCGACGCGGACGCUGCGGCUUAUUCACGCAACACUCACCCCUCUAAGCCGCGAAUCACAGGAGCCUGUCGUCCUCGACUCCGGCGUCUGCCAGCAGCGCUCGCUUCGCCGCCGGCGCCUUCCGCAGCUCCGGGCAUUCGCGCUUGAAGUGGCCGUGCUCGCCGCACUUGUAGCAGCGGCCGCGCCGGUUCCCGCCGCUGCUCGACGCCACGCUCUUGCCAUCGUCGUCGUCCCGAGCUCCGCCUUGACGCCGCUCCCGCGCCCGCCACUGCGCCGCAGUGUACAGGAGCUGUCCGUCUGUCCGCUCGCCGCUGUCUUGUCCGCGGCACCGAACCCGCUCGUCGAACACGCGCAGUCGCCCGAGUGCCUCGUCGAACGCCAUCGUCGUCACGUCUUGGAACUGCUCGAUGCCGGCGACGACAGGGAAGAGGCGAUCUGGUACCGUGUCCAGCAACUUCUUGACAAGUGCUGCGUCGCCCAGCGUCUCCCCGAGGUUGGCGUACCGCGCCGCCAUCGCCGCGAGCCUCCCGCCAUACACGUCGAGCUCCUCGCCGUCCGCCAUCUUCAGGCGGUCAAAUUUGCCGCGCAACGUCGCCAGCCUCGCCGCGCGCACCCGAUCGGCGCCGACGAACCUCACCUUCAGGGAGUCCCAUACCUCCCUGGCAGUGAGCUUCGUCGACACCUGCAGCAGCACAUCCUCCGGCAACGCCCCGAGGAGCAACGCGCGCGCCGUCUUGUCCUUCCGCGCGUUCACCGCCGCAUCGCCCGGCGCCACCGCCUCCCACACGGUGUGCACGUCGAGGAUGGCCUGCGCCUUGAUCGCCCAGACGGUGUAGUUGUCCACCAUGAGCAUCGGCAUCGCCAUCGACGCUGAUCCGCCCGCGCCACCGCCGUGAGGAACCAACGCCAUUGCCGUCGGUGAUCGCUCGAACCGAAGCUCUGAUACCAAUUGUUGGUGUCUACCUUGCCCUAGCUCUCGCCUACAGCUCGCCGGAGCUCUCUCUUCCUCUGUACUCUAGCUCAAAUGAUAAUGGGAAGAAGGAGAAAGGUGGACACAGGAGGUUUCCAGCGCUCAUACACCGCCGCACGUACGGCCUCGUAUUUUCUCCUCGAGCAACAACUCGAGCCGCGCACCUGUUACAACGUCACCGUGCAGAUUUAUACCCAGGGUCAGCGACCGGGCACACACCCACGCUCUUGCUCCCUCGCGCCCACGAUCCGUCCGCCUCGCUCGCGGCAGCGACGCGCUCCAACGCGCAGCUCACGGCGGGCCUCCAACAGAUCGUGCACGAGCUCCCCGCACGGCUCGCCAAUAGUCCAGGCCUACUACGAUGCGUCCCGUGUACAUGCACACGCGCGCCCAAGACACUACCCACACACGCAACACCUACGCCACGGAGCCGGCCGCGCCCGACGCGCGCCCAUGCACGCGCCUGUUGCACCCGACGCGGACGCUGCGGCUUAUUCACGCAACAGGCGGGGCAUGGCCGGCAAGGCUGGGCACGGACAACGAAGGCGACGGGGCGUGGCCGGCGAGGUUGGGCACGGCCGGNNNNNNNNNNNNNNNNNNNNNNNNNNNNNNNNNNNNNNNNNNNNNNNNNNNNNNNNNNNNNNNNNNNNNNNNNNNNNNNNNNNNNNNNNNNNNNNNNNNNNNNNNNNNNNNNNNNNNNNNNNNNNNNNNNNNNNNNNNNNNNNNNNNNNNNNNNNNNNNNNNNNNNNNNNNNNNNNNNNNNNNNNNNNNNNNNNNNNNNNNNNNNNNNNNNNNNNNNNNNNNNNNNNNNNNNNNNNNNNNNNNNNNNNNNNNNNNNNNNNNNNNNNNNNNNNNNNNNNNNNNNNNNNNNNNNNNNNNNNNNNNNNNNNNNNNNNNNNNNNNNNNNNNNNNNNNNNNNNNNNNNGACAUGGCCUGCGGGCGAUGGGGCGCGGCCGACGGGGUUGGACGCGACCGGCGUGGCCGGCGCGGCCGGAUGGGGGAAGGGGCGGCAGCGGCCGGACUGGAGGAAGCAGCUCUUUAUUCUAGUUUUACAGCUUGUUUUACAGUAUUUGUUCGGCCGCAGCUAAAAUGAACCCUUAAAAUGCACUUUUUCCAACCCGUAUCCCAGUUUUGCAGUUUGUGAUUUUAAGGGGUCUGCUAGAGAUCCUCUAAGUCACAAACCGGAUACGUAUUUAUAUUGAAUGGUGGAGCUGUUAGUUGGUACAGUUCCAAGCAGAGCGUCGUGGCGGGAUCUACGUGUGAAGCAGAGUACAUGGCUGCUUCAGAAUCAGCAAAUGAAGGAGUCUGGAUGAAGGAGUUCAUAUCCAAUCUAGGUGUAAUACCUAGUGCAUUGGGUCCAAUGAAAAUCUUUUGUGACAAUACUGGAGCAAUUGCCUUGGCGAAGGAAUCCAGAUUUCACAAGAGAACCAAACACAUCAAGAGACGCUUCAACUCCAUUCGUGAACAAGUCAAGGAGGGAGACAUAAAAAUUUGCAAAAUACAUAUGGAUCUGAAUGUAGCAGACCCAUUGACUAAGCCUCUUCCACGAGCAAAACAUGAUCAGCACCAAGAUUCCAUGGGUGUUAGAUUCAUUACAAUGUAAUCUAGAUUAUUGACUCUAGUGCAAGUGGGAGACUGAAGGAAAUAUGCCCUACAGGCAAUAAUAAAGUUGUUAUUUUAUAUUUCCUUAUUCAUGAUAAAGGUUUAUUAUUCAUGCUAGAAUUAUAUUGAUCGGAAAUCUUAAUACAUGUGUCAAUACAUAAACAAACAUCGUGUCCCUAGUAAGCCUCUACUAGACUAGCUCGUUGAUCAAAGAUGGUUAAGGUUUCCUAACCAUGGACAUGAGUUGUCAUUUGAUAACGGGAUCACAUCAUUAGGAGAAUUAUGUGAUGGACAAGACCCAUCCGUUAGCUUAGCAUAAUGAUCGUUCAGUUUUAUUGCUAUUGCUUUCUUAAUGUCAAAUACAUAUUCCUUCGACUAUGAGAUUAUGCAACUCCCGAAUACCAGAGGAAUGCCUUGUGUGCUAUCAAACAUCACAACAUAACUGGGUGAUUAUAAAGAUGCUCUACAGGUAUCUCCGAAGGUGUUUGUUUAGUUGGCAUAGAUCGAGACUAGGAUUUGUCACUCUGAGUAUCGGAGAGGUAUCUCUGGGCCCUCUCGGUAAUACACAUCAUAAGCUUGCAAUCAAACAACUAAGGAGUUAGUCACGAGGUGAUGUAUUACGAAACGAGUAAAGAGACUUUCCGGUAACGAGAUUGAACUAGGUACGAAGAUACCGACGAUCGAAUCUCGGCCUAGUAACAUACCGAUGGACAAAGGGAAUUACGUAUGUUGUCAUAAUGGUUCAACCGAUAAAGAUCUUCGUAGAAUAUGAAGGAGCCAAUAUGGGCAUCCAGGUUCCGCUAUUGGUUAUUGAAUGGAGAGGUGUCUCGGUCAUGUCUACAUAGUUCUCGAACCCAUAGGGUCCGCACGCUUAUGUUCGAUGACGAUAUAGUAUUAUAUGAGUUAUGUGAUUUGGUGACCGAAUGUUGUUCGGAGUCCCGGAUAAGAUCAUGGACAUGACGAGGAGUCUCGAAAUGGUCGAGAGGUAAAGAUUGAUAUAUAGGACGAUAGUAUUCGGACACCGAAAGUGUUUCGGGGGGUACCGGGUACUUAUCGGGUCACCGGAAGGGGUUCCGGGCACCCCCGGCAAAAGAUAUGGGCCUUAUGGGCCAAGAGGGGAAACACACCAGCCACAAGGGGCUGGUGCGCCCCCCAUAUGGGCCGGCCAAGGAGGAGAAGGAAAGAGGGGAAGGGAAAGGAAAGCGAGGAAUAGGAUUCCCCCUUCCUUCCCUCUCCCCCUCUCUUUCCUUCCCCCUUCGACAUAUAUGGCACGGGGGGCCCGCGGCUAGGGAGGAGCCCAAGUAGGAUUCGGUCCUACUUGGGGCGCCUCCUGGCCUCUCCCAUCCCCCUCCCACCUAUAUAUAUGUGGGGGGCGCCUAGCACACCCAGACAAUUGUUUAGUCGUGUGCGGCGCCCCCCUCCACCGUUUACACCCCGGUCAUAUUUUUGUAGUGCUUAGGCGAAGAUCUGCGAGGAUCACUUCACCAUCACCGUCACCAUGCCAUCAUGCUGACGGACCUCAUCUACUACCUCGACGUCUUGCUGGAUCAAGAAGGCGAGGGACGUCACCGAGCUAAACGUGUGCAGAACGUGGAGGUGACGUACGUUCGGUACUUGAUCGGUUGAAGCGCAAAGAAGUUCGACUACAUCAACCGCGUUAAGAAACGGUUCCGCUUACGGUCUACGAGGGUACGUAGACACACUCUCCUCCUCGUUGCUAUGCAUCUCCAUGGAUAGAUCAUUGCGUGUGUGUAGAAUUUUUUGUUUUCCAUGCAACGAUUCCCAACAGCCCCCGUAGGGCACGCCACCUGAGCUUGUGGGUCCCUUGGUGUACCGUCUUCUGGUGUUCCCGAGAAAAAAUCAAAGAUAAAGUUUCAUUGUGUUUUACGAUAUGGAGUCGCCACCCCCUCCUGUUCUUCAUCUGGUGGCCUUAUCUGGAGUCCCCUCUGGGCUCUGGAGAGGGCAAAAAAUCGCCACCGCCGUCAUCAACAACCUCAUGAUGCUCACUGCUACUUGUGAGCUGCGAUGGGAUUUCCUCGAAGAGGAGAGCAUGAUGCAAUAUAGUAGAGAUAAAUAUUUCCCUCAGUUAAAAACCAAGAUUAUCAAUCCAUUAGGAGAACCACGCAAAACCUCGUGAACAGCAGCUACACAGAAAAGAACAAAUACUUACACCCAACGCAAACAAGGGGUUGUCAAUCCCUUGGCGGUUAAUUUCAAGGAUCAAGUCUGAUAAUGGUAGAUAGAUAAACAAAAACACAAAAUUAAAAUAACGGUAAAUAAAUUGCAGCAAAGUAUUUUUAGGAUUUUAUGUACUCCAUGGGCCAUAGUUUCACUAGAGGUUUCUCUCUUGAACAUAGCAUAAUAACAUCAUUGCAAUCAUGCUUUUCAUUCAAGGAGCCAUCGUGAAUCACUUUAUAAAUUUCUUCUUUUAACACUUCAUCACAAUUUUCAGAUUCGCGAAUUUCAAGCAAAACUUAAUAAAGAUAAUCUAGUGCACUCAAAUCACUAGCAAUUAGUUCAUCAUAAUUGGAUCUUUUAAAAAUAUUAGCUAGAGGAUGAGGAUCCAUCUUAUUUUUCUUAUUUCUUUUAUGUUCUUUUGCAUGUUGACAUGAAGGCAAAAAGCAAGCAAACAAGCAAAAAAGGCAAACGGAAAUAUAUUUUGUGUUUUUUUAAUAAAAUUGUUUUAGAAGUGAGGGAGAUGAAAAUGAGAGGCAAAUGGCAAAUAAAGUAAAUGCAAGGAGAUGAAAGUUUAUGCAAUGGUACUUGAUAGGUUUUGGUUAUGUCUUCCCGGCAACGGCGCUAGAGAUUAUUCCUGCUACUUGUGAGCUACGUUGGGUUUUUCUCGAAGAGGAGAGGAUGAUGCAAUACAGUAGAGAUAAGUAUUUCCCUUAGUUAAGAACCAAGGUUAUCAAUCCAGUAGGAGAACCACACAAAACCUCGUGAACAACACCUACACACAAAAGAACAAGUAUUUGCACCCAACGCAAACAAGGGGUUGUCAAUCCCUUGGCGAUUAAUUGCAAGGAUCAAGUAUGAUAAUGGUAGAUAGUUAAACAAAAACACAAAAUAAAAAUAACAAUAAAUAAAUUGCAUUAAAGUAUUUUAAGGAUUUUAUAUACAUGAUAAAGAUAGACUCGGGGGCCAUAAUUUUCACUAGAGGCUUCUCUUUUGAACAUAGCAUACGAUGGGUAAACAAAUUAUUGUUGGGCAAUUCAUAGAAAAGCGCAUAGUUAUGACGAUAUUCAAGGCAAUGUUCAUGUAUAUAAGCAUCACGUCCGAGACAAGUAGACCGACUGCUGCCUGCAUCUACUACUAUUACUCCACACAUCGACCGCUAUCCAGCAUGCAUCUAGAGUAUUAAGUUCAUAAAGAACGGAGUAAUGCCUUAAGCAAGAUGACAUGAUGUAGAAAAACUAAACUCAAUCAAUAUGAGUAAACCCAUCUUUUUAUCCUUAAUGGCAACGAUAAAAAUAAGUGUCAUGUCCCUUUCUGUCACUGAGUUGAGCACCGCAAGAUCGAACCCAUCACAAAGCACCUCGCCCAUUGUAAGAAAAAUCAAUCUAGUUGGCCAAACCAAACCGAUGGAUCAGAGAGAAAUACAAAGCUAUAACAAUCAUGCAUAUAAGAAUUCAGAAAAGAGUCAAAUAAUAUUCAUGAAUAAUCUGAUCAUAAACCACAAUUCAUCGGAUCCUAAUAGACACACCGCAAAAAGGAUUACAUCGAAUAGAUCUCUAAGAACAUCGAGGACAACAUUGUAUUGAAGAUCAAAGAGAGAGAAGAAACCAUCUAGCUACUAGCUAUGGACUCGUAGGUCUGUGGUAAACUACUCACGCAUCAUUGGAGGGGCGGCGAGGAUGAUGUAGAAGUCCUCCAUGAUCGAUUCCCCCUCCGACAGAGUACCGGAGAAGGCCUCCAUACGGGAUCGCGGAAGAACAGAGGCUUGCGACGGCGAAGAAAGUGUUUCGGGUGGCUCUCUGGUGUAUUGGGAAUAUUUGGGAAUUUAUAGAGCUGGAAUUAGGUUAAGAGGUGCCAUGGGAACCCCACAAGCCUGGGGGCGCGCCUGCAGGCUUGUUGCGCCUCCGUGGCUCUUCAGGUCUUCUCCCAAAGCUUCUAGGGUCCCUUCUGGUCCAGAAAAAAUCGUCAAAAAGUUUUGUAGCUUUUGGACUCCAUUUGAUACUAAUUUCCUGAAAAGCCAAAAACAAGCAAAAGAUAGCAACUGGCAGUGGGCACUAGGUUAAUAGGUUAGUCCCAAAAAAGAUACAUAAUUGCAUACAAUUGCAUAAUAAACAUCCAAGAUUGAUACUAUAAUAGCAUGGAACAAUCAAUAAUUAUAGAUACGUUGGAGAUGUAUCACUCACCACCGGGAGUGAGUAAUUUGAUCGUAGGCAUACUGGAGGUAGAUGGACAUGGAUGAGAGUCAUCAUGAUUUGUUAGGGCUUGAUCCCUAGUAUCCACUACGUUCUGUGAUUGAUGUUCUUAUGACUUUGCUAUGCUUAAUGCUUGUCACUAGGGCCGAGUGUCACGAUUUCAGAUAUGAACCCUUUAUGUUUUCGUUAAUAUAUUUAAUUUUUUGAUCCUAUCUGCAAGUUAUAUGCACCUGUUAUUGUUCUCAACCGUAGACCCCAAGGUGGCAAUAAUUGGGAUACUCUUCGGGGAUGACUGUAAUUUGAGGAGUUCAUGUAUUCAUCAUGUGUUAAUGCUUUAUUUCGGUUCUCUAUUAAAAUGAGCGCCUUAAUUACCCUUAGAUUUCCAUUAGGACCCCGCUGCCACAGGAGGGUAGGACAAAAGAUGUUAUGCAAGUUCUUAUUAUAAGCACGCAUGACUAUAUACGGAUUACAUGACUGUACUUAAUUGAUAAAUUUGAGCUAUUGUGUAUCACUCUAGGUUGUGACUCUUAUAUGAUGAAUCUCAUCCAAAUAUCCAUCGUUAUUCUAUGCCUACGCUUUGCUCAUAUUGUCUUUGCUAAGUUACUACUGUUGUUGGUACUAUUCCAACUAUUACAAAACUAUACUGCUACUGUCACUCUUACUAUUACCAUUGCUACUGUUACCACUACUAUGUAUCAAACUAUCAUGCUAUUGUGCCAUUUAUAAUUUGCUGCAGAGAAAUAACUUCUCAGGUGUGGUUGAAUUGACAACUCAACUGCUAAGGCUUAUAAAUAUUCUUUGGCUCCCUUGUGUCGAAUCAAUAAAUUGGGUGAAAUACUACCCUCGAAGACUGUUGCGAUCCCCUAUACUUGUGGGUCAUCAAUUCCUCACCAAAGACUCCUACUGCCUAGGAGUUUCAAACCUCCAAGAGUAACGAGAUCAAGAGAGAAAUGCUCAAGACUUGUUCAAAUCACAAAUUGCUUCGGUUAUAAGAGAGGGGAGGUGAAAUCACUCUCAAGAACUCUCACAAAUCUCCUUGGAAUCUUUGAUUUUGUGUGGGGAGAAGGAUAGGGCGGAUUUUCUAAGAUCUGGUGCACACAUGAUGUAUUCACGGGGACUAAAGCAUGUAGAUUUACUUAGCAAACAUAUUAGUCCCCUAUAAAUAUGUUGUCAUCGGUAUCAAAAUACGAUUAAGGGAAUGAUUGCACUUUCACGGGUCAUCAACCCUGUCACAAAUAGACUGCUAGAAUAACAUGCUCAUCAUAUCAUUGAAAGUAUACAUAUUGGUGGUGAAACCAAUCUUCUGGGCCUUUUUAGGAUAACAAUAGAUGAUGAUGACAGACAAAUCAGUAGCACCUUCAUCAUGGAUAUUAAUUCCAUUGUUGGCAUUGUGACCCUUGUACUCAGUGUACCCAAGAGCUUGGGCAAGAAGAGAUAGUGGUUGCUUCUUGACCAGGCUGCUCAUCCAGACAUACAAACAUUCUGAGGCAUAGGAGAAGAAAUAAAUGGGAUGAGUGUGGGUAUGGUAGUUCAAUGGUAUCUAUUGAAACGCAACGGCAUUGGAUCUACUUCACGAGGAGGAUGAGGGCAUGGCAUUAGGCCAUGGGCAGCGUCGCUGCUAAUGGCGUUGGCACAGAUGACUCCUAAAGUCGUUUAAUUUCAGUUCAGGAUUGAAGAUUGUUCGUUUGAAGGUUGAAGGCCUGUUCUCUUGUAACCAUCUAAUGGCCCAACUCAUCUCAAUUAGUGCUACGGCAAAAAAAAUUGUUUCAAAGUUUUUCAAGAGAGGGUGGGGGUGGGGCUGUACCAAGGCAAAGCUCUGAUCAUUGGCCCAUUCAUUGUUGUGCUUCACCUCCUCGUAUUCAUUCGAAAGAUAGGGGGGAAACGGUGUUAGCAUCCCCUCCAAGUGAUUUCUCUCUUUAUAGACACACCGCUAUAAUAUACGAUGUACAUAUGUUUGUUUAGAUAAUGUGCAUAGUACGCAUACAUUUGGUAAAUAAUAUACUCUACAUUGUAUGGUAUACAGUUAUACACAUGUGGACGACACAAUGAAAUGAAUAUGCCACACAUAAUCCCCAGAACUGCAAACUGCUGUGUACGCGACGACAUAAUCCAUCAACAGUUGGUUACACUAUGAGCUGGCACCUGGCAGCAAGGAGAAGCUAACCCUCACACGGAGUUAGGGGCAAAAAGGAUAAGAGACGAAGCGGUGGGUCGUUGCAGGAUACAAGAAGCUUCUAUAGUGCCACCCAUUCGGCCAUUCCAUCAUGCUAGUGUACGAAGGAAUAAAAGAUGGGAGAAGGGGGCCUUGUUGGUACAUAUGAAGAGUGUGAGUGCUCAGUUAGUAAUAUUAAUCAAGUCCAAGCUAGAGAUAACUUUAAAGAAGUGAACAUUGGUUGGUCGAUCUACUAAAUAAAUAAACUGACGAUGUGGACAAUUUUCGAAUCAGGAAUAAAAGCUCGUUUGGCCCAGCAUCAUCAUGUCUAAAUUUGACCGUGCAUUCAUGAUGCUCAUAAACGACCCACAAAAAAAAACAUGCACAAACGAAUUACUCGUAGGCCUUGCCUCAGAUUGGCAAUCGCAGUUCGUUUAAUCACAAACGAGCCACCACUUGUAAAACUGUUUACAAGUGUCGUUAUCUUGAGUGGCAACUCAAUCCAACGAGCCUUUUGCAUUUGGAGGAUUAAAAUCAAAAAACUGUAGGCCACCAACCAUAGUGGUGGCCAGCUGGUUUUGAAAGAAAAAUAGUCUCGCCAUGCGGUUCGGAUGUUUGCGGGCACGGUGUUGGAGAUGCCCUAAGCAGUAAAAGAGCACAGUGCAUAUGUUCAACAAAAAUGGUCUUACAACACAAAGCUUAGCAUGUACUCCCUCCAUUCCUUUUUACUUCGCAUAUAGGAUUUAUGUCGAGUCAAACUUUAUGAAUUUUGAUCAAAUUUGUAUAAAAAAUAUCAACAUUUUCAAUAUCAAAUAUACAUAAUAUGAAACUACAUUCCAUAAUGAAUCUAAAGAUAUUCCUUUGGCAUUGCAUAUGUUGAUACUUUUUUCUAUAAGUUGGGUCAAACUAAAGAUACUUUGACUUCAGACAAAAGUUAUAUGCAAACUAAAAAGAAACGGAGGGAGUACAUUUUGAAAAUCAGAUCUUGCAAGAAGAAAAGAGGACAUCCAGACAAAUUAUAUCGAGUGCUUCUCUGCAAGUUUAACUGUCCAAAUUUCAGGCAAAUGAUUAUGAUUGCCCACAAAAUUUGAGGCACCACAACAAAUGAUGAGAGGUAGUUAAAAUAUGUGCAUGUCAUAAUUUCUCACGAGAACUAAAAGGACUCUCGCCUAGGUGUGGGAUCUGACCAGGCAAACAAUGUUCCCUCUAUCAUUGGUACAAGGCUACAAAGGAGAACACCAUGUGCAUGAAAUGGCUUUCUGCAAUCACGAAAAGACAAUAGUUUGAGAAACAACGUCGGAGCGAAUUUGUGGUGCAUCACCCGGGUGGGCUCCUAUAAAACUAUGUCCUGCCCAUGGAUCUCUUUUUUUUUAGAAACAACGUCUCGGCAAACUGAUACUGUAAAAUUGCAAAAAUAACAAACUGGACAGAUGAAACACUUCAUCAAGCAAUAUAUACAACAUUAAGCAACAAAAAUACAAGCUCCAGUAAAUGAUUUUUGUUUUACACAAUGGUUUGUCGAUUGUUGUCAUUUUCUCGAGAGGUUCUCCCUUUAACAGGGGCUCAAGCAUCCAUUUUGCAGACAAAAACAUCAUUGUCAAAACCGUAAGUAAUUCAGAUAUGAUGCAACGCAGUUCACGAAAGGUGCGGAAGAAAAGGUAUCAACAAAUAGAACAGAGCACUCCGUUUGUUUUGCAUCACAUCCCCAACUACGGCGGAAUCUGUUAAAGACAGGAAGGAUUGGGAAGAACCAUCAGCAGCAAAUGUUUUGACCUCAAUGUAAUUCAGUCCGCAUCAUGGUAGGAUCGCUCACAGGCAACCCUCGUCAUCCGGUUCUGUGCGUUAUUCCUCCAAUCCGGGUUUCAACAAGGCGGUAUUUCCAAGGGCAAAAGCUGGAAACAUUUCUCAAAAAACAUUUGAUGUCUAUGGCAAAAAUUGCAGAUAAACAAAUUUGAAAAUACAAGUACUUAUCCUUGAGGCGGCACAGAUGUAAAAUGGGUUGUAAGUUUCUUUAUCAGCACAAAGAGAUAAAUCUCUUCAGAGUGGUGCAUGACUUUUCUCAUCAUGCCUUUUGCUUCCACAGGGCAUCCAUUUUGCAGACAGAAUCAUCAUCGGAAAACCAAGUAAUUCAGAUGAAAUGCAACAAGCUUCAUGAAACCAGAUAUUGAGCUGCAGAGGGGGAAAACACAGGUAUCAGAUGAGGGCACUCCAUCUGUUUAGACCCGCCCAUUCAAAAUAGGAAGGGGAAAUCCAUUCAGGAUGGGGGGUUGGAAAUAAGAACAAGAUAGGAAGGGGGAUUGGAAAGAGGAUCGCUCAUAGGCAACCCUCAACAUUUGGUUCUGUACAUUAUACCUAAAAUCCAGUUAACCUUCAAGAUUUCUAUUUUCAAACUACAGUAUUUUCCUGAAGGCAAAGGCUGGAAACAGUUCCAAAAAACCAAUAGACGUCUAAGUCGGAAAUAGCGAACAAACAAAUCAGAAAAUACAAAAUAUGUAUCCAUGAGGUGGCUUGGAUUUACAAUGGGUUGUAAAGUUUGUUUAUCAGCACAAAGAGAUAAAUCUCCUCAGAGUAGUUCAUGACUUUUCUCAUCAUACCCUUUUGCUUCCACAGAGCAUCCAUUUUGCAGACACAAUGCUCAACCCAGAACAAGUAAUUCAGAUGCAAUGCAACGAGGUUCACCAAGCCACCAAUAGGAAAAAAAAACAUUCAAGAUACGGAGGAAUGAAAAGAUAUACAUCAUUUGACCUCGAUGUAAUUUCAGCCCGCUCUUGGGCAACCAUCGUCAUCUGUUUCUGUACAUUACUCCCCCAAUUUAGCUAAUCUUAAGACAUGUUCAAAACUAAAGUAUUUUACUAGUGGCUAAAGCUGGAAACAGUUUCUGAAAAAACACAUCUAUGGCAAGACAAUAAACAAAAAAUACAGAAGUAGGUCUCCAUGAGGUGGCUCAGAUGUAAAAUGGAUUGUAAGUUUGCUUUAUCAGCACAAAGAGAUAAAUUUCUUCAGAGUCGUGCAUGACUUUUCUCAUCAUAGCCUUUUUGCUUCACCAGGAAGAACAAUGUCAUGGAAUACAGCAGAUUUGUCGAUUGACGUUAUAAUACUAGAAAGCACAAUAUGGAAUACCUCAGAUUUGUCAUUUGAUGUCAUUUUACAUCUGCUUUCUCAAGAGGUUCUCCCUGAAACAGGGGCUUGAGUCCACAGGGCAUCUAUUUUGUAGACAGAAUCAUCAUCAGGUAAUUUAAAUUUAAGAUGGCAUGCAACAAAGGCAGUUGCUAAAUAAAUAAAUCAAGCACCUGAAUUCAGCAUUACUACCAAAAUCACUGAGCAAUAAGCAGCACAUAUUAUAUCUGCUUCAUCAAGCAGGUUCCCCCUCAAACAGGGGGCUUGAAUCCACAGAGCAUCCAUUUUGCAGAAAGAAUCCUCAUUGCCAAACAAAAUGAGCAAGCAUGAUGCCAAAAAAAAGGAAGAUUAAUAUUUAAUUUUUCAGAACUCAAUUUAACAUAACAACUAUAAUUAAAAGGCAAUGAGCAGAAAAGAUUUCAGAUAAUAAGCACAAAGUUGAGACUAUGGAGUUAGCUCCAUGUGCCACUAACUUUGAGAAAGAACAAUCCCAAGAUGCCAAAGCUGAGAGGCACCGGGAGCACAAAUGGUCAGAACUAAUGAAUUUAUGGACACUAAGUUCAUAUCAAACCUUUGGAAGCAGAAAAAACGAAUCACUAUGCGCCUCUAUGACUGGGCAACUUUGAGAAAGGUCAACCUCAAGAAGCCAAAGGUGAGAGAGGCGCACACACAAAAUCGAUUGGCUCCUAACAAAAUUACUGUAAUAUAUGGCAGUAAAAAAGCUCAUCACAAGCAGUAUUCACCUCAGUAUGAUAGCAGAGUGAAAUUGCAAAUGGGAAAGCAGGUAAUCAUAACUAUCUUGUACUAGCAUUCAACACAGGCAGACAAAACCACAAAUGGGAUGAGAGCACAAUAAUGGAAUCGAAAUAGAGUAUUUAAACGACACAUCAUAGCUCGCACACAGGUGCAGGAGUCAAAGUGCAACAACGCCCAGGAAUAACACUUAACAUACACUAAGAUUCUCCAAAAAAGACUUGACACUAAAACUUCUGCUAGAUAACUCGAUGGCAGACACCAGAGCACUCAUUUCUUCUUGAUGGCAGCCUUGGUAACCUUGGCACCGGUGGGGUCCUUCUUCUCCACGCCCUUGAUGACACCAACAGCAACCGUUUGUCUCAUAUCACGCACAGCAAAGCGGCCAAGAGGAGGGUAGGUGGCGAAGGUCUCCACAACCAUGGGCUUGGUGGGAAUCAUCUUCACGAUACCGGCGUCACCAUUCUUGAGGAACUUGGGCAGCGCCUCCAGCUCCUUACCAGAUCGCCUGUCGAUCUUGGUCACCAGCUCAGCAAACUUGACAGCAAUGUGGGAGGUGUGGCAGUCCAGCACUGGGGCAUAGCCGUUACCGAUCUGACCAGG